CUUAUUUAUAAUUGUGACAUCCUAAUGUGGUAAUAACUAACCUAAUGUGACAGUUACAGAUAAAUCGUUGCACCAGUUAGCUCGUAAUUCUUUCUUUGAAAAAAAAAAUAUUUAUAUAUAUUGCCACAGAUAACAGGCUAUUAUUUCGUUUGGGAUCAUUCCAAAGGUCAACUUUGGGUGUAUUAAUUAUCAAGCAGCAGCUUGAUAAAGCCUCAACAAAAUACAAAGCCACUAUCUACACUCAAAUGUUUUGCAUAUCUUUAGUUGACGAUUGGUGUAAUUGAUCAGCAACUACAAUUUUUAGACAAGUAUGUAAGAUUGUAAAUAUACAUGGACCCUUAGGAAAUUAUAGUAAAACAAGACGUGCCAUCGUGAAAAUGAGAUCUCUUUAUUGAUUAUUUCGAAGUCUUCGUGUAGAUAUAGUAUGAUCGGUCACUUGCACAAUUCAUUGGAUUUCUAACGUACAUAACAGAUACUUUUGUUAUUUUUCUAGGUGACAUAAUUGGUAAAUCUACUAAAGCUUGCAAGCAAUCUUACGAGUCUCCGUGAUGUCAAAUAAAUCUUCUGUUGAUCCUUGAAUCAUUCUCUUUAGCUCUUCUUCAAAUCUCUUCAUACUCGGCCUCGGCAAACGUAUAGGUAUGAGAGUCCCAGUCUCCCCAUCUUCUUUUUGGUACCUGUUUAAGAAACUAAAAAUAGACUUAGCACCAGCAAUCCCAGCGAAAACUGGUUUCCCCCACCCCAAAUCAAUUCUAUCAAAUCCAACCUUGCUUAAAUCGGACACAAUGUAGUUCCCCUUAAUCGCGUGCCUCGGCCGUCGCCCUUUGACCUCCAUAAGAUCCGCCGCAGAUCUUAUAUGCUCUUCACUCAUUUCAGCCUUUGCUUUUUUCACCAAUGCAACAGCAUACCCUAAUGGAUUGUUGCAUAAAGCACCAACUUUUGAAUGCACAGCUGGGAAUGCCACUGCGUUACCAUAAUACCCGGAAGGAAUAUCCAUUUUAUAAUCUUUUGCUCGAGCGGUAACUAGACAUGAAAAUUGAACAGUGUCUUUAGGGUCUAGUUGAAGAGCAAUUGUUCUACAUCUCCACAUACAAGCAGCCAACAACUCAAAUGUUGAACAAUUUCUAAGGUGUAAUGGAAGUUGAUUUUUGAGGACUCUCACUUCUUUGGGACCAAAGUAGAAUGAUUUGUGGUCCAUUUCAUUUGGAUUGGUAGUUAUGAAGGUAUCUGAAUUGUUAUUUAUUUCUUCGUAUUCUAAGUGAACACUUGUUACUUGUGGUGGAUUUCUAGCACAUAAGCGUUCCCGUUGCCAAACAGGGAAUAGCGAAAGUGUAUUUGCACCUCUUGCCAUCUCCUCUAUCGCUUUCACAAAUUGCACCAAACCAGAUGCAUCACACAUUGUGUGGUUGAAACGUAUCGCAAGAGUGAAUCCUCCACACAUCAAACGAGUCACCUAUAUAUAUAUAUAUAUGAGAAACAAAGAAAACAUUAAAAUACUUGAAGUAGAAAUGUAGAAUUAGGUUAUAUAUAGAAGCGAGAAACUAAGAAUAACAUUUUGGUCCCCAACAUUUUUACAUAUUUUACCAUUUAGGACCAUUUUUUAAUUUCUCACUUUAUUCGACAGUAUAAUUUUAUAAAAAAUUAUUAGUGGUCCACUGAACUUUUAUCGAAAGUUCCAAAUUAAAUAUUCAAAACCUUCAAAAAUUAUUACUUGUCUACGUAAGUUUUGGAAUUGUAUAAUGAGCCAAUUUUCCGGGAACUCAAUAAGAUAAUUUAGUGUAUCCCCCCCCAAAAAAAAAAAGACUACUAAAAAGAAAUGUUCGAUUAGUACACUCGACUUCAAAAGCCCAAAAAAAUGUGUUUUUUAUAUUAUAAUGUUAUGAUGUAAUAGGUAAUUGAAAAUUAUAUAUAUGAACCGGGCUAACUGAUAAAAGUGACACAUUUAGAGACUUGAAUGUAUCCUCUCAUUAAUUAUAAAAUGUCGAAACUAUUUAUUUUGAGUAUGCAUGUGAAGUAAAUUCAAUGGUUAGUUAUGAUCGACUCACUUGAAUUAAGAGCAAUGGGCAACCAAGAAUGCCUUCAGAACCUGGAACAUUAUAGGUCAAUUGUUCCAAAUACGGGCAUGGAGGCUGAAUAGCACCGCCAAGCUGCUCAAGUUUGAAGUUAGCUUCAGCCUCGAGAAACAAGAUCCCUUCACCAUUGCAAUCCACCAUAAGCUUGCGGUUGGGACCUUCUAUAAGCCUACCAGCAAAAGGGUAAUAAUACACAAGUGCUUCACUUAUAGCUUCCUUGAUGACCUUCACGGGAUCUUUUUCUUUGAGUACUGGAGGUGAUGAUGCAGAGUUAUUCUUGUAAAGGAAUAUUACUGGAAUAUGAAACCUGAAACUUUCUUGGUCGUCUAUAUCGGAAAGUUGCUUUAAUUCACGCGGUGUUGGCCUUGCCGGAACAAUUAAUUCCGGUGCCUGCCGGGUUACUGACAAAACUAGAGAAAAUUUUGGAGCCAUUUUAAAUUUUCAAUGUUAGUUACUAGUUUGGUUGUUCUGGUAAGGCUUGAACUGUUUCACUGGUUGCCUUGGCCUCCAAAAAUUUUCAUUUAUAGCUGAAGAAAGAGGCACGUGGGUAGCGCGUAUGGAAAGUGACUGUCACCGAAUUAUGCAGAAGCACGUGUGUGGCACGUUAUACAUAAUUUUUUAAUUCAACUUCAGCAAAAAUAUUCUUGGUCGGUUAGGGUUAAGAUGAUUUAUGUAUAUGUACAGAAAGUGUCCAUCGAUAUAAACAUUUGUUUCCUACUUGAUUAAUUUCGAAAACAAUUAUAGUCUGCACCUACGGCUUGGCGGAGUGGUUGUCAAUCCAUUUUUUCUUUGAUUGGCCAUCCCAAAUUCAAAUCUUAGUUAAAAAAAAUAAUAAUAAUUUGAACUUUGUUCAUCUUUAUGCUUUGCUAUGAGAGUACUUCGUUCGUUGGAAUGGUGAUUUUCAAACACUGGAUCAUCACCUAUAUUAUAGCAUUCCAAAUUAAAAAUACGGAUCAAAUUUGAAGAGAAAUACAAAACGAUAAUGCGCUUAGAGUACCCAAGACUCUACUAUGUAUUGAACAUGAUGACGAGCACGUUUCUUGUAAAAUUAGGACGCUAUUGAAUAUGUUGUGAUAAGGUGGUGUACUGUAAUUUAGGAGGCAAAUUCUCCUUCCAAUAAUUCUUGCAACACUUGGCUAAUUGAGCUUGUUCCCCUAAAUAAACGGAAAUCCUUUUGUGUAUACUUGCACCACCGAAUGAGUUAUUUUAACUUCAAUAAUAUUAGGCAGCAACCCGCUACUGGUUUAUAUCAUUUGCAGACUUAUUUUUUAACUUUUUUAAGAUGAGGAUUAAUCUAUCUGAACCCGUUCACUGAGUAUUUCAAAUUGUUAUUUUGUACUAGUAGAUAGUUGUCGAUGGAAUAAUAUAUUUAUAGUGCAACUUGGAAAGUCAAUCGAGAAUAGCUUAAAAUUCUACUUUCUCUAGCUAAUAUUGGGGAGAUAUGUCCAUAUCUAUUCUACACUCUGCGGAAAGCAAAUAAAGAAUUCCCUUGGAAGCUCGAACUGAUUAGUCCACCAUUAAGCUAUUGUCCAUAUGUUUAGGUGGAAACCAAUGAGAAGUGAAAAUAAAAGUACUUCUCAUGCCAUGAAUUUGUAGUCAAGAAAUAAUCCUUUAGUUUUAUUUUAUUUUGCAAUAAUAACUCUUUCGAUUUUUUUUAAUAUUUUAUUUAGGAAAUAAACCCUUUAGAUUACUAAGCUGUAGCAAUAUUCAGUGAAAAGAGAGAGAGAGAGAGAGUAGAAAAACCACACAUUAAAAUCCUCAUCUAUUUCACAUUUCCAUAUUGAGCAUCACAUCAAGAGUGGGUACACUUUCAUUGAAUCGUGGUCUCUAAUGCAUAGGCGGUUUGAAAUUAAUUUUAUUACAAUUGGAUACUUCUUGUUUUUGGAUAGGAACAAUUGGAUUCAUGAACAUACAUUGUACAUACAACAUAAUGGUCAAUUUUAGGGAUGGCAAUGGGGAGGGGAAGGGAGGGGACCAAUCUCCCUGUACCCAUCUCCGAUAUUUUGCGUAUGUCCCCGUCCCCGUUAGAAUUACUUGAGAGAAUCCCCAUCCCCUCCCCGAAUAAUAACAGGGGAUCCCCGAGAGUCCCCGAUCCCCGAAUAACUAAUACAUUUUUUUUUGUUUUUGAUUUUGAGUUAAUCAUAUUAAAAUAAAAAAUUCAAAUAAAAGUAAAGUUCGAAAUAUAUCUUACAUUAAUAUCCAUUACAAAAGUCACAUACAUUAAAUUAGUAAGUAACGCAACAUACAAGGGAUACAAACUUCUUUUACAAACUAUCAUGAACAAAUUAAUAGUCUAAUACAAAAUUGUUACAAAUAAAAUCGAAUUUAGAUUCAAAAUUAACUUUUUCAAUGGUGGCGUGGGCACUUUAUAAAUGUGGACUAUUCCCUUUACAACACAAUAGUUAAAUCGGAGCAAAUCAAGAGCAAAUAUUAGAUUAGAUUAGAUUAGAUAUUAAAAUUGUGAUUCGCUGUGGGCAAUUAUAACAUCUAAAAAUAAAUAAAAAAUAGAUUUAAGUUUAAAAUAUUUAAAGAAUAUUAAAAUUAAAAAAUUUUGGGCUAAUAGAAUCUACUCAAUCUUUUUAAUGUCCUAAAUAAAAAUUUAGGACUUUAAUUAGGCCUAAAAGUUUAAUAAUAUAAAUAUUUUGAUAUUUUUUAUUUUUACCAAUAAUUAUAAUUUUAUAAUUUAAAUUUUAUUAUUUAUUUACUAGUAAUUUUAAAAAAUUAAAAUAAAAUUAAAAAUUAAAAUGGGGAAAUGGGUAGGGGAUGGGGAUUCCACCUCAUCCCCGUCUCCUCCCCGAAUAAAAAAUUGGGUAAAAAAAUUUCCUCGUCCCUUCCCCAAAUAAGAAAUUGGGUAUGAAAUUAUCCUCAUACCCUCUCCGAAUGAGGAAAAUCCCCGAGGGUACCCGUCCCGUGGGGAUUUUUGCCAUCCCUAGUCCAUUUACACAUUUUCAACGUUUAGUAAUAUGAUUAGAAAGUUCCCCUAAUUUUAAAUUAUUAAAUUUUAUAUUUAUUGAAAGUGAUAGAGGCACUCGUAUUAAUUUGUGCUCUUAAUUUUCCAUUUGAUUGCAAUAUAAGAAAAUGAGUAUUACAUGACAUUUGUCCUCAUUUGUUCUGCCUGGAUCGACCAAAAUAAUUUACUUGGUCUCAGUUUUCACCCGUGGAAUACUCUUGGCUUCUUUCUUGUCUAACCAUGACCAUAAAUGAGAAACAAUGGAGGCCAAGGCAGCCAACGAAAUAGUUCAAGCCUUACCAAACAAAAAAACUAACCUUAGUAAACUAAGUCCUCAAGCAAAUAACACAGAUUAAAAUGGCUUCAAAUUAAAUUUUCUCAAGUUUUGUCGGUAACCCGGCAAGCACCGGAAUUAAUUGUUCCGGCGAGGCCAACGCCGCAUGAAUUAAAGCAACUUUCAGAUAUGGAUGAUCAAGAAAGUCUAAGGUUUCAGAUUCCAGGAAUAUUAUUUUACAAGAACAACCCUUCAUCAUCACCUACUGUCCAAAAAGAAAAGAUCCCGUGAAGGUCAUCAAGGAAACUUUAAGUAAAGCACUUGUAUAUUAUUAUCCUUUUUCAUAUACGCUUGUAAAAGGCCCCAACCGCAAGCUUAUGGUGGAUUGCAAGUGAAGGGAUCUUGUUGCUUAAGGCUGAAGCUAACUUCAAACUUGAGCAGCUUGGCGAUGCUGUUCAGCCACCAUACCCAUAUUUGGAACAACUGCUCUGUAAUGUUCCAGGUUCCCAAGGCAUUCUUGGUUGCCCAUUGCUCUUAAUUCAAGUGAGUUUAUCUAUUACUUGUAAGCAAGUGACUUUACUUUCGCAUGCAUACUCAGAUUAUAUAGUUUCUAAAUUCUUUUAACUAAACAUAAAUGUCUAUUUAGUUCCUAGAGUUUUGAGUUAAUUGCAGAAGUAAUUCUUAUAUUUUAAAAAUUUGUCCAAAACAUCCAUGUUAUAAAUAUGUUUCCAUUGCAAUACCUACUUAAUUAUUCUCUACUAUUCUUCUAUUACAUAAUAGUUUUGUUUGAAUUUUAUCAGUAAAAAGUUAGAUCCAACAAUUAUAAAAGUAGCAACAAGGAGCCCACAAAGACUUGGUCAAAUAUUUUUCUUUAGUUACUCACCUGAGCUUAAAUCUUGAGAGAGAUACAAGCUAAAAAGUCAAUUUGAGUUUUGCCCAUUCUCCAACUUCUGAAAAAUAAUAACAAUAAUGGAAAUGAUAUUUUGCGUAAUUUUUCAAAACAUGAAAAGCAACUGAGUAAUUGGCCCCGGACUUAAAAUAAUUUAUCUUUUUAACUAAUCAUUACUUUAAUCAUAAUAUUACUCUUAAUUAAUUAUCUAAUGAUUUUCUUCCUAUGAGUGUAUAAGGUAACUCGAUGUGGGGGAUUCAUUCUUGCAUUACGUUUUAACCACACAAUGUGUGAUGCAAUUGGUUUGGUACAGUUCUUAAAAACCAUAGAGGAGAUGGCACGAGGUUAAGAUAAACCUUCCCUACUCCCUGUUUGGCAACGGGAAUACUUAUGUGCGACAAUUCCACCACAAGUAACAUGUGACGCCCAAAAUGAAUAUGAGCAAAUAAACUCCAUCCCGAGUGCCUUCACAGCUGCCAACUCAAAUGACAUGGACCACAAAUCAUUGUACUUUGGUCUAAUGAGAUAGAUAAAAAAAUAUAGAUUUUAAUAUAUUAACAGAUAAAAAAAUAAUUUUUAAUCUAUUAAAAUUUAUUUUUUAAAUUUUAAUAUGUAUCUAAAGUGAGGAUAAAGUAAAGAUGCUCUACUAGUAAGGGAUUAUAUAUAUUAAAUAUGAAAAUCAGUUCGAGCCAUCAUAAAAUUCUUUUCCUUUAUUACAAAAAACAUAUGGGACAGUAUAGAUCUUUCUCCAAUUACUAGUGAAAACAUAUUUCUAGGCUAUGUUUAACAAACCUCUAAAUUCUGAUACAAAUUAUUCUCAAUAGAUCUCAAAUUGUAAACAUAUCAAUAUGCUUUACUAUGUAUUGAACAUGAUGACGAGUACGUUUCUUGUGAAAUUAGGACGCUAUUGAAUAUGUUGUGAUAAGGUGGUGUACUGUAAAUUAGGAGGCAAAUUCUCCUUCCAAUAAUUCUUGCAACACUCGGCUAAUUGAGCUUGUUCCCCUAAAUAAAUGGAAGUCCUUUCGUGUAUACUUGCACCACCGAAUGAGUUAUUUUAACUUCAAUAAUAUUAGGCAGCAACCCGCUUCUGGUUUAUAUCAUUUGCAGACUUAUUUUUUAACUUUUUUAAGAUGAGGAUUAAUCUAUCUGAACCCGUUCACUGAGUAUUUCAAAUUGUUAUUUUGUACUAGUAGAUAGUUGUCGAUGGAAUAAUAUAUUUAUAGUGCAACUUGGAAAUUCAACGUAGAAUAGCUCAAAAUUCUACUUUCUCUAGCUAAUAUUGGGGAGAUAUGUCCAUAUCUAUUCUACACUCUAUGGAAAGCAAAUAAAGAAUUCCCUUGGAAGCUCGAACUGAUUAGUCCACCAUUAAGCUAUUGUUCAUAGGUUUAGGUGGAAACCAGUGAGAAGUGAAAAUAAAAGUACUUAUCAUGCCAUGAAUUUGUAGUGAAGAAAUAAUCCUUUAGUUUUAUUUUGUUUUGCAAUAAUAACUCUUUCGAUUUUUUUUAAUAUUUUAUUUAGGAAAUAAACCCUUUAGAUUACUAAGCUGUAGCAAUAUUUAGGGAAAAAAGAGAGAAAGAGAAGGAGAGAGUGCAAAAACCACACAUUAAAAUCCUCAUCUAUUUUACAUUUCCAUAUUGAGCAUCACAUCAAGAGUGGGUACACUUUCACUGAAUCGUGGUCUCUAAUGCAUAGGCGGUUGGAAAUUAAUUUUAUUACAAUCGGAUUCUUCUUAUUUUUGGAUAGGAAUGGAUUCAUGAACAUACAUUGUACAUACAACAUAAUGGUCAAUUUACACAUUUUCAACGUUUAGUAAUAUGAUUAGAAAGUUCCCCUGAUUUUAAAUUAUUAAAUUUUAUAUUUAUUGAAAGUGAUAGAGGCACUCGUAUUAACUUGCGCUCUUAAUUUUCCAUUUGAUUGCAAUAUAAGAAAAUGAGUAUCACAUGACAUUUGUCCUCAUUUGUUCUGUCUGGAUCGACCAAAUAAUUUACUUGGUCUCAGUUUUCACCCGUGGAAUACUCUUGCUUCUUUCUUGUCUAACCAUGACCAUAAAUGAGAAACAAUGGAGGCCAAGGCAGCCAACGAAAUAGUUCAAGCCUCACCAAACAAAAAAAAAAAAAACUAAGUCCUCAAGCAAAUAACACAGAUUAAAAUGGCUUCAAAUUAAAUUUUCUCAAAUUUUGUCGGUAACCCGGCAAGCACUGGAAUUAAUUGUUCCGGCAAGGCCAACGCCGCGUGAAUUAAAGCCACUUUCGGAUAUGGAUGAUCAAGAAAGUCUUAAGGUUUCAGGUUCCAGGAAUAUUAUUUUACAAGAACAACCCUUCAUCAUCACCUACUGUCCAAAAAGAAAAGAUCCCGUGGAGGUCAUCAAGGAAGCUUUAAGUAAAGCACUUGUAUAUUAUUAUCCUUUUUCAUGUACGCUUGUAAAAGGCCCCAACUGCAAGCUUAUGGUGGAUUGCAAUGGUGAAGGCCUCUUAUGGUGGAUUGCAAUAGUUUUAUUGCAAAAUAGAUAAAACAACACACAAAAUAUAUAUAGUAGAUUAAUAAAAGAAUAUAUUAAAAAGAAAUAAGAACAAAUAAAUAAAACAACUAAUUAAGAGAAUAAUAAAAAGAUAAAAUCUGAAAUUUCAAAAUUUGGAAUUUAUCGGUUUUGUAUGAAUUAAAACUACUAAGUACUAUAUUAAAUAAACUUUAUAGGAAUUUGAUAGUUUAUUUAGGAAAAGAUAAUUACAAAAUAAUAAUAAAUUAAAUAAAUAAUAAUGACUUUUAAAUUCACUUUCCCCUUUUAUAUACAAAAUAAUCAUCUCAUGUAAAGCGGGGCUCUAGAUAACUGCCUAAGUUGCAUGGAGGUCGAGCCGCUACUGACUACAAAUCAUUGUACUUUGGUCCAAUGAGAUAGAUGCGCUAAAAAAUUAACCUCCAUUGCACUUUAACUGUUCCACAUUUGACUUGUUAGCUGCUUUUAUAUGGAGAUGUAGAACUGUUGCACUUCGACUAAAUCCUAAAGACACUGUUCUAUUUUCAUGUCUAGUUACCUCGUGAGGAAAACAUUAUAACAUGAACUUGCCUUCUGAGUAUUGUGGUAACGCGUCGGCGUUUCCAGUUGUAUGUUCAAAAGCUGAAACUAAAAGACUGGAUACUUUUAACAAAAGUGUGAAAUCGGAUACAAUCUUGAAACUAAAAGACUUUGUCAAAAUACACACACACACAGAUUUAAUCUAAGAUUUGAACUUUGUUAAAAUCUGAAAAAGUUAUGGUUUAAUAGUGUAAAUGACAUUAUAAUAUUAAACUAUAUAACUUAAUAGAUUUUUUGUAUUUUGGAUCAGAUCAGUACUCAUAAUAAUUCUCUAGUGAAAACAUCCUCAUUUUAUUAAAAUGAGGAUGCCACCAAUAGAUAAAAAAUAUAGAUAUUAACAAACAAAAAAAUAAUUUUUAAUGUAUUAAAAUUUAUUUUUUAAAUUUUAAUAUGAAUCUGAAGUGAAGAUAAAGUAAAAAUGCUCUAAUAGUAAAGGACGAUAUAUAUUAAAUAUGAUAAUCAGUUCGAGCCAUCAUAAAAUUCUUUUCCUUUAUUACAACAAUAUGGGGCAAUAUAGAUCUUUUUCCAAUUACUAGUGAAAACAUAUUUCUAGGCUAUGUUUAUCAAACCUCUAAAUUCUGUCACAAAUUAUUCUCUAUAGAUCUCAAAUUGUAAACAUAUCAAUAUAUUAAAAUAAUUAAUUAAAAAACUGACAAGCAUCCAACCGCACGUUUUUCAUUUGUUCAUUUGUGAACUAAAUUACAUUUAUAUUCUACUCCGAAUAUGACAUUUUUUUUCACGAUGAUGGUCUUCUUUUGUUUGCGCCAUAAAUGUUUACACGUGGGGCUGGUCACAAGCAUUAUUGUACUGGACCAGAAUCCGGUGCUGAUAUGAGCAAGUCAUGAGCACCGGAUCAAUGACCCGUAAUUAUUUAGGACUUACAUAAAACAAUUGCUGACCAUUGAUCCAGUGCUCAGGAUUUACUCAUAUCAGCACCGGAUCCAUACCCUAUUGUACCAUGUUUAAUUAGAGCCACCCAAAUUGCAAAACAAAUGGAAUGCAUCGCAAUCAUGUAUUUUUUAAUUAUGAAAGCCCACGUGUUUCUCAAAAUUGAUGAAGGGCCACUUCUGUCUCGAUGUGGCUUAUCUACAGGUUAGAUGCUCGGGGAAACGUAUAAUAAUGGGUCCUCGGAAUGCAGUCCCAUCCACGUGAUACAUGCAUUCAAACUCUCUUAUAAUCUGAUUUUUUCUGGGAUUUUUUUUUAGAGGUAAUUUAAGUAUACUUAAGAGCUAAAAUUUAAUUUACUUUUAAUUUUCCUUUUUAAAUGCCAAAACACAACAUUUAGUGGCCAAUUACAAUUCGAAAACUAACGGAGUUUUAAAGUGAGACUCAUUUGAGUUCUUUCUCUGCACAUUUUAUAACCUCUUUCUUCUUCCCCGGCUUCUUCAAAACCUUUAAAAGAUUAAUUAGUUAAUUUGGUAAUGAAGAAUUCACCAAAUUAAUUUUUUUUAAAAUAAGAGCUGGCUAUUUAACUUUUUUGAGCAAUAACAUGCAAAACAAGACAUGUACAAACUACAACCCCAAUGGUCCAUCACUCAUUGUUGUGAGCAUCGGAUACUUCAACAAAAGUGUGAGAUCGCGCACUCUAAGAUUGUUCGCACAUACAAAAAUUAAAUACGAAAAUCAGUUUGAACUUUCAUAAGAUUCUUUUACCUUACCACAAAACAAGAAAUACGAUAGAUUUCUCCCCAAAUCAUUGGUGGGAGCAGAAUUCUAAAUUAUAAUUAGACCUCUGCAUUAUAUAUUACAAAUUAUUUUCAAUAGAACUCAAAGUGUAAGAUAUCAAUAAUUUGUAAUAAUUCAAAAACAUUGACAAGCAUCCCAGCCGCACUUUUUUCAUUUGUUCAUUUGUGAAAUAAAAGUACAUUUAUUUUUGUUUCCGGAUAUAACAUAGAUUUAUUUUUUUAACGAAGAUGUCUUCUUUAUCGCCAUAAAUGAUGGCAACAGCAAAGGUGGGGUUGGUUACAAGCACUAUUGUACUAUGUUUAAUUUGAACCGUCCAAAUUGCAAGGCAGAUGGAGAUUUUUUUGGUGAGUCAAUUUGUCAUAACUCGUUCUGCGGUUUGAAAGUAGGGACAAUGACAAAAGGAAAAAAAAUGGCAGACAAAUUAUCCCCACAUUUACCCUCGUGGUCUGCUGCAAUGCAUGAUUUUUAAUUAUAAUUAAAAUUAUUUUUAUUUUUAUUUUUAUUUAAAGUGAAAUAAGGUCUCUUUCCAAUAAUAAAUAACAGUCUUUUAAGACCCCGAUCCAAAUUCGACGAUGCGUGAAUUAAAUUAAAAAAAAAAAAGAGGGGUCAUCCAAGUAACUCAGUCCCUAAAUGGCAUCCAAAAUUUCUCAAGUUCUAUCGGUUACCUGGAAGGCAGCGGGGCCUAAUUGCUCCGGCGAGGCCAACACCAAGGGCAGUGAAGCAACCUUCAGAUAUUGAUGACUUAGAAAGGCGAAGGAUCAGAUACCAAUAAUAUUCUUUCACAAGAAUGACCCUUCACCUUCGAUGCAAGGAAGAGAUCCUGCAAAGGUAAUUUAAAAAGCAGUAAGUAAAGCACUUGUCUUUUAGCAUCCUUUUGAUGUAUAUACACGCAAAAGCAGUUAUUCUUGAUCGAACUGAAACUGAUCAGCUUUUUGUAAAACAUAAUCCAAACCGAUUGUCAAUUCGGUUAAGUUUUUCCGGUUUUAAAUCGUAAAUUUCUUUUUAUUUUAUAUUUUUAAAUUUUUUUUAUAUAAACUGAUUUCUUUAAUUUUUUAAACUGAACUGAGUAGAACGAAACCGUCAAUUCGGUUCGGUUUUUAUGGGAGUAACAAUUUCUUUACCCACCCCUAAGUGUAAUCAAAAGCAAGUAGUUGAGUGAGGCAAAUUUUUGCUUCGGCUAAGGAUUAAUAUGGUAAAUAUACUCAUUCAAGUAGUCAAGCUUACAGUAAAGAUAAAUAGAUAAAGAUUAAUGGCCGUAGUUUAAUUAUGUAAAUACAAUAUACAUAUGCCAUAAAUUAUUAUGAAAUGUGAUAAAAGUUUAAUUAUUUUAAAACGAGAUGAAUAUGUAUAAUUAAACUACAGCUGUUAAUUCGUUGUCUACUUAUUUUCGCGGUUAGUUUGGCUACCUUGAUUUUCUUAAAAAUAAUUAAAAAAAAAAGUUAUUACUGGUUGAUUUAUUAUUAAGAAAAUGAUAUUCUCACUUUUUACAAAGUGAGAACAACACUGAGCACCAAAUACUGUGUUUUGUGCUCAAUAUAAAAACUCACUGUUGUUCUCAAAAUACAACACUCUCAAUCUAUCUCUUGUCUCGCUCCCUCACUCUCUCUUUCUCGUGUUGCCCAAUUUUCUAAAUUUUCCGCAACUCUAGAUCUUCAACUAUAGUGGCUUUUUCCAUAUUCUUUAUUUCUACAAAAUAAAUAUAAUUCAUAUUAAUAAACUGAAAACAACUAAAGAUUGCUAAAGUGAGCCACAUACAAGUAUGCUAUAAUUUAAAAAAGAAAAAAUAUCAUUUAUUGCAAAUUCUUAUAUGGAUUUCGAAAAUGUCCGAUUGCUUGUUUCCUCUAUAAAUUUCUAAUCCGAAUUGAGAAUCAAUUCGGUUAAUCCUUUUCUGGUUUUAACUCGUAAAUUUCUUUGUAUUUUGUGAUUUUUUAUUUUUAUAUAAACUAGUUUUUUUAUUUUAUUUUUAAACUCAUUGCAAUAAACUUUCAAUUCGGUUUGAUUUUUUUUGGAGCAACGAUUUUUUAACCCACCCCCAUUUGUAAUCAAAAGCAACUAGUUGAGUGAGGCAAGUUUUUGCUUCAGCCUUAAGAAUUAAUAUGGGAAAUAUACUCGUUCAAGUAGUCAAGCCUAUAAUAAGGAUAAAUAGAUAACGGAUCAACGGUUAUAAUUUAAUUAUACGAAUGUGGUGUGCAUAUCUAUCAUAAAUUAUCAUAAAAUAUGGUAAAUCUCAAUUCUCUUGAAACAUGAUAAAUAUGUGCAAUUAAAUUAUAGCUGUUAAUUCGUUGUUCAUUUUUUUUUAUUGUCAGCUUGCCUACCUUGAUUUUCCUAAAAAUUGGGAAAAAAAAAACUUAUUGUUUGUGUCAAAGGAUUGCCUUAUUAUUAUUCUAUUUUUUUGGCAAAACUACAAUUAUGCUAAAAUUGUACACAUCAUAAAUAAAAUUAUAAGUAGUUGAAAAAAAAUUUUAAAAAAAGGGAAGAUAGAGUAGCAUCUAUGAAAGUAGUUGAAUUCUUGCAAGGUGUGGAUGUAAGCAAGUAGUAAGUUUGAAUUUUCUGUCAUUGGUAAAUAUUGGUUUUGAUUUUGGGAAAUAUUUUAAUUAUUGGGUUAGUUUUGAUGCAGAAGUAAAUUUGACGUUUGUGAAGUCAAUCGUGAUAUUAUUUUUGACUAAUAAUGGUAACGAAAAAAUAGCAAAUUGUUAUCUUUUUAUAGUUAAUAUAAUAAAAUGUUAUAAUUUGAUAAUUCUUGUAGUAAGAUAGUAACCCAUUACAGAAAAUCAAGCUAAAGGUCUUGUUCAUAGUAAACAUUCCAUAAGUUCUUUCGGUAGAAAUAAGAAUCUCUUUUAAUGAGAAUAUCUCUUUCGUUCAAUAAUUUAAACGAGAAUCUAAUUUCUUCUAUAUUUAUCAUAAUUUUUUUUUAACCAAUGAAAGAAAAGUCUUUUUCUUGCCAUGAAUUUCCUGUCAAAAAUAAUCCUUUAGUUUUAUGUUGUUAUGCAAUAGUAUGAGAAGAUUCUUUUUUAUUAAGUCGAUGCUUUAGGCCUUUAAUAAAUGCAUUAAAGAUGCUACUUAAAAACAAUUGGUUAUUGCUAGAGAUCUGAUCAGUGUGUGUGCGCGGGCGGUUGUGUAUAUACGCGCACGCGUGUGCGCGGGUGGGUGGGUGCGCGUAUGGGUGUGUGUGAGUGGUUUUUCAAUCCAGAAAGUAUCCAAAAUAAGAUGAUGUCCACCAAUUAGUAUGCAAUAACUUAAAAAAAAAGGGGGGGGGGGGGAGGGGGGAGGAAUUUUUAAAGAGUGGGACUAUUGGCACCCCUCUAAAUACCUCUUAAUACCCUUUUAAUUAUUUUAAAAUUUUAACCUUUAUUAAAAUUACAUAAUAAGACAAUUUCGAAUUAAACCCCCACUCAAAAUCAAAUAAUUUUUUCCCCUUAAAAAUUCCUUAUUACUAUUAGAUUUGUUAAUAGAAUCAUUGAUAUUAUCAAUUUAUCAUUGACAUAAAAUCAUUCAUUCCUCUUAGAUUUGUUCCAUUAUCAUGCUCUUCACAUAAAAUCAUUGCUAUUAUAUUUGUUAAUAGAAGUCAUUUCAUAGAGGCAUGUAAAACUUUGGAAAUUCAAAUUAUGCUACAAUAUCUUUAUUAUUGGACUAAUUUUUCUAUGGCUUUUUUCUACAGGUGUUCAUGCUUCCAGCUUCACCUAUUCCUCCUAUUGCGAAUGGUUGGAUCAAGUAUCAUGAACCAUGUGCAGAAGGCUGGGCAACACCAUACGAAACUAAUAUAAGUGCUUUUAAGGAUUUGGUGUUUGAAGUUACCACACAAGAAAUAAUUGAUAUAGCUAGUCAAUGACAAUAUUAGACAAUUUGAUACUAAUAAAUUAAACAAGGGAUCAAAAAUUAAGUUUUAUCCACAAUUAAGGGAUCAAAAAUUAAACAAUGGGGUUUAUACUAAUAAAUUUAAAUUAAGGGUAUUUUUGUCAUUAAAGGGGUGUUAAAAGAAUUUUAUAAUAUUUUUAAAUAUUUUAAUGGGGUUAAUAAAGAAAAGAGGUGUUGAGAGAUAUUUAAAGGGGUGCCAAUAGUCCUACUCAUUUUUAAAUACCUCAUUCGGGCUGUUAGAUUCCCAGGCCCCUUUAUUGACUGCAUAUGAUGGAGUCUACCAUACAUAGACAAAUGUUGGCCUUUAAAUUUUUAAUCCAAAACUUUUAAUCCAGAACUCUCGGAUUGAAAAAGCACCUAUAUAUAUAUAUACAGUAAUAAAAAUUAGGUCGAGCUAUUAGGGGCUUCUCUUUCCUUACCAUAAAAUGUAGAAUAUGGUAAAUUUCUCUCUAUUUGUUAGUGGAGCAGAUUUUCAAAUUAUGUUGAAUAGAUGGUAGAAUUACAUAUAUUACAUAUUAUUCUCAAUAGAUCUCAAAUUAUAAUAUGUUAGCUAGCAUGUUGUAUUACUCCUAAAUAAAAAAAAUAAAAAAUUGAGAUGCAUCCCAACCUUACUUUUUCCAUUUGUUGAUUUGUUAUAUGUUGCUUAAUUUGUCACAAAAAGAAAAUGACAGAAAGAUUUAAUUUAUAACGGCACGUGCUUGAGGAACAAAGCACCAAUCAAUUGUCAAUCCCAUGAAAGAGUAUAUUUGUCGGCUAUUGCACUCUAAAGAUUUUGCAGCUACACCCAAAGCUUAAUUGUAAUCAUUAUUACAUUUAUAAUUCUACUCCACUGUUUUCUAUUGUUUAAUGCAAAAGUUUUGAUUGCCUCUUCUAAUUCACUUGGGAUUUUGUUCGCUCCUAAACAAAAUUUUAGUUGGAUGCAAAUGGGUUAAAUGAAUUUUAAAAUUUUUCAGAUUUUCGCCUUCAUUGCUACAAACCAAGAUUAGCAUCCGUUUCAUCGAUGCUGGUAUUGUCAUCACAAAUACUUCCAGUCAUUUGGUUCAAUAGCGUUUCGUUUAUGCUAAACUUUCUCAUGCUUGUAGAUUGCAAAAAUCUAUUCAAGUUUGAAGAGCUACGUACAAAUUAGGGAUGGCAAACAGCGGGCCUGGGCUGGACCCGAGCGGGCUUGGGCCGGUCCGGACUUUUUUACCACCCCUAGGCUUAAUCCAUUUGCCUUAUGGAAAGGACAAGUGCAAUAAUUGCCUUUGCAUCUAUGGGAUUCUACUCUCUCUGCGCUGCUUGUACAAAAAGUCCACUAUUCGCCCUGAUUGUGGGAACAUAUGUCAAUAAUGCUAUCUUAUUUGACUUGAAUUUUUAAUAAUGUGUACAUAUUAGUUAAUUUUAUUAUUAGGCCACUGCUAAGUUACGUUUAAAGUAACUUAGCACACACACAACAAUAGUAGCAGGCUCUACUAAUGGUACUGUUGCUGUGUGUGGGUGUAUGUUACGUUAAUCGUAACAUAAGGAGAUCCUUAUUAUUAAUUAUUAACUUUUAUUUUUAUAAUCUAUAAAAUUGUUAUAGAUAAAUGUUGUAUCAAUAAGUAUUUUAAUUAAAAAUUUAAAGUAAGUAUAGUGUUACUCAAACACAUAUAGAAAGAACUAAUAAUUUGACAUAUAUGCUCAAAUUAUGGGAUGGAUUCCGACUGAUCUUAAUACUUCAAACCCCAUAUUCAUUAUACUUUAAUAUUUUUAUUCAUUCAAUUUUUCACAAUAAAGCGGCAUAUAGUCUAUAAACUAAGAUCCGGUGUUUAGAUGAACUUGAGCUUGUUUUGUGCAUCAAAUCAACAAUCAUGAUUUGUUUAACAUGAGUUCUAUAUAAGUUUUAAUUAACUUUUGAUCCUUAAUUCAAUACUUAACACAAAUUCUACUACUUAUUGAAUCCUUAUCCUUACAUUGAUUAUUUUUCUCAAAAAUAAUCCUUAUACUUAAUAUCCUUAUCCCAAAAAUAAUCCUUAUCCUUAUGCUUAAUAUUAUUAAACUCUUUUUUAUAGGGAUGACAAUAAUCAUGAUUCCGGACGUGGAUCAUGAUCCCUGGCCCCAUCCCCGAACCCACCUCAUAGAUGAAAUUGAUUAUUUUUGGGAUGGAUGGGAAUGUAGGAGAGAAUCCUCAAAUGAGGCAAGGAGGCAAGGGAUAAAACGAGGGCCAAAUGCCCAGCCUAUCAAUAUGUAGAUUUUUCUCAGCAGAGAGCAUUGAUGUGUCUUUACAUUGAAAGAAAUUAUUUUUACGUACUUUACGGUUCAGUCGAUUUUCAACCAUUUUUUUUUUUCGGUUGUCACUCGCGUCUACUUUAUUCAAAUCAACCCAAUAAUUCAAAUCCCGAAAGAAAUUAAUAAGAACUACAAAAUUAAUGGAAAAUUUACACAAAUAACCUAAAAAAAUUUGUUAUUUUCACAACUAACCCCUCAACUUUUUUCCUAUCAACAUUAGCCAAUAAUCAUCCCUAGUGCCAAAAAUGCCCCUCCCAUAACUCUACCUCUCCUUCCUCUCUCUCUCUCUCUCUCUCUCACCGUCGAAUUCACUGCAAGAUCUACUUGAUGCGUUAUCAAGAUCAUCAUCUAUAUAUGCAUCAGACUCUAGCGUUGCACCAUCCUGAUCAUCGUCUUCAUAGGACUCAUCAUCAUCAGUAGCCUUUUCAGUUCCACUUCCACUUAGUUCUGAUUAUAAGUACAAUUCUUCAAGGGCUUGAGGAAAUAUGCAUCACCCAAGUUUUAACAGAAAAGAAAUCAUUACAGCUUACCCCAAAUAUCUUAUCAUAUUCCUCCAGCAAUGUUAUGAUAAUGGCUUGAGCAUGAUUUACUGCAGCUGCUGCUUGCAGCAGUUGAGCAGAACCGUCACCACCCACAUUGAAAUCAAUUUCAAUCUCACAUUCACCAACUAGAAGGGGACGACGAAGUAGAGGUGCCAUGCAAGCCGCCACUGCUGAAGUGCUCAUUCGAUUUUGAUUUUUGGAAGAAGCAACAAUUUUCAUCAUCAUAAGUAGGUGCGACAGGCACCAAAUUCGUGCGACAGGUGCCUGUCGCACAACAUCUUAGUGCGACAGGCACAUGUCUGCACUUGCACAAAAUCUUAGUGCGACAAGCACAUGUCUGCACUCGCACUGAAUCAAGUUCGCAAGUUGAGAAAAUAUCUCUUACUGCUCGCUGAUACGGAUUAGUGUUGGAUUCGGAUGGAUUACGCUGUAUUUGAUGGGAGUUCACUUUUUACCGUUCGCCGUUGCCGUUUGCCGUUGCUAUUUGUCGUCGCCGGUGAUAAUUCAAUAGUAUAAGACUGCGUUUCGUUUGAUCAAGGGGGAGAAGAAAAGUUGUUUUUGGUUUGUAAACAAGGGUAAUUUGGGGAGAAAAUCUUGUGUUUGGCUAAUGUUGAUUGAAAAAAGUUUGAAGGGCUAAUUGUGAAAAUUACAAAAAUUUUUAGGUUAUUUUUGUAAAUUUCCCAAUAUAAAUCGUAUCGAAUAUGCUUUACUUAUAGAUCCAGCUAAUGGUAGCAAAGCCGGCAAACAAUGGUGUUUAUCUAAGCCGGCAAACAAUGCUCCCCUAAAUCGAAUCGAAAGAUAGACAUUUAAUGGCCAACUGUCAAGGAUGGUGGCAAAGCAUUGAAGGCCAUAAUCCCCCCCCCCCCCCCCCCCCCCCCCCACAACAAAAAAAAAAAUGUCAUCAAAAUUGCGGCAAUUAUUCUCAGUGAUUCGGAAAACCCCGGAACUAAUUGGACCGGCGAGGCCUACAGCUCGUGUAAUAAAGCAACUAUCCAAUUUAGAUGACCAGCAAUGUGUAAGGUUUCAGAUUCCAAUGAUAUUCUUUUACAAGAAUGAUCCUUCGCCUGCAAUGGAAGGCAAAGACCCAGUUAAGGUCAUCAGGGAAGCCCUAAGCAAGGCGCUUACGUUUUAUUACCCUCUAGCUGGGAGGCUUAAGGAAGUGUCCAAUCGCAAGCUAAUGGUGGAUUGCAAUGGUGAAGGCGUCUUGUUUACAGAAGCUGAAGCUAACAUCACACUUGAGCAGCUUGAGGUUGGUGAUGCAGUUCGGCCACCGUGUCCAUACUUGCAUGAAUUACUGUAUAAUGUUCCAGGCUCUGAAGGCAUCCUUGGUUGCCCAUUGUUGUUAAUUCAAGUAAGUCAGCUUCACUAGCAACUUCAUUCAUAAUUGCUUCUAUAUAUAUAUAUAUAUAUAUAUAUAUAUAUAUAACUUCAGAGACUUUGAACUAAUUACUCAGUUAAUCAACGUAUUUUAAAGAGCUAUUUUUAUAUUUUUCAAAUGUUUUCAUAUUUAAAAUGUUAGGUGCAAUUACUAUGGAAAUAAUAACUGUAGGAACAUCUUAAGUAAUUUUCUAAAGGCAAAUUUCCUCUUAGUUCCGAUGAUUUGGAACAAUUAAUUACCCAUUUAGUCUUGUAUAAUUAAUUGUAGGAAAAUUAUUUCUUAAUCACCUCAAAAUAUCAAAAGUAUAAAUGGCAACCACGAGCUUUUGAUAAUAUCUCAGAGCCAUCAGAAGUUUUAGUUUAAUUUAUAUGAACUAAUUACUUUUUCAUUAACUCUAUUAACGCACAUUAAAAAAUAUAAGAUAAAAGAUUAUUUUGUCCUUAAAUUCUUUGAAGAAGGUAAAACAAUGCUUUGGGAUGGUCUAGGGAUAAAAUAUUACUUUAUUUUAAGUUAUUUAUCUGUGACUAACAAAGUUAAAAAAAAAAAAAGUGACUGAUUAAUAUAAAAUAAUACUUUAGGUGGUUCUACAAUAUUAUCAUAUAUACAUUGUCGUUUUUUGCAUUUUUAAUAUUCUUGAAGUGGUUGAAGGAUAAUUUUCUUUAAUCAUACGUAUGAAAUUAAUCAAAAGUUCUAUAUCGUUACUUCUAUAACUAUGAACUCUGACUGUUCAUGAGCAAAAUGGUGUUUUUCUCUAAUAUAUUUUGAAACUCAAAUAAAUCUAAUACGCAACCCUAGAAUAGGAAUUAUUAACUAGGUUGUAACAGCGAUAAAAGAGUAUUUAUUCAUUUUGAACUUAGGGACUAAAGAGAAACGUACCCUUAUUAUGGUGACAGGCAAUAUUGAAUAAGUAUCUUUUUCUGAUUUUGACUUUGACUUGUCUUUCUGAGACCUAACUAUUCAUGUUAUUCUGAAUGAGCUACUUUGCGAGACUCACGUGCAUCGGCCGAGGCCACAUCCAAAAAGCCAACCAUACGUAUACCACAAGGAAGUCCUCUGUCACCCGUUCUAGAUAACAUCUACCUUCAUGACCAUAAUUUAUUUUUUGAUUUCUUAAUUUAAAACACAUAGAAAUGUACCAAAGAGUGAGAUAACACUUCAAAAGACAUGGAAAAUGUAAAAUGAGUGUAGUGGAUACGAGUCAACAUUACGUCUUACUUAACCUUUGAAUUUUGUAUUUGUUUUCCACUGCGUAAUAUAUAGGUGACCCGUUUGGCAUGUGGAGGAUUCAUUCUCGCAUUGCGCUUGAACCACACAAUGUGCGACGCAUUCGCUUUGUUGCAGUUCAUGAAAGCCAUUGAAGAUAUGGCUAAGGGCGCAAAUGAACCAUCAUUGCUGCCUGUUUGGGAACGUGAACUCCUAAGUCCUAGAAUCCACCAAAAAUCACAUGUACCCACCAUGAUACGAUGACCAAACAGAUUCCACUUUGGCCAUGAACCCAAAUGAUCAUAUCAUAAACCAUAAAUCAUUCUAUUUUGGCCCCAAAGAAAUCACAGCAUUAAGAAACCAACUCCCACAACAUCUUAGAGACGGCUGCUCAACAUUUGAGCUAUUAACCGCUUGCAUAUGGAGGUGCCGUACUAUGGCACUACAAAUAGACCCCGAUGAGAUAGUUCGAGUUACAUGUUGUGUUAACAUCCGAGGCACAAAAUAUAACAUGAUGCUACCUAAUGGAUAUUAUGGGAAUGCAAUUGCAACCCCAACAGCAUGUUCAACGGCCGGAGAUUUGAGUAAAUAUUCAUUGGCAUAUGCUGUGGACCUGGUAAAGAAAGUGAAGGCUACAGCGAGUGAAGAGUAUGUAAGAUCUUUGAUAGAUUUUAUGGAGAUCAGAGGCCGACCGAUGCCUGCCGUAAAGGGAAGCUUUGUUGUUUCAGAUAUAACUCGAGGUGGUUUUGAAGAGGUCGAUUUUGGGUGGGGGAAACCUGUGUAUGCUGGACCUCCUGAGGCUGUGUUGUUCAUGAGCUUCUAUAUCAAGUAUCAAAAUAAAGAUAGUGGAGAAUAUGGGACUUUGGUGCCAAUAUGCUUGCCGUUGAGAGCUAUGGAGAAGUUCGAAGAAGAGCUAAAGAAAAUGACUCUCCAAUGACCCAAGGCCACCUUGAUGUAGGAAGAAGUAUAGGGGUCAAAUAAAUUAAAAAUUAUCUUUGUUGAGUAUAACUAUUAUAUAUAUUAUUGGAACUUAUCUUAUUUCGGGAUUUAUAUUUGAGUCAGAUUAUAAUUCCAUCAAGUUCCCUAGUAAAAUACUAAGUUUACCUUUUAACGAAAACUUUUUGUGCCAAAUUAAGGGUUAGUUUGAGAUUGCGGUAACUGUUGAAAUAAGUCGCUUGUAUUGUAUGGAUGAAAUAAAUUGUUGAUUAAAAAAGUAACUUUAGUAAAUUGUAUUGUAUGUUUGAAAAAUGGAGUACAUGCAUUUGGUAAUCUUAUUACGAAAGAGUUAGUUUAUUAUAUAAUAACCAAAAUUGUCUUUUAUUCAUACACUUCAAAUUGUCUUUUAUUUGUACAUUGGAAUUUAUGAAAAUAAGAUGUAAUUGUCUUUUUGGUAAAAAUAUUAAGAUUAUAAUAAACAUUUUAGAAAUGUGUGGUGACUUAUUUCAUUAAUUGCUUAUAAAGCGACCCUUGCUUGUGAAAUUUACGGUCAAAAUAGAGAAACUUAUGAAAUAAAUAAAUUUAAAAAAUUUACUGAACACCACUUUUGUCAAAUCUUAUGGAAUAAGCCUUCUACGACAUUUCAACCUUAAUCCCAAAUAGGGCUCAAUGGCUAGUUUGAGAUUGCAGUUGUUGAUGAAGGCCCAAUUUUAUAAGCUACUUAUUUCAUAAUUUUUGACAAAACAUAGUGUUUGAUAAAUUUUGUAAAAACUAUUUAUUUCAAAAUUUUCUACAUUUUGACUGCAACUUUUAAAACAUCUCUAUCGUUAAACUAUUAACACUCUUGCCGUAACUUUUGUUCCUUUUAACUAGUUUUUACAAUAUUACCUCUUAUAACAAUUUUUUAAGGCAUUAAUAAAAAAAAUUAAAUUACCAAUUUAACCCCAAAAAAAAUUAAAUAAAAAGAAUAUAUGUUAAUUUUUGUGGAAGCUCACAUAUGUCUCAAAAAAAUUAAUAAUAUAAAAAAUUAAAUUAUGAAUUUUUUGGACAUUAAUAAAAUAAUUAAUAUAUUAAUUCCUCAGCAGAGUAUUCAACAAAAAAUAACAUAUAUUCUUUCUAUUUUAUUUUUUAGGGGUUAAAUUGAUAAUUUAAUUUUUUUUAAAGAAACAUUAUUGUAAGAAGAUAAUAUUGUAAAAGCAACACAAAAGUAACAAAAAGCAAUAGCAUGGGGGUUAUUUCCACCCAACCCCCAAAUGUUUCGACAUUUUCCACCGCGGACCCAAUUUUGUUAAUUUGACCAUUAUUUUUAACGGAGCUAUUUGAAAUUUGCUUAAAUAUCCAAAAAUACCCCUUAUCUUGAAUUAGAGAAGAAUUAAAUGAGAUAAAAUGUUAAUCCAAUAAUUAAUAUUUACAUUAAAAAUUCUUAAUUAAAGGUAAUUAAUAAUAAUCUCAUCAAUUAAUUUAUCAAAUAAAUUUAAUUUAUCAUCAUCAAUAAUAUUUAGGGUAUGAACUUCCAAAUUUACCAUUUGACUGUUAGAAUAACGGUCAAAUUAAUAGAUUUGGGUGUGGGGUGGAAAUUGUUUGAAACAUUGGGGGCGCGGUGGAAAAUGUUGAAAUAUUUGGGGCAUGGCGGAAUUAACCCUAGCAUGGGUGUCAAUAAUUUAUAGUUGGGAUGUGUUAAGCUAUUUUUAAACAUAUGAAGACUAAAUGAGCAUUAACUUUAAAAUAUAGAGACUAAACAAGCUUUUUAUCUUUUAAUGUUCAAUCUACUUAUAUUUUUUCUAUGGUCAUGGUUUCUAUUGCAACAAGUUUAAUGUGAAUGUAAUGCAUAUUACUUUUUAUUUUAUUUUAUUUGGAUGUAUUAGUAUGAUUUUUUAUCAUAUUCUAUGUAGCAUACUAUGAAAUUCAUUUGAUUUUAUUUAAUUGAGUUUUUUUUCACUUUAUCGUUUUAAAAAAGAAAAAAGGCAUAAAUAUUACUAAACAUACUCCAAAAAAUAAAAGAUAAUUUAAAUUUAUGUCUAUUUUAGUUAUUAUAUAAUAAAACAACACUUUCAUAAUAAAAUCUAUCAAAUACAUGUGUACUGCUUUUGAAAUUCACAACAAUCACAAUAAUAAAGUUUACUAAAACACCAAUAUGCUUUUUUAAUUAAUAGCUUAUUUUAUCCGCACAGAAGAAACAACUUAUUUAAUCAACCAUCGCAAUUCCAAAUGACUCAAAAAUAAGCUGCUUGUUUUGUACGGAUAAAAUAAGCUCCUGAUUAAAAUAGUGGAUUGGUGUUUGGUAUUAUUAUAGCGGUAGAUGUAAGUUGAAAAAGAAAAGUGAAUGCAUUUAGUAAAUUUUAUUACAAAAGUGUUAUUCUAUUAUUAAUGAUAAGAAUAGGCAAAUAUUUAAACCGCCUUUAUUUAUACACUUGAGUUUGUGGAAAAAUAAGAUAGUAUUGUCUUUUAUUAAAAUAUCAAGAUUAUAAUAGAAAUUUUAAAAAGGUGUGACUGCUUAUUAAUAAGCUACUUAUAAAAAAUAACUCCCUAACUACUUUUAAAAGAUUCAGUUAGAAUCUAGGCACUUAUGAAAUAAAUAAUUUUAAAAAAUUUACUAAUAUUAUUUCAUCAAAACUUAUAAAAUAAGGAGUUUUAAUAUUUCAAUCUUAACCCCAAAUAGAAACCUAAAUAGAAUGACAUAUAAACUAAUAGAAUAUUGGCAAUUCAAAAUAUAAUCUAGCUAAAUAACAUACGAAGCAAUAUAAUUUUUUAUGUGUUUGUAAAAUAGUAUGGAAAGAUUUUCUAACUGGGAGGUUGACAUAUCAAAUUUAUGUUCAUAGAUUUUAGUCAUAAUUGAAAAAAAGGAUUUUAAGAGAAUUUUAGAAGGGUGCUAAUAUCAAGAUGCCCUUUUCUUUCUCUCUCCUUUUUCCAUUUUUGAAUGCAAAAUGGUGCUGAAAAUUAUGAAGCAUCAAAAUUUCAAGAUCAAACUAAGCAAAUUAGAAUCUUAGAACUUGAACUUGCUUAUUUCGACGAAAAUUGGAUCGACCAUCAUAAAUAUAUAAUAUACAGAUUGAAAAUUAAUAUGGACAUGUGAAUAAUGACUGAUAUUUUUGACUAUUUUAAGCAUAAAAAAGAGUAUUUUCGAUUUUCUGUAGUUGUUGUUUUGCAAUAUCAAUGCCAAUUUGACUAUCUACUAUUAAAAUACAGUAUUUUCUAGAGGCAAACACAAUUAAAAAAAAAUUACAGUCGAAAAAAUAAGUUCUAAUUGAUUAUGCAAUAAAUAAAAUAUGUUGUGUUAGUAGGAAUAAAUUAUAUUUCUAAUUGAAUUUUAGUAUUUCCAAGAAGUGAUUGUUGAAAUUCAUUUUAUUCUACUUUCAUAGUUUAAAUGAUCAUUUUUUAUUAAUUGCUCUAAAAAAAAUCAAAAAAUUAAUAGACAAAUUUUAUGGUUGAAAUUGAUUUUCUUAAUUGACUAUAGGAAAACAAUCAAAUGAAUCAAUAGCAAAUAUUCUUUUAUACAUAAUUUUCAACAAAUACAUGUGCAAUUUAAACAAAAGUCAAAUAAUACAACAAAAGCUACACGACGGUGUCGCUUCUUACGGUGGCUUUGGUAAUCAAUGAUCAAUUGAUAAAUAUUCUUUUGUAAAUGAUUUCAACAAAUACAUGUGCAGCUUAAACAAAAUUACAAAUAACAUAUCAAAGCUACAUGGCGCUAUUUACGAUGGCUUAGUGUUGUUAAAAGAUAAAAUCAAUGUGGAUUAAUCAUUGAAUCCUUGACAAAUACUUGAAUAAAAUAAUACACCAAAAGCUACAACGGCACUACUACAAUGAUAUUUUGAUGUUGAAAAAGAUAGAAUCAUGUGGAUUGAGCAACCCAAAUUCUUGUGGAAGAUUGAAUACCAUAAUUUAUUGAUUUAAUUCACAAUUUAUUUAUAACAAAUAAAAGAGACGUUAAUUAGGAUAGAUUCAUAAUUGAAUCUAUCCUAAUUAAUUCUUACCUGCAAGUGACAAUUAAUCAAAAAUUCUCACCGAACAACCCGACAGAAAAAGCUGCAAACCAACCUUAUGAGAGUGAGGCCAACAAUAAUUGACGUCAAACUUAAGAAAUUAAAGGUAAUGGAAAAAAUUUAAUAAAUAUUUGGAAAUAUCUCCCCAAUUCUAUAAAGCUUAGUUCAAAAGAAUUAAGAAAAUGACCCUAAAAAUAGAGUUGAAAACUUUGGAGAUGAAGAAUAAUACAAAAGAAGAGGAGAUGAAUUCAUCAUUACGCUUACUGUUGGUGGCCUUAUUUAUUUACUUAUUCCAUUAAUGGAUAGGAUUUGGUGGCUGAUUGAGAGAAUGGAGAACGUGGUUAGAGUAAACAUAUCAUUUGCACUAAAAACUUUAGUUAGGUGGCAUUAUAAUAGCUAAGUGGACCAAACGGUUACUAGAGAUACUACAAGAUAUUCAAAUUCUUAAAAAAAAAUAAAUUAAUUUAUAUAUCCUUAGUUAGUUAGUUAUUUCAUACUGAUAAAUAAUGAAAAUUAUUAGCAUAUGAUUCGAUUAACUGCAAAACAAAACUUCUUAUCAUAUUAAUGCAAAUUUAAAGUUUGUUAUAACUAAACAAUUAUAUAUAAUAUCUAUUAUGUGAUUGCUGGUUAGAUUAUUUAAUUACUUUUUAGCCUAAAUUGAUUGAUAGAACAUCUUUAACAUAGAUUUUAAAUUUAAAUGAAAAAUUAGUAAGAUAAACAAAAGAUAAAAAUAGAUAUUGACCCACAAAUUAUAAAGCUAUAUUAGUUUUAAUAAUUCAUAGUUAAGUUAUGUUUCAAAAGAUAAAUAAAUUAUUGAAAUAGUUCUAAUUAUAUGUUGAAAUUAAUUGUAUGACCGUUCUUAGACAAUUAGACUAAUUUAAUAAACAAUAUUUCAACAAUAAUUAAAUUUUAAUUACUAAUUAUCUAAUAUUUUUUAGUAUAUGCAAUGAAUGUUAAGUAUGAAGUAUAUGUUCCAUGUUCCACAAUCAAGAGUAUAAUACAAUUAUGAAAACUAUUAAACUCCAUUUAUUAAAAUUGUCACUAGAGUACAUUAGUUUUAAAAUUAGCUAGUCUCCAUAUUGAUUCAAUAACAAUUAUGAUCAUUCAUAGACAUUAUUUCUAUAAAUGCUUAACUAUAAAGUACCAAUUAGUUUGAUAAUGAAUCUCUAAAUUGAUUAUUAAUACAAUCGAAAUUAAACAUUAAUGCAAGUUUCAAGUUUGUUUAUAAAAUUGAAUGGGAUCAUAAAUAUUUUAGAGUUUUCUUGGACUACAAUGCUAUUUUGAAAUUUAUUUGAUGUUUAGUUGUAAGACAUCGUACAUUAUAUUUAUGUUGUAAUCAAUCAAUCGUACUUAUAAGUUAAAUAAGGUAAUUCAAUUUUAUUGUUGCACCAAGUAAAACCUUAAGAAAAAGUCAAUUCCUUAAUAAUCAUUUAAUAUAUAUUGCUAAUUACUUCAAGGUUACGUAGUAGACACUCUCAUAUAUUUUUUUUUGGUUAAGGGUUGAAAUUCUGUGUUCAUUGUAGAAUUUAAUUUUAUUUUAAAAUUAAGUACAUUAAAUUAAUCAUUUAUUUAAUUAUCUAGUUCAUGUUUGAUUAAAAAAAUAGUAAACUAAGAAAAAAAUUACAAUUACUUUUCUGUUAGAUGAUAUCUAAUUUUAUAUUAUGUUUUCUUGCCCUUAUAUCUUUGCUUUGACUGACCUUGCAAGUUAUACUAGUGAAAAAUAUAUUGGCACUUAUGUUGCCUCUCAAAAUUGUAUAUCCUUUGGAUAUUUUUUUUCUACUAACUCUUAGUUACAGUUAAAAAAAUUUUCUAUUUCUGACAAAAAAGAGUCAUAGAAGAGUUAAAAUUUUCAGAAAUUUCUUAUUGUUUUACUCCACUGUUUUCUAUUGUUUAAUGCAAAAGUUUUGAUUGCCUCUUCUAAUUCACUUGGGAUUUAGUUCCCUCCUAAACAAAAUUUUAGUUGGAUGCAAAUGGGUUAUAGGAAUAAAAAAAAAAAAAUAUAUAUAUAUAUAUUUCAGAUGUUAGCCUUCAUUGCUAGAAACCAAGAUAAGCAUCCGUUUCAUUGAUGUUGGUUUGUCAUCACCGAUACUUCCAGUCCUUGGUUAAACUAACUACAAUUCAAGAGGGUGUCGUUUAUGCUAACUUCUUCUCACGUUUGUAAAAUGUUAAUUGCUCUCUUAAUAAAAAUUAUUAUUAUUGUUGCUAUUGUUGUAGUAGUUGUGUUGAUAUUAUUAGGCUGAUGAACUUAAAAAAACACGCCAAACAUGUGGGUUUAAAUAAAAUACGUUAGGCACGUGAACUUUUUUAAGACAUUUGGCUUUGAGGGGUAAAAGAAAAAGUUGAUGGACCUUUUUUUGGAGACAAUCCAUUACACCACCCGAGUGGCUCGAUCCAUGAACCGUGCUGGGCCUUAAUAAAAAAUUUGGGUACGACGCAAUAUGGCCCAUCAGUUUAAUGGGCCGUGCCGUGCCGGCCGAUGGGCCCUAAUGGCCGUGGUUUGCCGUUGGACACCUUCAGGUCCAAAAUCCGAAUUGGCCGUAAUUGCAAAAUAUAUCCCAUAAAAUAGCUUGUUUUCUAAAAUACACCUCUAUAGAGUGCUAUUUUCACAAAUGCCCUAAUUUAUAGGUCACUACUUCAAAUUUCAGUCAAGAGCCACCACCGGUCCACCGCUCUCUCUCUUUCUCUGUUCCUCUUCGUUAAGCCACUGAAACGGCGAAGCCUCUAUCAAAAAAAAAAAAAAAAAACAAUGUAAGUUGUUCACUUCUUAACUCUCUUAAUUAACUAAUUUUUUUAACUUUCUUAUUUCCUUUAUUAAAAAAAAAGAAUUAAACUUGAAUUUGCUCGGACGAUUUUGAAUGUACAGGUCGAGAAUUUGCGUGAAGAAUUUACCAAAAUACGUGACGGAGGAUCGCCUGAGAGAUUUUUUUUCUCAGAAAGGAGAAAUAACUGACGCCAAGCUUAUGCGCACCAAGUAAUUUUUGAAUUUUUUUUCGUUUUUUAAUUUUGCUGGAAUUUUAUUGAUUGAUUUAUUUUUUAAUUUGGUUGUAUUGCUGUGUUUUGAUUUUUGUUUAGAGAUGGCAAGAGCAGGCAAUUUGCUUUUAUUGGUUUCCGUACCGAGCAAGAAGCUGAGGAAGCUAUAAAGUACUUUAACAAAUCUUAUCUUGACACUUGUAGAAUCUCUUGUGAGGUCGGUUUUUGUUAUUACUCUGUUUUAUUUUAUUGAUUUUAAUUUUUAUUUUCAGAGUAGGUGAAUUUUGUUUUCUUAUUAUUUACAUGCUUUUAGCGGUAAUUGGGAGAUUAUUGAGUGAAAAUUAACUUAAGUGAUUUAGUUAUCAUUUAAUCUACUUCAUGAAUCUGAAAUGAAUUUGAUGUAUGCCUGUGGCUAAUAUACUCAUGGAAUGUAAAGGAUUAGUAAUUUUGGUUGGUCUGACUAAUGUAGAUUUGGUUGAUUAAUAUAUCUUUUGCUGAUUAUAUUUUGUCAAGUACCCAAGUGUACAUAAAAAAAUUGAAGACUCAUANUAAAGUUGGGGAUCCAAAUAUGCCUCGUCCAUGGAGUCGAUAUUCUUUGAAGAAAGAAAAAGAAGUGUCAGAAGAUGAGAAGAAUCCUGUUCUUGCUGCUAAAAGAGGAGAGAAAAAGACCAUUGAAAAGGUUACUGAGAAUGACGAUCCUCAGCUUCAAGAAUUUCUUCAGGUGAUGCAGCCGAGGGUCAAGUCAAAAAUGUGGGCAAAUGAUACCUUGAUUGGUCUCAUGGCUGACCAGAAGGCCAAAGUCUCUGAGAAUAUAUCACAAGCAAUCAAAGGAGGGGAGAAAUCAAUUACAUUGCAUGUUCAGUCAGAUAAAUCCAAUGUGAUAACAGAUAGCCAGGCAACUGAGAAAUCAAAAAAUGCUGCUGCUGAUGAAUUAAUGUCAGAUAUGGAUUAUUUUAAGAGUCGAGUGAAGAAAGAUUGGUCAGAUUCGGAAAGUGAAGAUGAUUCUGCUGGUGAUGAUGAUGAUGAUGAUGACGGGGAGGAGGAGGAGGAGGAAGAGAAUGACCACAAUGGUGAUUCUAAUGAAGAAUGUGAUAGUAUUAUAAAGGAUUCAAUUCAUUCUGGGGUUGGAGAAGAAGAUGCCAAUGGUGAAAUUGUUGACCCAGGGAAUCCAUCAUCAAGUUCGAAAGAUGUGCAACAAGAAGUUUUGGAAAGUGGUCGUCUUUUUGUCCGUAAUCUUCCAUAUACAGCAACGUAUGUACCUUACUGCCUCUUUUUCAUAGUGGUCAUAUGUAUGACUAUAAAUAUACUUACAUAAAUCUUUAUGUAACAGUGAAGAUGAGCUGAGGGAGCACUUCAGUAAAUUUGGCAAUGUCUCAGAGGUCCACAUUGUUGUUGAUAAGGAUACAAAACGGUCCAAAGGGAUAGCUUAUGUUCUUUAUGCAAUUCCAGAAUCUGCAUCAAGGUACUUGUGUUUGGGUGUUUUCUGUUACCUAAAACUUCUUGGUGUUGCUUUGAUACUUUUAAAUUCAUCAGUGGAUUAUUAGGAGGUCUCUGAAACUUAUCCUUAGUUGAGACCUCAUAAAUAUGCUCUCAUAUGUGACUUGGGAAUAAGAAAGAUAGUUGGAAUACACAUACGCGUAAUUUUCUUAUUAAAAAAUGGGAGAAAAAUUGGAGAUAUGGUAGUUCAUAGGAGAGAGCUAGGAGAUGUUGGAUUUUUUCCCAUUCUUGGGGCGCUUAUCUGCGAGAGGCUUUUUUGUUUUUUUUGGGCUAAGACAGUGCCAUUGUAUUGGUGUUUCUUUUGGCAUAACUAACCAUUUUAAGCUUUGAAUUUCUGUACAUGGUUUGCUGACAUGGUCAAAGUGCAGUGAUAACUAACACAUGUUAGCCUUUCAUCCUUUUCUUGUAUACUUAAUUUUUCUCAGAAUACUGUUAAUUGUUAUUCUUUCCUUUUCUCACUGCAUUAUUCAUAGUUAUUGGGGUCCAUGAACUUUUUCAGUUUGCAGAUUGUUUACUGUUGGAUCAUAUGGUAGAUUACAAUUUAUUGUACUAGCAAAUUCUUCUUGGCCACUGGUUUGAUACAUUGCAGGAUGGAUGUGCUGUUUGAGUCAGUUUUGGAUCUUAUCCUGCACUUGUUUAUUUAUCUUCCUUCCUGUUUUUGUUCAAGUCAUUGAUUACUUGGUUGUAUGUGCAGGGCCAUAGAAGUACUAGAUAAUUCAAUUUUCCAAGGUAGAUUGUUGCAUGUUAUGCCAGCGAGACACAAGAAAUCCUCAGACAAACAAGAGUGAGUUUGCUUUUGAUUCCAGGCUUCAAGGUUUGUGGUUUUACUUAUGUAUGAUGGAACUUGACACUGUUUUCUUUCUAGGCUUCACAAUUCUACAAGCCAGGGUACAAAAACGUUGAAACAACAGAGGGAGGAAGAAAGGAAGGCAUCUGAAGCUAGUGGAAAUACAAAAGCAUGGAAUAGUUUGUUUAUGCGCCCUGAUACGGUAUGCUAACCUAAAAGAAAAAAAGGAGACACAAUUUUUUUCCCCCCUUCCCCUGUCCUAAGAAAUUACUUUUUCGAUGUUGAUUUGUCUUUUUAAAAAUUCAUGACCAUUUCACCAUGAAGUAAUUAUUCUAUCAUAAAUAAGGCUCUUUUGUUGUCCUAUUUUGGCCAGAUGUAUAAAGCAGUUGCAUUUCCAUGUCUGUGGUUAUGGUUGAUGUAAAUUUUUCUGUUUGAAUUCUGGCCUCAUUUUUGUGUUUCAUCUUGCCUGUUAAUAGGUUGUAGAAAACAUUGCUAGGAAACAUGGUGUUAGCAAGAGUGAUUUACUUGACCGAGAGGCCAAUGAUCUUGCUGUGCGUAUUGCUUUGGGCGAAACUCAAGUUAUUGCGGAGACCAAAAAAGCUCUUACGAAUGCUGGGGUAAAUGUUUCAUCUUUGGAGGAAUUUUCUGCUGGGAAAACUGAUGGUCUGAAAAGAAGCAACCAUGUAUUUUUAGUGAAGAACUUGCCUUAUGAUUCUUCUGAAGGUGAACUAGCUAAGAUGUUUGGUAAAUUUGGGAGUUUGGACAAAGUUAUUCUCCCUUCAACAAAAACAUUGGCCUUGGUAAGCAUCCUUUUCAGAUCUUAAUUAUUUUCCAUGUAUCCUGUUUUUUGAACAGCCACAGUUGGUGUUUUAAGACUGCUUGUAUGUAGAAUUGAUACCUCCCUAACCUGAUCCUUAUAGAAUGAAUAAAGAGGUCAGGAAAGAAUGCCGAAUGUCAUGAAUAAGUAGGUUGUCAGUGAUUUUCAUCAAUGUUGCAUGUAGCUGACUGAGGAUUUCAUUUUCUAGAGGAUACAGGAUGAAGAUGUAUAAAUCUGGGAAUAUACUGGGACGUUAAAUGUGGCUCUGUAUUAAACUGGGAUUAUGUUGUUUGGUGCAAUGAAGACUAUUCAAUUAAAGACGGCAAAAUGGGCAUGACUUGAGACUGUUACUUAACAGUGUAAUCUGCCAUUUGCAGGAUAUAAAUCUUGUGGUGACAUUUUUUGUUUUUGUUUAUAAGACUGAAGGCCAGGCUUCAUGUUCAAGUGACACUGGUGGCUUUUGAUUGAUGCUUUUCUUUGACACAAGUGGAAUUGGAUGCAACUCCAAUCAUUUAGAGGUGUAACUUACAAUUGAAUAUUGAAACAUAGAGUUUGAUUGCAUUUGUCCUUUUUUUCUCUUAGGAAGCAAUCUGAUUGAGUUGUUGGUGUGCCUCCUGAGACUAAUUUAGACAUUGGUUUACAUAGUUAGACUCGUAAAAAAACUUUUCUUUUUUUUUUUUCCCCAUUUUUUACCCCUUGGUCAGUGGCUUUGAAAGUUUAACGAGUGGAUAGAAAAGUAGUUGUUUAGCUUCCAUUCAUUACACUUCUAUUUGGAGUAUUACCUGUAUUAUUCCAGGAACAAUUUUUAGAUGUAUUUAAUAAUGAUUGUAUCAAUCUUGCUUCUAGAAAUGCCAAUCUUUGAGGGUUAAGUACUUCAGACUUGACUGAUUUUUAAUUUACUUAACCAUAUAUGGAGAAGAUGCUGCUCUAAAGAACCACAAUUGCUAUAUGCCUGAAUUAAUGCUGUUGUGUAGCCUAAUAGAAUUAGUAUUACAUUUCAGGUUGUUCUCCUCUUUCUUCCCCUCUUAAAUAUCUCCGUGCAUUGUUUUUCAGGUUGUUUUCCUCGAACCAGCUGAAGCAGCUGCUGCUUUCAAGGGUUUAGCAUACAAGCAUUACAAGUAUGUAUAUCUUUGUUUCUUUUAAGGCCAUUGGUUGAGCCCCUUGCAAAAGACAUGGAUAAUCAAUUUUUUAUGUGAAGUCUGACCAAAAGACUUCAGCUUCUAGAUUGGAACAUGGACUUGACCUGCUAACUCUAUAUUAAAUAUUCAAGAAAAGAUUUCUUAGCUAAAACUUUAGAACAUUGAUUUGACUUCACACAGCCAGACAAACACAUUCUCCUAUAUAUGCGUGGUCAGCACACCCGCAAACAGUAGAUAUGUUUGCUUGUUAGAUGCAAUUUUAUUUAUUUAUGUUUUUUUCCCCCCACACAGCAAUACAUCAGUUGUUUAUGAUAAGAAAAUGUAGUAUCGCUUUUGAUAUGAACUACCAUUUACGAUAGCAGAUUAGAUAAGUUUGAGUUGGUUAUUAAAGAAAAAUAACCUUCUGCUGACAACUUUUUCCAUACCUUUUCUUUUUUAAAGUUUUCGUGUUUAUAGGUAGUUAAGGAAUAAAUAAAACAUAUCUGUAGAAAACUGUAAGAGUUCUUUCCUUACUAGACAUUAUAGUAGAGAUGAACGAAAUUGCAACACCCUUUAUGCAUAUCAAGUAGAAUAAUGCUAAGAAUACAAACUCUCAAAAACUAUUUUCUACUAAUUGGCAUGGCACUAUUGUAUGAUUCCCGUGUGGAUUAUAUUAUUUGCUCUUAUUAAAUGGAUUGACUUUUGUGUUUCUGUCCAGCCAAUACUUUAAUGUGAAAUCAGUUUGUAUGUAAUAUUUUGUUCCAAGAGUUUGUGUCUGUAGCAUCUAUCUAUUGAAUAAGAGGCAUACAAUAGCUACUUAAACAGUAUUUUUUUCUUGUAUUGAUAAUGAAGGGGUGUUCCAUUGUAUUUGGAGUGGGCUCCUAGUGAUGUCCUCAGUCAAAGUUCUACUUCCAAGGGUAAUCAAAAGAAUGAUGCUGUGGUUGGUGAACAUGAUGCCAAGAGAGCUCUUCUAGAGCAACAACUGGAAGGAGUAACAGAUGCUGAUAUUGAUCCUGAUAGAGUUGAGGUGUGUCAUAUUAAUGAAUUCUUAUCUUGCUUCUUUUCCCUGUUCUGCUUCAUGCCGUAUAAUUUUUAUGCUAAUUGUUUUCGUGAUUAUGCCUUGUUUUAUCUUGUUCCUUUAUGGUCCUUAAACAUGUCAAAUGUAUUCUUUCAAGUUGCUGUUAGUUUAUUGGCCGUAAGGUGGCUGUAGAUGAUUACAAUUCCUCUAGUCAAUAUCUUUGGGUCAUUUUUCUUUGUUCAUCAUUUAUAUGUUGGCGCACAUCGCAAAAAGAUUUUUGUCCAUUUGUCCAUUGCUUGUUGAUUGGAGAUCAACAACAAUGUUGGUAUGAAUCAUGUUAAACCACUGCAUUUGUGAGGUCUUUUCUUUAGAUUUAUAGCCAUCUUUUACUAUUUUAUUUUUAUGUAGAUGUCAUGGAUUUCUGGCAAUCUUAGAUUUGUGUUAUUUGUCUCAUUAUUUUUAUUUUUUUCUAAGUUCAUUCUCCCACGGCCCAACCCCAACACCACCACCCAAAACAACAAAUCCGUAUGUGCUCAUUCUGUUGCAGCAUCUUGUUUUUCUUAUGAAUUUAACUAUUCAUCAAAAACAGAGGAAAACAGUGAAUUCUUUCCAUAUGCUUGGAUUCAGCAAUUUCAGUUGCUCAGUACUAUUUGUUCUAUCUGUGAUUUGAAAAGGAGGUUGAUACAUAUUAUAUAGAUUGUGUUGCAUCGUUUUUCUCUUAACUUCACUUUUUACGACAUAUGGUUGCUUCUAGAAAAGUCACAUUAUCAUAUUUCUUGAAUCAUAAAGUGACAAGAGUAAAUCAUAUGCUUACAGUGCUUCGAUAGAAACUUUCUAUCUCUAUGGAUUUGCGGUGUCUUUGCUUUUUGUUUCUGUUUAUGGUUUUUUCAUUCAUUUCUCUUUUUGCCUAUCAUGUUUCAGUCAAGAUCUUUAUUUGUCAAGAACUUGAAUUUUAAGACUUCUGAUGAGAAUUUGAGAAAGCAUUUUGGUGAACACAUCAAGGAGGGAAGAAUUCUGAGCGUCAAGGUAAUUAUCUGGACACUUCAAAGAUAAUACAUGAUUUUCUUGAUUCUUUAAUUCACUCAUUUUAUGGUUCUGUUCCACCCUGUUACAGGUAAAGAAGCACCUGAAAAAUGGAAAGAAUGUUUCUAUGGGGUUUGGUUUUAUAGAGUUUGAUUCUGUGGAGACAGCAACAAAUGUAUGCAGAGAUCUACAGGUGGCUAGCAGAUGCUAAGUUAGGUUAAUAUCAUUAGAAUAUAGUUCAAAAUUUUGGAAACUGAUGCAUCGUCGACAAUGUCUCGUCUCUUUUUUAGGGAACUAUUUUGGAUGGGCAUGCUCUCAUCUUACAACUAUGUCAUGCCAAGAAGGAUGAACAAGUGGUGAAAAAGGCUGAGAAGGAUAAGAGUUCAACAAAAUUACUUGUGAGAAAUGUUGCUUUUGAGGCAUCAGAGAAAGAUCUGAGACAGCUGUUUAGCCCAUUUGGCCAGGUGGUUAUUUUUCUUUUGAUGAGUAAUGAUGCAUUUCAUUAAAAAUGCCUAGCAAGUAAAAAGGAAGGAACAGGACCAUGGAAUCUAAGACAAGUUGGAAAGAGUUAUUGCUAUAUUACAGCAAUAUUAAACUAUUGUUUGAUUAACCAGAUAACGAGACAAAAGUAAAGGUUAUAUGUAGGAUAAUAGAAGUUUUCAAUUAAAUAUCUAAAUUUGUUGCAAGAUGUGCACAGGUAUAAUCCCUUCUCAAGUAUUACCUGCAUUUAAAUUCAUUUCAGCGAUGCCGAAAGACUUAUAUCUGAACUUGCUGGACAUGCUUUUUCUCUUGUUGAUUUCUAUGUUUUUAUAUUUUUUUUGUAGAUAAAGAGCUUAAGGCUGCCAAUGAAGUUUGGAAAUCAUAGGGGCUUUGCAUUCGUUGAGUAUGUAACAAAGCAAGAGGCGCAAAAUGCACUUGAAGCACUUUCAAACACCCAUCUCUACGGUCGGCAUCUGGUAAGCUGUCUGCCAGUUCUUAUAGAUAUUCUCUGUUGCACAUGAUCAGAUAAUAUCUAUAAUUGCCCCCACAUUUCAGGUGAUGGAGAGAGCAAAGGAAGGGGAGAGUCUGGAAGAAUUGCGGGCUCGAACUGCUGCUCAGUUUACCGAUGAGGUAAAUGGGUUUCAAAAUUCAACUAAGUUGUCUAAGAAGAGGAAGCACAUGACAAUCUUGGACGAAGGUACAAUGAAGUUUGAAAGAAUUGCUGAGUAGAGUGCUUUAUAUGAAUUUUUCUCGUGUGUUGAGAGAAAUGAGGUUUGUCAUGUAGUUACUUUUUAAGGUUUAUUAAUUAUAUUAUAAGUUAUGUUGGCUCCAUUUUUGUCUGUUGGGAGUCAAUAUCUGUUUGUAAUUGUUUCUUGUAGGUGAGGGAACAAAGCAUAUUUUGUAGAAUUUCUUGAUGUAAAUCAUCUAGAUAUGUCAUAGAAGAGUUAAAAUUUUCAGAAAUUUCUUAUUGUUUUACUCCACUGUUUUCUAUUGUUUAAUGCAAAAGUUUUGAUUGCCUCUUCUAAUUCACUUGGGAUUUAGUUCCCUCCUAAACAAAAUUUUAGUUGGAUGCAAAUGGGUUAUAUGAAUAAAUAAAAAUAUAUAUAUAUAUAUAUUCAGAUGUUAGCCGUCAUUGCUAGAAACCAAGAUAAGCAUCCGUUUCAUUGAUGUUGGUUUGUCAUCACCGAUACUUCCAGUCCUUGGUUAAACUAACUACAAUUCAAGAGGGUGUCGUUUAUGCUAACUUCUUCUCACGUUUGUAGAUUACGAAACUUCUUCUCAUGUCAAAUAAGUUUUCUGUUGAUCCUUGAAGGAAUCAUUCUCUUUAGCUCUUCUUCAAAUCUCUUCAUACUCGGCCUCGGCGAACGUAUAGGAAUGGGAGUCCCAGUCUCCCCAUCUUCUUUUUGGUACCUGUUUAAGUAACUAAAAAUAGACUUAGCACCAGCAAUCCCAGCAAAAACUGGUUUCCUCCACCCCAAAUCAAUUCUAUCAAAUCCGACCUGCUUAAAUCGGACACAUUGUAGUUCCCCUUAAUCGGGUACCUCGGCCGUCGCCCUUUGACCUCCAUAAGAUACGCCGCAGAUCUUAUAUGCUCUUUACUCAUUUCAGCCUUUGCUUUUUUCACCAGUGCAACAGCAUACCCUAAUGGAUUGUUGCAUAAAGCACCGCCCUUCAAACGCACAGCUGGGAAUGCCACUGCGUUACCAUAAUACCCAGAGCGUCAACUAGACAUGAAAAUUGAACAGUGUAUUUAGGGUCUAGUUGAAGUGCAAUUGUUCUACAUCUCCACAUACAAGCAGCCAACAACUCAAAUGUUGAACACACUUGGCCUUUGGCCAAGUGUUAAGAGCUACUCCCUCAUAAGUGUGAGGGUAGCAGUUCGAACCUCAACAAAAACAGUUUUCUCCCCACAAAAGCAUUUGUGGGGGUUUAAUUUGAGUGAAGGCAGUCAGACAGUCUUCUCCCUGUCCCUCAAAUAUCAGCGAGAGAUUUCUAAGGUGUAAUGGAAGUUGAUUUUUGGAUUGGUACCUAUGAACGUAUCACACUUGUGGUUGAUUUCUAGUGCAUAAGCGUUCCCGUUGCCCAACAGGGAAUAGGGAAGGUGUGUUUGAACCUCUUGCCAUCUCCUGUAUGGUUUUCACAAAUUGCACCAGACCAAGUUCAUCACACAUAUUGUGGUUGAAAUGUAUCGCAAGAGUGAAUCCUCCACACAUCAAACGAGUCACCUACACAUAUGAAACAAAGAAAACCAUGAAAUUUAAUGAUUAAAUACUUAAAAAGUACAGAAUUAUGUAAUAUAUAGAAGUAAGAAUGACCUUUUGGUCCCUAAUAUUUUACAUUUUUACCACUAAAUUAGGACCAUUUUUCAUUUACUCACUAUAUUGGACAAUGUAAUUUUAAAGAAAAUUAUCGAUGGUCCACUGAAUUUUUAUAGAAAGUUCCAAAUACUCAAAUUCUUUAAAAAAUAUUUCUUUUUUUGAGGAGUUUAAAAAAUAUUCUUUAAAAAAUAUUUCUUAUCUACUUAAGUUUUCGAAUUGUAUUAAGAAGCACUUUUCUGUGAACUCAAUGAGAUAAUUUAGUGCAUCUUUGUAAAAAGACUAAUAAAAAUAAUGUUCAAUGAGUACACUUGACUUAAAGAACCCAAAACAAUGUGUUUUCUUUGUUAUAAUGUUAUAAUGUAAUAGGUAAUUGAAAAAUAUAUAUGAAUGAGAAAAAAUAGUGAGAAUAUAUUUUUCUUAUUCAUACAAGUUGCAAUCUUUACAUUAUAUACUUGUUUGACUAGGCUAUAUAAGGAAGCUAUAGGAAACUAGGAAAAAUAAAUAUAUGCUAUACAAGGAAAAAAUAAAUACAUGUACACAAAAUUAGGAUAUAAUCUUUGACUUUCAACACUCCCCCUCAAGCUGGCUCGAAGAUAUCUAUCAUUCCCAGCUUGGAAUUCAGUGAUUGAAAAACUUGUUUUGAUAAUCCCUUGGUGAGAAUAUCAGCUACUUACUUUUGAGUAGUAAUAUAUAGAAUGCAUAUUAGGCCUUUCUCCAGCUUCUAUUUUAUAAAGUGUCUAUCAAUCUCGAUAUGUUUUGUCCUAUCAUGUUGGACUGGAUUAUGAGCAAUGCUAAUGGCAACUUUAUUAUCACAAUACAAUCUCAUUGAUUCAGUUUUCCACACCUUCAACUCUAUUAGAAACAUUCUCAGCUACAUAAGCUCGCAAAUUCCCAAUGCCAUUGCUCUAAACUCAGCUUCAGCACUUGAUCUUGCAACCACUGGUUGUUUUUUGCUUCUCCAAGUAACUAGAUUUCUCCCAACAAAUGUACAAUAACAUGAUGUUGACUUUUUAUCAACAAAUGAUCCAGCCCAAUCUGCAUCUGUAUAUGCCUCAACCCUUAGGUGAUUAUUCUUAGAUAAUAAAAUGCCUUUUCCUGGAGAUGUCUUUAAAUAUUCCAGUAUCCUAAACACAACUUCCAUGUGCUCUACAUUAGGAGAAUGCAUAAAUUGACUCACAACGCCUACUGCAAAUGUAAUGUCUGGACGAGUAUGACACAAUAGAUUAGCUUUCCAACUAAUCUUUGGUACUGUUCCUUAUUAACCAACCUGCUUUUAGUAGUUGCCCCAAGUCUAUGGUUGGAUUCUAUAGGAACAUCGCUAGGUUUGCAUCCUAACAUCCCAGUUUCUUCCAAGAGAUCCAGAAUGUAUUUCCUUUGUGACAAAAAUAUACCUUUCUGAGACCUAGCCACUUCAAUUCCGAGGAAGUAUUUCAGAGAACCUAGGUCUUUAGUUUCAAACUCUUUGGUUAACAACAUCUUGAGUCUUUCAAUUUCAUCUCUGUCAUUUCCAGUCAAGAUGAUAUCAUCCACAUAUAUAAUAAGGACAACGAGCUUAUCUUCUUUACCAUGCUUAAGAAACAUGGUAUGAUCAUUAUGGCUUUGUCGAUAUCCACAUUUGAGAAUAAAUCUUGUAAAUCUGUCAAACCAGGCUCUUGGUGAUUGCUUGAGCCCGUAUAAAGACUUUUCCAGCUUGCAAACUUUUCCUCUUUCAAACAUAUUCUCAAACCUUGGUGAUGGAUCCAUAUACACCUCCUCUUCUAAAUCUCCAUGGAGAAAUGCAUUCUUCACAUCUAGCUGUUGUAAUGGCCAUUCUAAAUUUGCAACAAGUGACAAUAGGACCCGAUUAGAGUUCAUUUUUGCAACGGGGGCAAAUGUCUCUUGGUAAUCAAUUCCAUAUGUUUGAGUAUAUCCCUUAGCCACCAGCCUAGCCUUGAAUCUCUCAAUUGAUCCAUCAGCCUUAUGCUUAACUGUAAAUACCCAUUUACAACCCACAAUUUUCUUUCUAGAAGGCAAGUCUGCAAGACCCCAAGUUCUAUUUUUAUAUAAUGCUCUUAGUUCUUCAUGAAUCGCUUCUCUCCACUUUGGAUUUGCAAGAGCAUCAUGUACUGUUCUAGGAAUAGUUACAGAUGACAAAUUAGUAGCAAAAGCUUUAAAUGAUGGUGACAAUCUAUGAUAAGAGACAAACUUAGAAAUAAGAUGUUUAGUACAAGUUCUAACACCUUUUCUAUGAGCAAUAGGCAAAUCUAAAUCUAAAUCAAGUGAUCGAAUAGAGUUUAAAUGCAAUUUAGACUCAGAUUGAACAGUACCUGUGUCUUCCAAUACCUGUAUGUUCGGUUCAGAAUUUUGGCAGUCAGGAGAUGUACAAAUUAUUUUAUUUCGUCGAGAAUAUACCUUUAGCUUUUGAGUAUCCUCUUGAUUUUGUGCGGUGGAUGGUUGAAUUUGUGAAAACACUUGCUGGUCAUCACUUGGGUCAGGCUGUUUUUGUGGGGAAGAACAAUGUUGUUCUUUUUGCUAAUUGUUAUUAGAAGGUGGUAGAUUUUGUGGAGAGCAAACUAUCAAAGGUGGAGUUGAAUUUGUGAUAUCAUCUCUGAAAUAUAGCUCAUCUGAGUGUGUGGAUUUUGGAAAAAAUUUAAAAAACUAAUCUUUAAUAUUAUAUUCCUCCCCCUAAAGAGAGGUUUUGGAGAAAUAAUGGUUAAUUUCAAAAAAAGUCACAUCCAUGGUUACAAAAUAUUUCCUAGUUGGAGGAUGAAAACACUUGUACCCUUUUUGUGUAGGAGAAUAACCCACAAACACAUAUUUAAGAGGCCUAGGAUCAAGCUUACUUUUGUUAUGAUUCUUGUCAUUAACAACAACAACACACCCAAAAACCUUAGGAGGAAGAGAACUAAAGGACCGAGACAUGGGAUAAAGUUGCUGAAGAAGUUCGAUUGGAGUUUUAAACUUCAAAGUACUAGUAGGCAAUCUAUUUAUGAGAUAACAGGCAGUUAAAACUGCUUCACCCCACAAAUAAUUUAGUACCCCCAUAGUAAACAUCAAAGAUCGAGCAAUUUCAAGUAAAUGUCUGUUUUUUCUUUCUGCAACUCCAUUUUGUUGAGGAGUAUCAACACAAGAGGAUUGAUGAAUAAUUUCAUUCUCAGUCAAAUAAUUUCCCAACAUAGAAGAAAAAAAUUCUUUGCCAUUGUCAGUUCGAAACACUUGAAUUUUUGUUUGAAAUUGGGUUUGAACCACUUUACGGAAGAUUUGAAAAGUUUUAGAAACUUCAGAUUUUUCUUUUAAUAAAUACACCCAACAAACUCGAGUGUGAUCAUCAAUAAAAGUGACAAACCACUUAGCUCCAAAAUUAUUGGGAAAACAUAGAGGACCCCAUACAUCACUAUGUAUAAGAGAGAAUGGUUGUGAAACUUUGUAAGUUUGGGCAGAAAAUGAGUACGAUGAUGCUUGGACAGUUCAGACACUUCACAUUUAAAAUUAAUGUCACUUUUAUUCUUAAACAAUGUCGGGAAUAACAACUUUAAAUAUGAAAAAUUUGGAUGUCCUAAUCUGAGAUGCAUCAAACUAAUUUCAUUCUCACUAGGCACUUGAGAAACAAUUUUGUCAACUAAAGAUAGAUUACUCAAAGCUUCAGGCUUCUCUUCGAAAUAAUAAAGUCCAUCCACCUCCUUAGCACUGCCAAUCUUCUUCCCUGUACACAGGUCCUGAAAUUCACAAUUGGAAGAAUAAAAUUUAGCCAUACAGUUAAGGUCUUUUGUAAGUUUACUGACAAACAAAAGAUUACAAGACAGAUUAGGGACGUGCAAUACUGAUUUUAAGAUCAUUGUUUUAGAAACUGAAAUUGAACCUUUUCCUGCAACUGAAGAAAGAGACCCAUAAGCGAUUUUCACAUUUUGUUUACUAGAAAGUGGUUUGUAAGUAGAGAAUAAGUUGGACAAACCAGUCAUAUGAUCGGUUGCCCCUGAAUCAAUGAUCCAAGGGCAAGAAGUAUUUGAAGAGAUGCUGAAAGCAUUUAGAAAAUUACCUAUUUGGGCUAGAUGAGCAGAAGGUGUUUGACUCAUGAACCUGACAAGUUGCUCAAGUUGUUCUUUAGUGAACAGAUUUGAUCCCUGACCCCCUGAGUUUGCAUUGGCAUUAUCAAUUGCAUCUUGAAAGCCCUUUGAAUUUUGUCCAGAAGACUUGGUACCUUUCCCUGAGUUUUGUAGCCUUUCAUGGAGCUUCCAACAAAACUCUUUGGUAUGUCUUGGGUUAUGGCAAUGAUCACACCAAAGUUUAUCUAUGUCAUCUUUCUUCUUGCUCAUAUUCUUUUGUUCACUUACCAAUGCUGAAUCAGUAGCACAAGUAAUCAAGGCAGAAUUAUCAGUAUUAGAGCUAUUCGUCAUUAUCUUUUUUCUACUUUCUUCCCUUCUCACAUAUGCAUAGACUUCCCUAAUUGCGGGAAUAGGUUCUUUGCUUAGUACUCGUCCUCUAACUUCAUCCAAAUAUGGAUUCAAACAAGCCAAAAAUUCAAACACCCUCUCCUUCUCCCGUAACUUCUUAAAUCUUUUACUGUCAUCUCUACACUUCCAUUCUCCAUCAUAAUACAAACCCAAUUCUUGCCAUAAGCUAUUCAUGAUAUUGUAAUAUGCAGUCACAAUGUCACUUCCUUGUUUGGUUUCAUGAAUACGAUACUUAAGUUCGUACAACUGUGCAGUAUUUCCAAGAUCAGAAUAUGUCUCUGUGACUGCAUCCCAUAAAUCUCAUGCUAAUGGUAAGAAAAGAAACGCAUGACUAAUGUGAGGAUCCAUUGAAUUAAUAAGCCAUGACAUUACCAUAGAGUUCUGUUCAUCCCAUAUUUUAUACGAAGGGUCAUCAGCCUCUGGUAUGUCUAUUGACCCAUCAAGAUAGCCCAUUUUACCUUUUCCCUUCACAUACAACUUCACAGACUGUGACCACUGCAGAAAAUUCUGGCCAUUCAAUUUGUGAGUUGUAAUUUGUAAUGACGGAUUGUCAACAUAAUUAUUGGCUUGAACAUGUUUAACAUUGACGCCAGAGCUGGAUUCGCUCACAUCUGACAUUUUAAAUCAGAAUUUUAAAGUCACAACGUAAGAUAAAACCCUAAAGGUAUUGGCGGCUGAAAAUUUGUUGAAAAAAAAAAAAAAUUGCCCAGAAACCCUAACUUGGGCUCUAAUACCAUGAGAAAAAAUAGUGAGAAGAUAUUUUUCUUAUUCAUAGAAGUUGCAAUCUUUACAUUAUAUACUAGUUUGAAUAGGCUAUAUAAGGAAGCUAUAGGAAACUAGGAAAAAUAAAUAUAUGCUAUACAAGGAAAAAAUAAAUACAUGUACACAAAAUUAGGCUAUAAUAUUUGACUUUCAACAAUGAACCUAUCCAACUUAUGAAAGUGACAUAGUAGAGACCUAAAUGCAUCCUCAAACUAUUUAUUUUGAGUAUGCAUGUGAAGUAAAUUCAAUGGUUAGGAAAUAAUAGACUCACUUCAAUUAAGAGCAAUGGGCAACCAAGAAUGCCUUCAGAACAUGGAACAUUAUAGAUCAAUUGUUCCAAAUAUGGGCAUGGAGGCUGAAUAGCAUCACCAAGCUGCUCAAGUUUGAAGUUAGCUUCAACCUCAAGAAACAAGAUCCCUUCACCAUUGCAAUCCACCAUAAGCUUGCGGUUGGGACCUUCUUUAAUCCUACCAGCAAAAGGGUAAUAAUACACAAGUGCUUCACUUAUAGCUUCCUUGAUGACCUUCAUCUUUUUCUCUGAGUAUUAGAGGUGAUGAUGAAGGGUUAUUCUUGUAAAAGAUUAUUUACUGGAAUAUGAAACCUGAAGCUUUCUUGGUCAUCUAUAUCCGGAAAGUUGUUUUAAUUCAUGCGGUGUUGCCCUUGCCGGAAAAAUUAAUUCUGGUGCCUUUCUGGUUAUUGACAAAACUUGAGAAAAUCUUGAGAUCAUUUUAAAGGUGCGUUUAGAAGUGAUGUGUAGUAAUUGGGCUGCUAAAGCCCAACUGCUAAGGUGUUUGAUAACACCUUGUAAGUUGUAACCGAGUUUUGGUAGGUUAGUAGCCUUUUUUUUUUAAAAAAAUUUUAUUCCAAAGCUAUGAUUUUUACUUCAUAGCAGUUAUAUCUUAAAAACUACAGUCCCAAACGUACCCUAAUUUAAGUUUCUAGAUUAAUUGUUUUGGCAAGGCUUGAACUGUUUCACUGGUUGCCUUGGCCUCCAAAAUUUUUCAUUUAUAGCUGAAGAAAGAAGCACGUGUGUACCGCGUAUGGAAACUGACUAUUACCAAAUUAUGCAAAUUUCCUGCCAUUUCGUGAUAUUGGACGAUAUAUAGACAAAUUAAGACCAAUUUAUGGCACGUGAUACAUAAUCUUUAAAAUCAACUUCAGCAAAAAUAUUCUUGAUUGAUUAGGGGUACGAUAAUUUAUUUGUAUGGACAGAAAGUGUCCGUCGAUAUUAACAUUUGUUUUCAACUUGAUUAAUUUCGAAAACAAUUAUAAUUUGCACCUAGGGCUUGGCAGAGUGGUUGUCAACGCAUUUCUUCUUUGAUUGGGCAUCCGAAAUUUGAAUUUUAGCUUAAUAAUAAUAAUAAUUUAAACUCUGUCCAUUCUUAUUUAUACUUUGUGUUGUGCAAAUUUUAAUGUACUCGCAAGCGCACGAAUCUAUUGUAGUAUAGACUAAUGGUGAUGAGUGUCGAUCCCACGAGGAGGUGGAUUUUAAUUAUAUGUAGAAUUAAUUUUGUAAAUGGGUGGUUGGAAUUGUGGUGGAAGUGAUUUAAAUUAUCCUAAAAUUGGAAUUGCAAUGGCAAGAAUAAAUUGUAGAGAAAAUCGAUUAAAUUGACGUACUUGGGUAUCUGGAUCCGUAUCAACAUGCAUCAUGGGCUAAAUAAUCCGUAUUAAUGCCAAUUAAAUCAUGAGGGGGGAAUCCACACCUCAUGAACCACGCUCUAAUUAAUAUGGUGCUAAGGGCUUAUCGUGCCAAAUAAUAAUAACCUUAUACUAGAGAGCCGGUGUAACCAAGGCGGUAUCUAGACAAGAUCAGUAUUAUUUGUCGACGACAAGUCAAAUCAUCCACAAAAACUAGAGGGGAAAAGAAAAUAAAUUUACCAAAUAAAGCCCAUGACACAUGUUGAGACUUCACCUUCAACCCAAGCUUGAAAGAAAAUUAGCCACUCAUAAUUGAACUAAGGGCAAAAUGGGAAUUUAUUAAAAUACAAAGAAAAUACAAGAUGGAGAAGGAAUUACAGAAAAUGGAUCCCAAAAAUGGAUUCAGAGAUAUCAAAUUAGGGGGGAGGGAGACCCCCUUUUUAUAGAUACAUGGAGUAAAUCAUGGCCAUCGGAUUAAAAACAGUUUGGACGCUCAGGAUUGCGCCACGUCAUCAGUCAACAGUCCACGGUUUGACCACGCGGAUGAACAGUAACACGGUUUGGUUGAAAAUAAUCCUGUGUGAUGCAUGCACCGUACGCGAGAUUUUUCGUCCACUGAUAUGCUGCCACGUCACCGUCAACAGGUCAUAAGAAUUUUAGUCCAACAGGAUCGUGACACCUCAUCAGUCAAUGCCACAUCAUCGGUCAAUGCCACGUCAUCGAUCCGUCUAUGUGAACAGUGUCGUGAACAGUAACGUAGACAGUACCGUAUACGUGAAUAGUACCGUUUUUCCUUUUAUGCUCCUCCUAAGGUUUUCGAUCGUCCUGAGUUCAAAAGUGAUGUCCGUUUUGCCGUCUGAUCUCUCCUUUAUUGUGAAAUGACUAUAAUGCCCCUAAAAUACAUAAAAUACUUAAUUAAAAUAACACACACGUAAUUACAUCAUAAGAAGGUUAAAUACAUAAAAGUAAGGGUUGUUAGUAAGACUUGAAAUGUAAAAUGAUGGUUUUCUCCUUUAUAAAUAUGCAUUUUCUAACACUCAACACACCCCCCAACCAGCUUAUUGCUAGUCCCUAGCAAAUAAAGCGAAAACAAAAUUCAAAUUCAAAAUGAUUUUUUUUUUUUUUUUUUUUUUAGAAACACUCGUGUUUAUUCAAUCAGAUUAAUGAUAGCAAUCAAAUAAAAGUAUAAGCAUUAUCUCCAGUCUAAAGCAACAUCACACCCACAUCAACCAUCCACAUGAAUUAGCCCAGUAGACUUUGUUAUAGCUACUUUCAAGAAUGACAUGUCAAACCCCAAAAUCUCACUGGAAGUAGUGACACUCUCACAAAGAGAUUAAAACCCAAUAAACAUAGUCACUCCAAUGAAUGGUAAUUGAGAGAGAAAAUAAUAAAGAAAUGAUAUCACAUGCUCUCACCAAGAUGAAAUAAAUAUGCCCUCAGCUUAGAAAUAAUACGAUCUCAAGUCAAAUAAAAUGUUAGUCAACCCACUUUAUUUAUCUUUUUUUUUUUAUUAUGCAUCACUACAUCUUUUUAGCCCAUAUAACUAGCUUCUACUUCAAACUAUAGUUCCCUAAAAUCAAGAAGGACUUUUAUUAGGACGUAACGUAGGCUAGGGAUAUGGCUAACAAAGAAAGGAAAUAAGGAAAACAAAGUGUAUGUUUGAGAAAAAUGCAGAAUUUUUUUUUUUUUUUUUUUGGAACUUGCAAGGUGGAUUUCACCUAUUAUUGUUAUUUUUAUUCUUUUGAAACAACAACUUUUGUUUUUGUUUUUGUUUUUUUUUUUUUUUUGCUUUUAUUUGGCAUAACUUCACUGAACAACAUAAUUAUUUACAUUUUCUCAAACAUAAAUAGGUGAUGGAACUUAAAAGACAUUGGGUAAUACUCCAAAUCGGAGUGGGUCAAGAUGAUAAGUUGACAAAGAAAAUGUUUUUGUUCUUUUUUUUUUUUUUUUUUUUUUUAAAAGGCUCAAAAUGGGUAACUAUGGAUAUUUAAUAAAAGGGAUGGCUAGAAAGGCUCAAACGGAUCAAAGAUGGCCUUUCCAUCGUCUUUUAGGGCUCUAAAUAAUUAUCCAUAUCUACUAGUUAGAUGGGCCUCCCAAUGUAGCAACACACAUUUUUUUUCUUUUUUUUUUUUUAAUUUUACCAUAUUUUUUUUUUAAAGGGUUAACUUAAAAGAAAUCUAGAGAUCGUGUAUAAAAUAAUAAACUGCUAAACUGUAUAGAGAAUGAGCAAAAGGGUUACUCUCCAAGAAAAUGAUAGGCUCAACUACUCACUUGGCACUUAUUUAUGACAUGUUCAUUCCUUCAAGCAACUCAUAUUUGUCUCCGACAUCAACAUGUAAAGUAGCAAACAUAGCGUAACAUCACUUAAGACCAAAGAUAAUACAAAUACUAAAAUUUGAAAUUAAUCAUGUCAUCCAAUGUUAAAACAAAUAACACAAAUUUUUUUUUUUUUUUUAAACAACAUUCUACCCCCCAACCUAUUCUAAACAUGAAAGGAAAAUAUGCAUGCAGAAAUGUGAAAAUGAUGUAGAAAAAUUAAUUAGAAAAAGAAUUUUUUUUUUUUUUAAACUAAGAAGAUGCGUUUCUAGAGGCACUACACUCCAUAUUCAGCCAUCUUCGACUCAAAAAUUUGAAACUACAUAUUUAUAAAGGAGAAAGAGGAAGAAAACAAGUUUUUUUUUUUUUUUUUUUUUUUUUUUAAAACGAUGAAGAUGCGUUUCUAGAGUAACUACACUCCAUAUUCAGCCAUCUUCAACAUAAAAUGUUAGCAACAGUUAGUUUCUACAACAAAAAAUCAGUAAAAACUUAACCAAGAUUCCACAAUUGUCGACUAUUCCCUCCCCCCAACCAGAACGAAACAUUGUCCUCAAUGUUUUAAAGGAAAGAAGUAGAGUUUAGAAGACAUCACCUGGGUGGUGCAACACAGAAGAAAAUAUUUACAGGCGGAGAGUUAAAUCUAAUUUGUACUUCUUACUGCGGCUACUGUUACCAUCAUUAUUUGGUCGCUCCAACACAAAGGUCCAGGGGUCUGGCUCCGGUUUAUAAGCUUGUAACAUAUCAAGUAGCUCAUUAGCAGUGUGAGUACAAAUAAAGAGUUUUUUCACAUUAGAAGGAAUGAAAUAGUUUUUUAUUGCAUGGUUAAGAAAUGCGAUAAAGCCAUCAUAAAAGUUAUUGACAUUUAACAAACCGAUGGGUUUCUGGUGGAUGUGCAGAUGGGCCCAAGAUGCUAGUGUCAUAAGUGCCUCUAGUGUUGCAAGAUCUCCUGGAAGGAAAAUAAAAGCAUCAGCAUGAUUAAGCAUUUCAGUUAUUCUUUCUUGCAUACCUGAGACGACUAACUCUUCUCCAGUUGAUGAGUCAGACGAAUUGCCCAAUGGUUUUAGGACUCUGGGGAUGAUGCCUAACACUUGACUUCCUCUGAUAAAAGCUGCUUCUGAGACCAUUUUUGAUAACCCUCGGUUACCUCCUCCAUACACCAAAUGUAAUUUUCUCGCUGCUAUGCUUCGACCAAAAUCUAUGGCUGCCUCCACGAACUCUUUAUGUUUGCCAUAGGUAAAUCCAGAAAGCACACAAAUGUUCUUGAAUUGUCUAUUGGGAGUAGCUGCCAUUGUGAUACUUCUCAAAAACAAUUUGUGAGUGCUUGACAAAAAGUAAAUCACAUUUAAGAAUCUUGGUGACAAUGGAUCACAGCUGUGAAUGAGGUAACAUGUCAGUGUCAAAUAACGCGUAAAGCACGUGGCUCGCGAGUCAAAAAGAAAACAGUAAAAAGGAAAAAGCAAACAGUAAUAAAAUUAUUAAAGGCAAUAAUGCAAACGAUAAAACAAUAGUGAAAUAAAAUAACAGAAAGUAAAAGGAUAUUUACACGUAGUUGCGACUGUGGCUCACAUCUUCCUCUGGUUUUACGUCUAGAAACGGCUUGAACGCCCUCUAUGGGUUGAGGAUGGGCUUCCCAUCCAGUUUUCUUAUAAACUGGCAAACAGGGUCGUUUAUAGUCAGAUUCCCGAGACUAUAUCGUGCAUGCUCUUUCUGGAAUAAUGGCCAUAACCGGAGAAUCGCUCCUUGCACAUAUCCACUGGGAUGCGUUUCAAGAGACAAAAGGAUAUCAUCCAAUGACUCCUUAUUCAAGCCAUCCCUAAUGAAUUGAAUCUUAUCUUCCCUGUUAUCAGACACCAUUCCUACAGAACAUGGGUUUCUAUCGCAACUCAUUCUGGCACACUUAUGACAAGCAACAGAAAUUCUUCGAGCUCGUCGUUUUCUUGCAUAAUUUCCUUUACCACAACCAGGCAUGUAUGCAAUAAAUUUAGGAGGUAACUCACCUGCCAAUCGUACUUUAGCCUCGAUUAACCAACGGAUGUCUGCAGGUAUGUUAUUCUUCAUGAGCAAUCGCAUGCGUUCAGACCGGGCUUUAUAGAUCGUAAGGAGGGCAUUCUGAGGAAGUGAAGGGAAUCGCUUGUGAAGCUUCGCUAGAAUCUCGUUUCUGUCCAUACCUUCGCCUCAGAAUAUCAGUUAUUAUGGGAAACUGAAGUUAACCGACUUGAUUGUCACGGAGUACCGUUAUCCGCCACUUCACCGGGGUAACAAACUAAAGCACACAAACAGAAAAACAAAUUAAAACACACAAAGAAAAUUAAAAUCGUCCUCUUAUUGAAUUUACCUCAAGCUCCAACUGGAUGUCGUAAACACUUCUCUCAAUGUCUCUGAGUUGGCGUUCUAAACCCUCAACAUAGGCUACUAACUCUGGUGGUUGUAGAGCCCAAAUGCGUUGUGUUUUACAAAAUAGAAUCUGCCUUUUGAGAUGAGUUUUGACACGUUGAAGUGGUUUAAGAAUGUUCAGGAGGAACGGUCUAAGUAGGAGACUCAUGAUUAAAAAUGAUAAGAGAAAACUUAAUGGUAAAAUAAACACACUUAUGCAAAAACAAUUUCAAUUAGCAAAAGAAUAAUAAAAAAAAAAUAAAGAAAAAUCAAAUCAACGAAAAGAAAAAAAAAUCAAUUCAAAUUUGGUGGGUCACUCAAAUUUAUUUCGAUGUUUUCUCCAUGUGGUUGGUACUCUAGAUAUGGCUUUAAUCUUUGACCAUUAACUUUAAACGUGACACCGUUCUUUGGGUCCUUAAUUUCAAUUGCCCCAUGUGGAAAAACAGUAUGUACAAUAAAUGGGCCAGACCAACGAGAGCGUAACUUACCUGGGAAUAGGUGCAAGCGAGAAUUGAAUAAAAGCACUUUCUGACCUGGAGUGAACGAUUUUCUCAUAAUUUGCUUAUCAUGGAAGACUUUCAUUCGUUGCUUGUAAAUCUUGGCAUUUUCGUAUGCAUCAUUGCGAAUUUCUUCAAGUUCUGCCAGCUGUAAUCUUCUUUCUGAGCUGGCUUGCUGCAUGUCAAAGUUGAAUUUCUUGAUGGCCCAAUAUGCACGAUGCUCGAGUUCCACAGGUAGGUGGCAAGCUUUUCCAUACACUAGCCUGUAGGGUGACAUCCCAAUCGGGGUCUUGAAAGCCGUUCUAUAUGCCCAUAAUGCAUCAUCAAGUCGUAAUGACCAAUCUUUCCUGUCUGGCCUCACCGUCUUUUCUAAUAUGUACUUUAUUUCUCGAUUGGAGAUCUCAACUUGGCCACUGGUUUGCGGAUGAUACGGGGUCGCCACUUUGUGUGUGAUUGAAUACUUUGUCAAAAGAGCCUUGAAUGCUUUGUUACAAAAGUGGGCACCACCAUCACUGAUUAUCGCUCGAGGGAAUCCAAAGCGUGAAACAAUGUUGCUUUUCAAAAAUCCUAUCACCACUUUGUGAUCAUUGGUUCUGCAUGGAAUUGCUUCCACCCAUUUCGAUACGUAGUCAACAGCAACCAAUAUGUAUUGAUGGCCAAAAGAAGGGGGAAAGGGUCCCAUGAAGUCGAUACCCCAUACGUCAAAAAUCUCAACCACUAAAAUUGAAUUUAGUGGCAUCAUGUUCCUUCGUGUAAUGCUCCCCAUUCGUUGACACCUAUCACAUGAAGAACAGAAAGUGUAAGCGUCUCGAAAUAUAGUUGGCCAAUAGAAACCACAUUGUAAAACUUUUGUAGCUGUUUUCUUAGCACUGAAGUGGCCUCCACAAGCUUGUGCAUGGCAAAAUGAAAGAAUAUUCUGAAUUUCAUUUUCAGGGACACAUCGUCUAACAAUUUGGUCUGCACAAUACUUGAACAAAUAUGGGUCAUCCCAAAAGAAAUUCUUUAUUUCCGCAAAGAAUUUAGCCUUGUCUUGCUUGGUCCAAUGCUCUGGAAGCUUACCUGUAACAAGAUAAUUAACUAUAUCAGCAUACCAAGGUAAUAUUUCCACACUCAUUAAUUGUUCAUCUGGAAAUGACUCAUUUAAUAUUAAUGGCUCUGUAAUUGUGUCAAAAUAGAGACGAGAGAGGUGGUCCGCCACAACAUUUUCUGUGCCUUUCUUAUCCUUGAAUUCCAAGUCGAAUUCCUGCAAAAGUAACACCCAACGAAUUAGUCUAGCUUUUGCAUCUUUCUUUGUGAGAAGAUAUUUAAGAGCAGCAUGAUCUGUGAAUAUAAUUAUUUUACAACUAAUGAGAUAAGAUCGAAAUUUUUCCAAUGCAAACACUACUGCUAGCAUUUCUUUUUCAGUAGUUGAAUAAUUCAACUGUGCAUCAUUCAAUGUCAUACUAGCAUAGUAAAUAACGUGGGGAAUUCGAUCAACUCUUUGUCCUAAUACUGCUCCUACUGCAUAAUCAGAUGCAUCACACAUGAGCUCAAAUGGUAAGUUCCAGUUUGGGGCCUGAAUGAUGGGUGAUGAUGUCAACAAUUGCUUUAAUUUUUCAAAAGCCAUAAGACAUGAAUCAUUAAAGAUAAAAGGUACAUCCUUAGCAAGUAAAUUGCAUAAGGGUCUAGAAACUUUGCUAAAAUCUUUAAUGAAACGUCUAUAGAAACCAGCAUGCCCAAGGAAAGAUCUUACUUCUCUGACUGUUUUAGGUGGAGGAAGAUUAGAAAUGAGAUCCACCUUGGCUUUGUCAACCUCAAUACCUUUGCUCGAAAUGAUGUGACCGAGAACAAUACCUUGUUUUACCAUAAAAUGGCACUUCUCCCAAUUCAAGACUAAGUUCUUCUCGGUACAUCUCUGCAGAACUAGCGUUAGAUGAUGUAAACAUUGAUCAAACGAGUCACCAAAGACAGAAAAAUCAUCCAUAAAGACUUCAAGGAAUCGUUCAACCAUAUCAGAAAAAAUGCUCAACAUACAUCGUUGGAAUGUAGCAGGUGCAUUACAUAAUCCAAAUGGCAUUCUCCUAUAUGCAAAAGUGCCAAAAGGGCAAGUGAAAGUAGUUUUCUCCUGAUCUUUUGGUGCUAUGGGAAUCUGAUUAUAUCCUGAGUAGCCAUCUAGAAAGCAAUAAAAUUCGUGGCCUGCUAAUCUAUCAAGCAUUUGAUCGAUAAAUGGUAAAGGAAAAUGGUCUUUACGUGUGACAGAAUUCAACUUUCUAUAAUCAAUGCAUACACGCCAUCCUGUAGUUACUCUAGUUGGUAUCAAUUCAUUAUCAGCAUUGGUAACUACUGUGACUCCUGACUUUUUGGGGACGACUUGUACAGGACUGACCCAUGAACUAUCAGAAAUUGGGUAAAUGAUACCUGCAUCUAAUAGCUUAAGGACUUUAGUUCUAACAACUUCUUUCAUGUUAGGAUUUAACCGACGUUGCAUCUCCCUAGUAGUUUUAGCAUUUUCAUCAAGGUGAAUGUAAUGCAUGCAGUCUACUGGGUUUAUACCUUUUAUGUUUGCUAUGGUCCAUCCUAAUGCCCCUUUGUGCUCUUUUAAAACAUCCAACAACUUACCUUUUUGUUCGUCAUUUAGGGAUGAUGAGAUGAUUACCGGCAGAGUACUUUCUUCUCCCAAAAAUGCAUAUUCCAGAGUGUUGGGUAAUGGUUUGAGCUCGAGUUUCGGUGGUGAUUCUGAUGAUGGAAUGAGUUUCUUCUCUGAUGGUGCUAGUUGUUCAACUCUUGACUUCCAUUUAUUAGUGUCCAUGGAUGGUGCUGAGUCAAGUAGGGCGUUGACCUCUUCGACCGAUCUGUCAAUAUCAAAAUCCAAACCAAAGUGAGUUAAACAUGUUUGUAAAGGAUCAUCACUAAGGUUUGAAAGAAAAGUAUUAUCAACUAUUGUUUCUAUCAAAUCCACAUCAAUAAUUCCAUCAUCUGCACUGUGAGGUUGUUUGGCAAUGUUGAAGAUGUUUAGCUCCAUAGUCAUGUUGCCGAAGGACAAUUGCAUAUUUCCGGUCCUACAUUGAAUAUGAGCAUCUGCAGUUGCCAAGAAAGGUCGGCCUAGAAUAAUGGGGAUGUGCUUCCUUGAGUCCUGUAUUGGUUGAGUGUCAAUUACAAUGAAAUCAACAGGAAAAUAAAACUUGUCUACCUGGAUAAGCACGUCCUCCACAAUACCACGAGGUAUUUUUGUGGACCGAUCUGCAAGCUGUAACACCACUGGAGUUGGGUGUAAUUCUCCCAGUCCAAGUUUCACGAAUACUGAAUAAGGCAAGAGAUUUACACUAGCUCCUAAAUCCAACAAAGCAUUCUCAAUUGUGUGGUUCCCUAUACUACAUGAGAUAGUGGGGGAGCCUGGGUCUUUGCAUUUUAAAGGAAUUUUAUGUUGGAGUAUAGAACUAACGUUUUCUGUUAAAAAUGCCUUCUUUUGAACAUGCAUAUUUCUCUUUUUAGUACAAAGGUCUUUAAGAAACUUGGCAUAAGAUGGAACUUGCUUAAUAGCAUCAAGUAAAGGGAUGUUGACACUUACCUGUUUGAAGAUUUCGAGAAUCUCACCUGUGGAUUUUUCCUUCUUUCCUUUAGCUAACCUCUGAGGAAAUGGAGCUUUCGGAACGUAUUCUCGUGGGUUGGUUUCUUCUUUCUCCUCCGGUGGUGAGUCUUCAACAUUCACAGGUACAAUUUGAUUUUCUUUUGUCACCGGCAUCUCCACUUUGUUGUCGACUUCCUUUCCUUUUCGCAAGGUCAUGACUGCUUUGACCUCUCCAUGCUGUUGUGGUGAACUGGUACUUGCUUCAUGCACUCCUUUAGGAUUAGGCACUGGUUGACUUGGAAACUUGCCUUUCUCAACAGUCAUUGCCAAGGUCUGAACUGAAGAAGCAAGCUGUCCCACCAUCUUCUCGAGGCUUGAAACUGAUUGGGCUUGUGAAUUGAAGCCCGCUCUCAAUUCAUUUCGUAGUCCAUCAAUGGUGCGGUUCUGUUGCUCAAUCGUGGAGUGAGUAACAUUCUUGAAAUUCUGGAAUGCAUCCUCCCAUGGUCUGGGUUGAGAGUAGUUCUGGUUUUGAUUGAAUGGUCUAAAUGGGGGCUGAGAGGCUUGAGGAUUUUGAGGAAUUGGUUGCAUUGGUGGAGCUGGAGCUGCUGGUCCAUUCUGUUGAAAUCCUUGAGACCAUGAAAAAUUGGGGUGGUCUCUCCAUCCAGGAUUAUAUGUGUUGGAGUAUGGGUUGUAAUUAGAUGACUUUCUCAUUACACCUAUGGCAUUGGCUUGAUCUGGAUAUGAGUCAGGGUCAUGUGAUUCUGUUGAUUUAGCAGUCGAUAACGAUGCUAUUUGUCGAGCAAGACCUUCAACCAUCUCCUUGACUUCUUUGAUUCCCGAAGUUGACUCGCCAAUGUGAACCUCAUUCACUCCUUUAAUCCUUCUAGUAUUCCUGAGUGAUCGACUCCGUUGUUGGGAAUUGUCCGCUUGUCGCUGGAAGAAUUCCCAAAUCUCUGUUGCGCUUUUUGACAUUAGCUCUCCUCCACUUGUUGCCAUUAGCCAUUCUUGCACAUUCGGCAAUAAUCCCUCCAAAAAGUAUUGGCAUUGGUGCCAUUUUUCGUACCCAUGAUGUGGACACUUCAAGAGUAGCCCAUUGAAUCGCUCCCAAGUUUCGAAAAACUGCUCGUCCUCUCUUUGUGUAAACUCUGAAAUUUCCCUGCGAAUAGAAUUGGUUUUAUGCACUGGGAAAUAUUUAUUUAGAAAUUUUGUAACCAUUUGUUCCCAUGAUGCAAUACUAUUAGCAGGCAAAGUAUUUAACCAUGAACGAGCUCUAUCCUUUAAAGAAAAUGGGAAUAAUCUAAGUUUAACAUCAUCGUCUGAAAAAUUUUCAUAUUUAAAAGUUUGACAAAUGGCAUGAAAAUCAUUCAGAUGAUUAUAUGGGUCCUCAUUUUCUAGGCCAUAGAAUGUGGGGAGACAAUUUAGCACACUAGGUUUUAAUUCAAAACUCCUAGCAGCUACAUUUGGGUAUCUUAUACAUGAUGUGCUCAAAUUAGCUAAGGGACUAAAAUAGUCCUUAAAUGGCCUCUCCUGUGGUGCUUGUAAAUCCAUUUCAAAUUUAUUUUUAUCGUUCUUGUGUGUGCGAAGUGUUUUUUCUAAUUCAAGGUCUAUAGGUUCAAGAUUAGGUAAUAAUGACCUACGACCAUGCAUGCAAAAUAAAAUAAAAAUAAAAAUAAAGAUGCAAACAAAACAAAAAAUAAAGAUGGGAACAAAACAAAUAAAAAUAAAGAAGAGGGAGAAAUUACGAUACUAACCUUAUUGCGCUAUUACAACCUUACUAUAAAAAUACACAAAAAUAAAUACGUGAAAUAAAUUAACUAAAAAUUAAAUUAAUAAGAUAAACAAAAAUUACAAAGAAAAAAUAAAUUGAAAAUUAAAUUACAGAAUUUUAAAGAAAAGAAAAGAAAUACUAACCUUUAAAUGUAGAUUUACUUUUUUUUUUCUUUUUUUUUAAUAAUAAAAAAAAUACAAGAAAACAAAUAAAAGAAAUUAUUCACAAAAAAUUAAUUCUAUGAAUUAAAAUUACUUACCUCCCCGGCAACGGCGCCAAAAACUUGUUGUGCAAAUUUUAAUGUACUCGCAAGCGCACGAAUCUAUUGUAGUAUAGACUAAUGGUGAUGAGUGUCGAUCCCACGAGGAGGUGGAUUUUAAUUAUAUGUAGAAUUAAUUUUGUAAAUGGGUGGUUGGAAUUGUGGUGGAAGUGAUUUAAAUUAUCCUAAAAUUGGAAUUGCAAUGGCAAGAAUAAAUUGUAGAGAAAAUCGAUUAAAUUGACGUACUUGGGUAUCUGGAUCCGUAUCAACAUGCAUCAUGGGCUAAAUAAUCCGUAUUAAUGCCAAUUAAAUCAUGAGGGGGGAAUCCACACCUCAUGAACCACGCUCUAAUCAAUAUGGUGCUAAGGGCUUAUCGUGCCAAAUAAUAAUAACCUUAUACUAGAGAGCCGGUGUAACCAAGGCGGUAUCUAGACAAGAUCAGUAUUAUUUGUGGACGACAAGUCAAAUCAUCCACAAAAACUAGAGGGGAAAAGAAAAUAAAUUUACCAAAUAAAGCCCAUGACACAUGUUGAGACUUCACCUUCAACCCAAGCUUGAAAGAAAAUUAGCCACUCAUAAUUGAACUAAGGGCAAAAUGGGAAUUUAUUAAAAUACAAAGAAAAUACAAGAUGGAGAAGGAAUUACAGAAAAUGGAUCCCAAAAAUGGAUUCAGAGAUAUCAAAUUAGGGGGGAGGGAGACCCCCUUUUUAUAGAUACAUGGAGUAAAUCAUGGCCAUCGGAUUAAAAACAGUUUGGACGCUCAGGAUUGCGCCACGUCAUCAGUCAACAGUCCACGGUUUGACCACGCGGAUGAACAGUAACACGGUUUGGUUGAAAAUAAUCCUGUGUGAUGCAUGCACCGUACGCGAGAUUUUUCGUCCACUGAUAUGCUGCCACGUCACCGUCAACAGGUCAUAAGAAUUUUAGUCCAACAGGAUCGUGACACCUCAUCAGUCAAUGCCACAUCAUCGGUCAAUGCCACGUCAUCGAUCCGUCUAUGUGAACAGUGUCGUGAACAGUAACGUAGACAGUACCGUAUACGUGAAUAGUACCGUUUUUCCUUUUAUGCUCCUCCUAAGGUUUUCGAUCGUCCUGAGUUCAAAAGUGAUGUCCGUUUUGCCGUCUGAUCUCUCCUUUAUUGUGAAAUGACUAUAAUGCCCCUAAAAUACAUAAAAUACUUAAUUAAAAUAACACACACGUAAUUACAUCACAAGAAGGUUAAAUACAUAAAAGUAAGGGUUGUUAGUAAGACUUGAAAUGUAAAAUGAUGGUUUUCUCCUUUAUAAAUAUGCAUUUUCUAACACUCAACACACCCCCCAACCAGCUUAUUGCUAGUCCCUAGCAAAUAAAGCGAAAACAAAAUUCAAAUUCAAAAUGAUUUUUUUUUUUUUUUUUUUUUUUAGAAACACUCGUGUUUAUUCAAUCAGAUUAAUGAUAGCAAUCAAAUAAAAGUAUAAGCAUUAUCUCCAGUCUAAAGCAACAUCACACCCACAUCAACCAUCCACAUGAAUUAGCCCAGUAGACUUUGUUAUAGCUACUUUCAAGAAUGACAUGUCAAACCCCAAAAUCUCACUGGAAGUAGUGACACUCUCACAAAGAGAUUAAAACCCAAUAAACAUAGUCACUCCAAUGAAUGGUAAUUGAGAGAGAAAAUAAUAAAGAAAUGAUAUCACAUGCUCUCACCAAGAUGAAAUAAAUAUGCCCUCAGCUUAGAAAUAAUACGAUCUCAAGUCAAAUAAAAUGUUAGUCAACCCACUUUAUUUAUCUUUUUUUUUUUAUUAUGCAUCACUACAUCUUUUUAGCCCAUAUAACUAGCUUCUACUUCAAACUAUAGUUCCCUAAAAUCAAGAAGGACUUUUAUUAGGACGUAACGUAGGCUAGGGAUAUGGCUAACAAAGAAAGGAAAUAAGGAAAACAAAGUGUAUGUUUGAGAAAAAUGCAGAAUUUUUUUUUUUUUUUUUUUUGGAACUUGCAAGGUGGAUUUCACCUAUUAUUGUUAUUUUUAUUCUUUUGAAACAACAACUUUUGUUUUUGUUUUUUUUUUUUUUUUUUGCUUUUAUUUGGCAUAACUUCACUGAACAACAUAAUUAUUUACAUUUUCUCAAACAUAAAUAGGUGAUGGAACUUAAAAGACAUUGGGUAAUACUCCAAAUCGGAGUGGGUCAAGAUGAUAAGUUGACAAAGAAAAUGUUUUUGUUCUUUUUUUUUUUUUUUUUUUUUUUAAAAGGCUCAAAAGGGGUAACUAUGGAUAUUUAAUAAAAGGGAUGGCUAGAAAGGCUCAAACGGAUCAAAGAUGGCCUUUCCAUCGUCUUUUAGGGCUCUAAAUAAUUAUCCAUAUCUACUAGUUAGAUGGGCCUCCCAAUGUAGCAACACACAUUUUUUUCUUUUUUUUUUUUUUAAUUUUACCAUAUUUUUUUUUUAAAGGGUUAACUUAAAAGAAAUCUAGAGAUCGUGUAUAAAAUAAUAAACUGCUAAACUGUAUAGAGAAUGGGCAAAAGGGUUACUCUCCAAGAAAAUGAUAGGCUCAACUACUCACUUGGCACUUAUUUAUGACAUGUUCAUUCCUUCAAGCAACUCAUAUUUGUCUCCGACAUCAACAUGUAAAGUAGCAAACAUAGCGUAACAUCACUUAAGACCAAAGAUAAUACAAAUACUAAAAUUUGAAAUUAAUCAUGUCAUCCAAUGUUAAAACAAAUAACACAAAUUUUUUUUUUUUUUUAAACAACAUUCUACCCCCCAACCUAUUCUAAACAUGAAAGGAAAAUAUGCAUGCAGAAAUGUGAAAAUGAUGUAGAAAAAUUAAUUAGAAAAAGAAUUUUUUUUUUUUUUAAACUAAGAAGAUGCGUUUCUAGAGGCACUACACUCCAUAUUCAGCCAUCUUCGACUCAAAAAUUUGAAACUACAUAUUUAUAAAGGAGAAAGAGGAAGAAAACAAGUUUUUUUUUUUUUUUUUUUUUUUUUUAAAACGAUGAAGAUGCGUUUCUAGAGUAACUACACUCCAUAUUCAGCCAUCUUCAACAUAAAAUGUUAGCAACAGUUAGUUUCUACAACAAAAAAUCAGUAAAAACUUAACCAAGAUUCCACAAUUGUCGACUAUUCCCUCCCCCCAACCAGAACGAAACAUUGUCCUCAAUGUUUUAAAGGAAAGAAGUAGAGUUUAGAAGACAUCACCUGGGUGGUGCAACACAGAAGAAAAUAUUUACAGGCGGAGAGUUAAAUCUAAUUUGUACUUCUUACUGCGGCUACUGUUACCAUCAUUAUUUGGUCGCUCCAACACAAAGGUCCAGGGGUCUGGCUCCGGUUUAUAAGCUUGUAACAUAUCAAGUAGCUCAUUAGCAGUGUGAGUACAAAUAAAGAGUUUUUUCACAUUAGAAGGAAUGAAAUAGUUUUUUAUUGCAUGGUUAAGAAAUGCGAUAAAGCCAUCAUAAAAGUUAUUGACAUUUAACAAACCGAUGGGUUUCUGGUGGAUGUGCAGAUGGGCCCAAGAUGCUAGUGUCAUAAGUGCCUCUAGUGUUGCAAGAUCUCCUGGAAGGAAAAUAAAAGCAUCAGCAUGAUUAAGCAUUUCAGUUAUUCUUUCUUGCAUACCUGAGACGACUAACUCUUCUCCAGUUGAUGAGUCAGACGAAUUGCCCAAUGGUUUUAGGACUCUGGGGAUGAUGCCUAACACUUGACUUCCUCUGAUAAAAGCUGCUUCUGAGACCAUUUUUGAUAACCCUCGGUUACCUCCUCCAUACACCAAAUGUAAUUUUCUCGCUGCUAUGCUUCGACCAAAAUCUAUGGCUGCCUCCACGAACUCUUUAUGUUUGCCAUAGGUAAAUCCAGAAAGCACACAAAUGUUCUUGAAUUGUCUAUUGGGAGUAGCUGCCAUUGUGAUACUUCUCAAAAACAAUUUGUGAGUGCUUGACAAAAAGUAAAUCACAUUUAAGAAUCUUGGUGACAAUGGAUCACAGCUGUGAAUGAGGUAACAUGUCAGUGUCAAAUAACGCGUAAAGCACGUGGCUCGCGAGUCAAAAAGAAAACAGUAAAAAGGAAAAAGCAAACAGUAAUAAAAUUAUUAAAGGCAAUAAUGCAAACGAUAAAACAAUAGUGAAAUAAAAUAACAGAAAGUAAAAGGAUAUUUACACGUAGUUGCGACUGUGGCUCACAUCUUCCUCUGGUUUUACGUCUAGAAACGGCUUGAACGCCCUCUAUGGGUUGAGGAUGGGCUUCCCAUCCAGUUUUCUUAUAAACUGGCAAACAGGGUCGUUUAUAGUCAGAUUCCCGAGACUAUAUCGUGCAUGCUCUUUCUGGAAUAAUGGCCAUAACCGGAGAAUCGCUCCUUGCACAUAUCCACUGGGAUGCGUUUCAAGAGACAAAAGGAUAUCAUCCAAUGACUCCUUAUUCAAGCCAUCCCUAAUGAAUUGAAUCUUAUCUUCCCUGUUAUCAGACACCAUUCCUACAGAACAUGGGUUUCUAUCGCAACUCAUUCUGGCACACUUAUGACAAGCAACAGAAAUUCUUCGAGCUCGUCGUUUUCUUGCAUAAUUUCCUUUACCACAACCAGGCAUGUAUGCAAUAAAUUUAGGAGGUAACUCACCUGCCAAUCGUACUUUAGCCUCGAUUAACCAACGGAUGUCUGCAGGUAUGUUAUUCUUCAUGAGCAAUCGCAUGCGUUCAGACCGGGCUUUAUAGAUCGUAAGGAGGGCAUUCUGAGGAAGUGAAGGGAAUCGCUUGUGAAGCUUCGCUAGAAUCUCGUUUCUGUCCAUACCUUCGCCUCAGAAUAUCAGUUAUUAUGGGAAACUGAAGUUAACCGACUUGAUUGUCACGGAGUACCGUUAUCCGCCACUUCACCGGGGUAACAAACUAAAGCACACAAACAGAAAAACAAAUUAAAACACACAAAGAAAAUUAAAAUCGUCCUCUUAUUGAAUUUACCUCAAGCUCCAACUGGAUGUCGUAAACACUUCUCUCAAUGUCUCUGAGUUGGCGUUCUAAACCCUCAACAUAGGCUACUAACUCUGGUGGUUGUAGAGCCCAAAUGCGUUGUGUUUUACAAAAUAGAAUCUGCCUUUUGAGAUGAGUUUUGACACGUUGAAGUGGUUUAAGAAUGUUCAGGAGGAACGGUCUAAGUAGGAGACUCAUGAUUAAAAAUGAUAAGAGAAAACUUAAUGGUAAAAUAAACACACUUAUGCAAAAACAAUUUCAAUUAGCAAAAGAAUAAUAAAAAAAAAAAUAAAGAAAAAUCAAAUCAACGAAAAGAAAAAAAAAUCAAUUCAAAUUUGGUGGGUCACUCAAAUUUAUUUCGAUGUUUUCUCCAUGUGGUUGGUACUCUAGAUAUGGCUUUAAUCUUUGACCAUUAACUUUAAACGUGACACCGUUCUUUGGGUCCUUAAUUUCAAUUGCCCCAUGUGGAAAAACAGUAUGUACAAUAAAUGGGCCAGACCAACGAGAGCGUAACUUACCUGGGAAUAGGUGCAAGCGAGAAUUGAAUAAAAGCACUUUUUGACCUGGAGUGAACGAUUUUCUCAUAAUUUGCUUAUCAUGGAAGACUUUCAUUCGUUGCUUGUAAAUCUUGGCAUUUUCGUAUGCAUCAUUGCGAAUUUCUUCAAGUUCUGCCAGCUGUAAUCUUCUUUCUGAGCUGGCUUGCUGCAUGUCAAAGUUGAAUUUCUUGAUGGCCCAAUAUGCACGAUGCUCGAGUUCCACAGGUAGGUGGCAAGCUUUUCCAUACACUAGCCUGUAGGGUGACAUCCCAAUCGGGGUCUUGAAAGCCGUUCUAUAUGCCCAUAAUGCAUCAUCAAGUCGUAAUGACCAAUCUUUCCUGUCUGGCCUCACCGUCUUUUCUAAUAUGUGCUUUAUUUCUCGAUUGGAGAUCUCAACUUGGCCACUGGUUUGCGGAUGAUACGGGGUCGCCACUUUGUGUGUGAUUGAAUACUUUGUCAAAAGAGCCUUGAAUGCUUUGUUACAAAAGUGGGCACCACCAUCACUGAUUAUCGCUCGAGGGAAUCCAAAGCGUGAAACAAUGUUGCUUUUCAAAAAUCCUAUCACCACUUUGUGAUCAUUGGUUCUGCAUGGAAUUGCUUCCACCCAUUUCGAUACGUAGUCAACAGCAACCAAUAUGUAUUGAUGGCCAAAAGAAGGGGGAAAGGGUCCCAUGAAGUCGAUACCCCAUACGUCAAAAAUCUCAACCACUAAAAUUGAAUUUAGUGGCAUCAUGUUCCUUCGUGUAAUGCUCCCCAUUCGUUGACACCUAUCACAUGAAGAACAGAAAGUGUAAGCGUCUCGAAAUAUAGUUGGCCAAUAGAAACCACAUUGUAAAACUUUUGUAGCUGUUUUCUUAGCACUGAAGUGGCCUCCACAAGCUUGUGCAUGGCAAAAUGAAAGAAUAUUCUGAAUUUCAUUUUCAGGGACACAUCGUCUAACAAUUUGGUCUGCACAAUACUUGAACAAAUAUGGGUCAUCCCAAAAGAAAUUCUUUAUUUCCGCAAAGAAUUUAGCCUUGUCUUGCUUGGUCCAAUGCUCUGGAAGCUUACCUGUAACAAGAUAAUUAACUAUAUCAGCAUACCAAGGUAAUAUUUCCACACUCAUUAAUUGUUCAUCUGGAAAUGACUCAUUUAAUAUUAAUGGCUCUGUAAUUGUGUCAAAAUAGAGACGAGAGAGGUGGUCCGCCACAACAUUUUCUGUGCCUUUCUUAUCCUUGAAUUCCAAGUCGAAUUCCUGCAAAAGUAACACCCAACGAAUUAGUCUAGCUUUUGCAUCUUUCUUUGUGAGAAGAUAUUUAAGAGCAGCAUGAUCUGUGAAUAUAAUUAUUUUACAACUAAUGAGAUAAGAUCGAAAUUUUUCCAAUGCAAACACUACUGCUAGCAUUUCUUUUUCAGUAGUUGAAUAAUUCAACUGUGCAUCAUUCAAUGUCAUACUAGCAUAGUAAAUAACGUGGGGAAUUCGAUCAACUCUUUGUCCUAAUACUGCUCCUACUGCAUAAUCAGAUGCAUCACACAUGAGCUCAAAUGGUAAGUUCCAGUUUGGGGCCUGAAUGAUGGGUGAUGAUGUCAACAAUUGCUUUAAUUUUUCAAAAGCCAUAAGACAUGAAUCAUUAAAGAUAAAAGGUACAUCCUUAGCAAGUAAAUUGCAUAAGGGUCUAGAAACUUUGCUAAAAUCUUUAAUGAAACGUCUAUAGAAACCAGCAUGCCCAAGGAAAGAUCUUACUUCUCUGACUGUUUUAGGUGGAGGAAGAUUAGAAAUGAGAUCCACCUUGGCUUUGUCAACCUCAAUACCUUUGCUCGAAAUGAUGUGACCGAGAACAAUACCUUGUUUUACCAUAAAAUGGCACUUCUCCCAAUUCAAGACUAAGUUCUUCUCGGUACAUCUCUGCAGAACUAGCGUUAGAUGAUGUAAACAUUGAUCAAACGAGUCACCAAAGACAGAAAAAUCAUCCAUAAAGACUUCAAGGAAUCGUUCAACCAUAUCAGAAAAAAUGCUCAACAUACAUCGUUGGAAUGUAGCAGGUGCAUUACAUAAUCCAAAUGGCAUUCUCCUAUAUGCAAAAGUGCCAAAAGGGCAAGUGAAAGUAGUUUUCUCCUGAUCUUUUGGUGCUAUGGGAAUCUGAUUAUAUCCUGAGUAGCCAUCUAGAAAGCAAUAAAAUUCGUGGCCUGCUAAUCUAUCAAGCAUUUGAUCGAUAAAUGGUAAAGGAAAAUGGUCUUUACGUGUGACAGAAUUCAACUUUCUAUAAUCAAUGCAUACACGCCAUCCUGUAGUUACUCUAGUUGGUAUCAAUUCAUUAUCAGCAUUGGUAACUACUGUGACUCCUGACUUUUUGGGGACGACUUGUACAGGACUGACCCAUGAACUAUCAGAAAUUGGGUAAAUGAUACCUGCAUCUAAUAGCUUAAGGACUUUAGUUCUAACAACUUCUUUCAUGUUAGGAUUUAACCGACGUUGCAUCUCCCUAGUAGUUUUAGCAUUUUCAUCAAGGUGAAUGUAAUGCAUGCAGUCUACUGGGUUUAUACCUUUUAUGUCUGCUAUGGUCCAUCCUAAUGCCCCUUUGUGCUCUUUUAAAACAUCCAACAACUUACCUUUUUGUUCGUCAUUUAGGGAUGAUGAGAUGAUUACCGGCAGAGUACUUUCUUCUCCCAAAAAUGCAUAUUCCAGAGUGUUGGGUAAUGGUUUGAGCUCGAGUUUCGGUGGUGAUUCUGAUGAUGGAAUGAGUUUCUUCUCUGAUGGUGCUAGUUGUUCAACUCUUGACUUCCAUUUAUUAGUGUCCAUGGAUGGUGCUGAGUCAAGUAGGGCGUUGACCUCUUCGACCGAUCUGUCAAUAUCAAAAUCCAAACCAAAGUGAGUUAAACAUGUUUGUAAAGGAUCAUCACUAAGGUUUGAAAGAAAAGUAUUAUCAACUAUUGUUUCUAUCAAAUCCACAUCAAUAAUUCCAUCAUCUGCACUGUGAGGUUGUUUGGCAAUGUUGAAGAUGUUUAGCUCCAUAGUCAUGUUGCCGAAGGACAAUUGCAUAUUUCCGGUCCUACAUUGAAUAUGAGCAUCUGCAGUUGCCAAGAAAGGUCGGCCUAGAAUAAUGGGGAUGUGCUUCCUUGAGUCCUGUAUUGGUUGAGUGUCAAUUACAAUGAAAUCAACAGGAAAAUAAAACUUGUCUACCUGGAUAAGCACGUCCUCCACAAUACCACGAUGUAUUUUUGUGGACCGAUCUGCAAGCUGUAACACCACUGGAGUUGGGUGUAAUUCUCCCAGUCCAAGUUUCACGAAUACUGAAUAAGGCAAGAGAUUUACACUAGCUCCUAAAUCCAACAAAGCAUUCUCAAUUGUGUGGUUCCCUAUACUACAUGAGAUAGUGGGGGAGCCUGGGUCUUUGCAUUUUAAAGGAAUUUUAUGUUGGAGUAUAGAACUAACGUUUUCUGUUAAAAAUGUCUUCUUUUGAACAUGCAUAUUUCUCUUUUUAGUACAAAGGUCUUUAAGAAACUUGGCAUAAGAUGGAACUUGCUUAAUAGCAUCAAGUAAAGGGAUGUUGACACUUACCUGUUUGAAGAUUUCGAGAAUCUCACCUGUGGAUUUUUCCUUCUUUCCUUUAGCUAACCUCUGAGGAAAUGGAGCUUUCGGAACGUAUUCUCGUGGGUUGGUUUCUUCUUUCUCCUCCGGUGGUGAGUCUUCAACAUUCACAGGUACAAUUUGAUUUUCUUUUGUCACCGGCAUCUCCACUUUGUUGUCGACUUCCUUUCCUUUUCGCAAGGUCAUGACUGCUUUGACCUCUCCAUGCUGUUGUGGUGAACUGGUACUUGCUUCAUGCACUCCUUUAGGAUUAGGCACUGGUUGACUUGGAAACUUGCCUUUCUCAACAGUCAUUGCCAAGGUCUGAACUGAAGAAGCAAGCUGUCCCACCAUCUUCUCGAGGCUUGAAACUGAUUGGGCUUGUGAAUUGAAGCCCGCUCUCAAUUCAUUUCGUAGUCCAUCAAUGGUGCGGUUCUGUUGCUCAAUCGUGGAGUGAGUAACAUUCUUGAAAUUCUGGAAUGCAUCCUCCCAUGGUCUGGGUUGAGAGUAGUUCUGGUUUUGAUUGAAUGGUCUAAAUGGGGGCUGAGAGGCUUGAGGAUUUUGAGGAAUUGGUUGCAUUGGUGGAGCUGGAGCUGCUGGUCCAUUCUGUUGAAAUCCUUGAGACCAUGAAAAAUUGGGGUGGUCUCUCCAUCCAGGAUUAUAUGUGUUGGAGUAUGGGUUGUAAUUAGAUGACUUUCUCAUUACACCUAUGGCAUUGGCUUGAUCUGGAUAUGAGUCAGGGUCAUGUGAUUCUGUUGAUUUAGCAGUCGAUAACGAUGCUAUUUGUCGAGCAAGACCUUCAACCAUCUCCUUGACUUCUUUGAUUCCCGAAGUUGACUCGCCAAUGUGAACCUCAUUCACUCCUUUAAUCCUUCUAGUAUUCCUGAGUGAUCGACUCCGUUGUUGGGAAUUGUCCGCUUGUCGCUGGAAGAAUUCCCAAAUCUCUGUUGCGCUUUUUGACAUUAGCUCUCCUCCACUUGUUGCCAUUAGCCAUUCUUGCACAUUCGGCAAUAAUCCCUCCAAAAAGUAUUGGCAUUGGUGCCAUUUUUCGUACCCAUGAUGUGGACACUUCAAGAGUAGCCCAUUGAAUCGCUCCCAAGUUUCGAAAAACUGCUCGUCCUCUCUUUGUGUAAACUCUGAAAUUUCCCUGCGAAUAGAAUUGGUUUUAUGCACUGGGAAAUAUUUAUUUAGAAAUUUUGUAACCAUUUGUUCCCAUGAUGCAAUACUAUUAGCAGGCAAAGUAUUUAACCAUGAACGAGCUCUAUCCUUUAAAGAAAAUGGGAAUAAUCUAAGUUUAACAUCAUCGUCUGAAAAAUUUUCAUAUUUAAAAGUUUGACAAAUGGCAUGAAAAUCAUUCAGAUGAUUAUAUGGGUCCUCAUUUUCUAGGCCAUAGAAUGUGGGGAGACAAUUUAGCACACUAGGUUUUAAUUCAAAACUCCUAGCAGCUACAUUUGGGUAUCUUAUACAUGAUGUGCUCAAAUUAGCUAAGGGACUAAAAUAGUCCUUAAAUGGCCUCUCCUGUGGUGCUUGUAAAUCCAUUUCAAAUUUAUUUUUAUCGUUCUUGUGUGUGCGAAGUGUUUUUUCUAAUUCAAGGUCUAUAGGUUCAAGAUUAGGUAAUAAUGACCUACGACCAUGCAUGCAAAAUAAAAUAAAAAUAAAAAUAAAGAUGCAAACAAAACAAAAAAUAAAGAUGGGAACAAAACAAAUAAAAAUAAAGAAGAGGGAGAAAUUACGAUACUAACCUUAUUGCGCUAUUACAACCUUACUAUAAAAAUACACAAAAAUAAAUACGUGAAAUAAAUUAACUAAAAAUUAAAUUAAUAAGAUAAACAAAAAUUACAAAGAAAAAAUAAAUUGAAAAUUAAAUUACAGAAUUUUAAAGAAAAGAAAAGAAAUACUAACCUUUAAAUGUAGAUUUACUUUUUUUUUUCUUUUUUUUUUAAUAAUAAAAAAAAUACAAGAAAACAAAUAAAAGAAAUUAUUCACAAAAAAUUAAUUCUAUGAAUUAAAAUUACUUACCUCCCCGGCAACGGCGCCAAAAACUUGUUGUGCAAAUUUUAAUGUACUCGCAAGCGCACGAAUCUAUUGUAGUAUAGACUAAUGGUGAUGAGUGUCGAUCCCACGAGGAGGUGUAUUUUAAUUAUAUGUAGAAUUAAUUUUGUAAAUGGGUGGUUGGAAUUGUGGUGGAAGUGAUUUAAAUUAUCCUAAAAUUGGAAUUGCAAUGGCAAGAAUAAAUUGUAGAGAAAAUCGAUUAAAUUGACGUACUUGGGUAUCUGGAUCCGUAUCAACAUGCAUCAUGGGCUAAAUAAUCCGUAUUAAUGCCAAUUAAAUCAUGAGGGGGGAAUCCACACCUCAUGAACCACGCUCUAAUCAAUAUGGUGCUAAGGGCUUAUCGUGCCAAAUAAUAAUAACCUUAUACUAGAGAGUCGGUGUAACCAAGGCGGUAUCUAGACAAGAUCAGUAUUAUUUGUCGACGACAAGUCAAAUCAUCCACAAAAACUAGAGGGGAAAAGAAAAUAAAUUUACCAAAUAAAGCUCAUGACACAUGUUGAGACUUCACCUUCAACCCAAGCUUGAAAGAAAAUUAGCCACUCAUAAUUGAACUAAGGGCAAAAUGGGAAUUUAUUAAAAUACAAAGAAAAUACAAGAUGGAGAAGGAAUUACAGAAAAUGGAUCCCAAAAAUGGAUUCAGAGAUAUCAAAUUAGGGGGGGGGGGAGACCCCCUUUUUAUAGAUACAUGGAGUAAAUCAUGGCCAUCGGAUUAAAAACAGUUUGGACGCUCAGGAUUGCGCCACGUCAUCAGUCAACAGUCCACGGUUUGACCACGUGGAUGAACAGUAACACGGUUUGACCCGGAUGAACAGUAACGCGGUUUGGUUGAAAAUAAUCCUGUGUGAUGCAUGCACCGUACGCGAGAUUUUUCGUCCACUGAUAUGCUGCCACGUCACCGUCAACAGUACAUAAGAAUUUUAGUCCAACAGGAUCGUGACACCUCAUCAGUCAAUGCCACAUCAUCGGUCAAUGCCACGUCAUCGAUCCGUCUAUGUGAACAGUGUCGUGAACAGUAACGUAGACAGUACCGUAUACGUGAAUAGUACCGUUUUUCCUUUUAUGCUCCUCCUAAGGUUUUCGACCGUCCUGAGUUCAAAAGUGAUGUCCGUUUUGCCGUCUGAUCUCUCCUUUAUUGUGAAAUGACUAUAAUGCCCCUAAAAUACAUAAAAUACUUAAUUAAAAUAACACACACGUAAUUACAUCACAAGAAGGUUAAAUACAUAAAAGUAAGGGUUGUUAGUAAGACUUGAAAUGUAAAAUGACGGUUUUCUCCUUUAUAAAUAUGCAUUUUCUAACACUCAACACUUUGUUAUGAGAAUAUUUGGUUGGUUACAAUGGUUAUUUUGAAACACUGAACCAUCACCUAUUUUAGCAUUCCAAGUUAAAAAUAUAGAUCAGUUUUGAAGAAAAAUAUGGAACACUGCUAGAAAAAAUGGUCUUUACUAACAUUAGAAUAGUGUCAGUAAUUACUUUUAGUGACACUUGCUAAUUGUGUCAGUAAUUUGGCAGUCAGAAAAAUAGUGACACUUGUAAGUGGUGUCAGUGAUUACUAUUACUAUAGCAUCACUAAAAUCAUAACACCAUGGUAUCAAAAUAUUACAAUACUAUAUUAGUAUUUGUGAUUACUAUUACUAUAGUAUCACUACUUUAUGUAUUAUUUAAAAAAAUAAUUAUAUAAAAUGACAUAUUGCCCAUUGAUUUGUUGAUAUAAUUAAAAGGCUGUGAGAAAUAAGAACAAAAAUCAAUUUAUUUAUCAAAACCUUUCAUAACAUUUAAAUAUUAUCAAUAUAUAUUACACAAUCCAAAUACUUUAAUACACAAAGACAUCUUACUACAAGACAUCUUAUUCUUAUAAUUGAAUAAUCUUAACUGCUAUUAUCCAAUCAAAUUUCUUCUACUCGUAGCUGAAUUUAAGGGCUAAAUUUACCAAAUCUAAAAGCUAAAUUUAGAAGGAUUAUUAUUUUUCACUCCAUGAACAUAAGUACUGCAAUCAUGCAUUAUCACGUACAUCUUCUUCAUUCACGGACAGCUUCUUCAUUCGAUAAAUUUGAUGGGUUAGGGAUAUAAGUUGAAGAAGAAACACUUUAAACAUAUUAAUCAUAUCUGCAAACAAAUAAAAGAAAAAGGAAAAGAAAUUGGUUGCCAAAUUCCAACAGUUGCAAAAUAAAUUAACAAGCAAUACAGAGACAAAAGUUAAUAGAAAUAAACAUAUUUUGCUCGAAAACAAAAAAAAAAUUCAUAAGCUAUGAACAGAUCAACUCAAUUAUCUUAAAGGAAAAUUAGAGAAUAAGAAUGUUGUAGCUCAUUUGAUUAGAAAUAAGGUAGAAUAUAUUUAACUAUAGAUAUAAAUUAAAAAAAAAGGUGAUGCUGAAUUCAUUCUCUUAUAUAUAUAUGAAUAAGAGAGAGUGAGAGAGCAAAUUAUAGCAUUCAAAUUUUCAGUAUAACAUCUAGUUUCAAGAAAGUGUAUUUAUUUCUCAUUAUAUAAAAAAUAAUGAUUUUCCAGCUAAAAAAAAUUCAUAAUAAAAUUUAAUAUCUAAUACAACAUAGUAUGUUUUUUUUUUUUCAAAAAAAUGCUUGCAAUUAUGUCUUUUAGCCACCAAGCCUAAGUGUGAGAGUAAAGCAUUUAACUCUUGAUAAUUACACACUUUCUGCAUAAUGCAAUUAGUGUCAACUCAUUCUAAAUUACUCUACUUGAAUAAUAAAACAUUUCAGCCAUUGUAUUGAUGGAGCUACUAAUCCAGAAUAUUCACAAUAAAUAUAGGGUUCAAGGCAAUUAAGAGAUGUACCUCUUAGGGCUAUGCAUAUUCUCUAUCUUUCUAAGGCAAUCUUUAAUUCAUAUAGUUCCACCCCCUUUGAAUUCACAAACCAAGACUUUACAAACAAAGGCCUUAUAUCAUUAAUCUUAAUACAUUUUUACCAAAAAAUCACUAUAUUCAUAAAUAAAAAUCACAAGUUAACGCUUUAACCUCGUGUUGGGCUGUCUUAGUUUUCACAUGGCAGAGGAAUCUACGAUAAUGUGUAUGUUUUCCUGAGAAGAAAAAGGAACAAAAAAUAGGGAAAGGAAGUCAAGACUAAAAAAUAAUUAUUCAAUAAGCUGAAAAAUUAUCAUAUAUCAUGCAUGUUUUACACAAUCCCCUUAUAAAGUUGAAAAAAAAACUACUUUAUUUUACACAAUCAAACGAUUUUAACAGGAAACAUAACUUAGUAGGACAAGAAUGCAGCUAAAUUAUGAAAGCCAUUUUGCUUGCAGAUAUUAAUUAGACAUUUCAGUUUUUCUUAUAUUUUUCACAAUUUGAGCAGCUUUACUUUAAUUUUAUCAGGAAUCGAGUAUGGCGAUGUCACAAAAAGAAAGCAUCAGGGGGUUUGCAACAGACAGCAAAAUCAUUCAAGAAACUAGUGAGUUAGAGAAAAGCACUUGUGCAACAACUGAAGCAGAUCUCAUUGAGCGCCCAUACACACCAGUUCAAACUGGCGAUGAGUUUGCGCCAAAAUUUUUUGAGCAGUAAGGAACCAUAGAAACUCCACAGAAAGCAAAGAUUAACCUCGAAGGAGAGCAACAACCACAAGAAUCAGGGGAAACAAAAACUGAGGAAUCAGCAUUGAUGGACUCAGCUCAGCUUCAUUGACUGACCCCCUUCAGAGCUCCAGAAUUGAAACUACGAAAGUGGCUGAACAAGUCGGCGAAGGGAGAGAACCAAAAGGCAGGACUGAAGAAAAUCAAACCAAAGAACCAGAAGCCAUUCAUGUAGAAGAUGCAAAAAUGGAUGAAGAACAAGACGAAGAUGAACAUAAAAGGAUAGACUCAAGCUCUGAUGCUCCGGUCAUGAUUGAAGCGAAAAGAGGUGCUGUGGAUGUUAGGGUUGCACAACUUGGUCACUGGCAAAGGAUGAGGAACCUAUUUGAAAUAAACUGAAACUAAUGUAUCGUUAUUUACUAAAAAUAAAAAUAUAGGGAACUCAAUGUUAUUCACUCGAUAAUCAAAUAUUUCGAUUUCUCAUAGUUACAUGUCACCUCUCGCAAGUCACAGGACUCGUCGUGACUCGAGUCGCUUCCUUCCCUCUUGCUUGCAGUCUCCGCCCAUUUUUGUAGCACAGAAAAAAAAAAAACUAAUUUUCAUUUUUCAAUUCAAAGUCUGUGACUCUCAUCGAUCCAUAUAACACAACAAAACAACAAAAUUUAACACGGAAAAAAAAAGGAAUGUGUAAGCAAGUAUCCAAGAGAAUAGAAGAAAACCGAGCUUACUGAGUUACUUGGAGCUCCGAGACCUUUCGAAGAUCGAAUUAGCGGAAGAAAACAAAACUUCAGCUAACAAGAAAUCCCGAGAAGUCGAAGCGAGAGGGGCGGUGUGCACUCGAGUAGGGUGAGCAAAAUGUGGAGAUCUAAAGCGGGUCUUGUGAGCUUGUGGCAUAGCGGCAUGGUGGAUGUUUUGCAUAAUGUAGAUCGUUAGGGUUUCGUAUGGUAUGGGUCUUAGAAUUUGAGCAGUGGUGUUAGGAUUUCUUAUGGCAUGGACCCUUGAAUUUUAGGGCUCGAAGUUUUAGAGGUAUGAAGAAGAAGAAGGAUAUCGCCAGAGAGAUGAGGCGGCUGACCAUGGAUUUAGGAGUUAGGGAAUUUUAUGUUUAUGUUGAUUUAGGGUUUCUUGCUUUUGCUUUUAUAUUGUUGUUUUCUAUAUUAAUUUAAUUUGAUAAUUUCAACAUGUUCAACACAAACUAAUGUAUGAAUUUGGCCUGGUGGUUUGUUCGUUGAACAUAAAGCACUUUAGUUUUGAGGUCCUAGGUUCGAGUCGCAACUAAAACAAAAAUAUAAUUUUUUUUUUUUUUUUUGUUUCUGAUACCUUAGUGUUAACAAUCUCUGAUGUUUAAUGUACAAACACCAUAGAAUCAGUAAUUUGUGACACUUGUUUGUUAAACACGGAAAAUGACCCAAAUAUAUGUAAUUACUGAUACUUUUUAGAAAAGUGUCACAAGACAAAUAUCAGUAAAAGCUAUUUUUCUAGUAGUGGAAGCGAGAUCAAGAGUAAUGUUCUUGGAGUACGCAAGAAUACUAUGUAUUGAAUAUAAUGUGAUGAAGGUGUGUCUUGUAAAAUUAGGACCCUAUUGAAUAUGAUAUGACGAGGUGGUGUGCUGUAAAUUAGGAGGCAAGUUUUCCUUGCAAUAAUUCCUGCAACACUUGUCUAAUUGUGCUUGUUCCUCUAAAUAAGUGGAAGUCUUUUUUUGUGUAAACUUGCACAAUCGAAUUUGAGAGUUAUUCUGACUUCAAUAAUAUCAGACAGCAACCCGCUUCUGCUUUAUAUUUUACAUUGAACUAUAGUUGCCUUGACUUUAAUAAAUCUCAAAAAUACAAAUAAGAAGACUUAUCCUAAUUAAGUUCUUACAUUGAACUAUAGUGGGAUCUCCCAAUUUAAUUAAGAGUGAUGCUACUGACACUCCUCUAUAUCUCUUAUGAAACUCGUCUUGUUCUUUAUUCACAAAUUUGUAAAACUUAUCUAAUUAAACCCACCUAUGUUUUCUUAUUUUUUCUCCAUUAUAAACUCAUUAAAUCUAUAAAAUUUGAAAAAAAAAUGAAUUGUUAUAGAAUAAGAAUUUGAUCAAAAUAUAAACAAAGUUUUUGUAGGAAAGAUAAUUUGGUAAAGUUUAUUUACUUAGGCCAAUUUUUUUUUUAAAGAUUUGCACACAUGUCUUUAUAUAUAUAUCAAGGUUAUUACCUACUAGAAAAAAAUAAAGUAAAUACAGAGAAAAAUAAGAAAUUUAUGAAUGUUAUAAUUAAGAAGAUAUUGAAAGUGGCUUGAAAUGGGAGAAGGGUAAGAGAGAGGGCCUAAUAAUUUUUUUUUUAAAGUAUUGAUACAAGAGUUUAUUAAAAAAAUACAACAAAUGAAUAUUAUUUUAAAAAUUAAGAAGAAUAUGCAGAGAAAAUGUGUUUUAAAAGAACCUUAGGAGUGUGCCCAUAGUCAAACUCUUUAAUUAAUAUGCAGGAUUUCCUGGCACAAGUGACAUAACAAUGUGGGAUCCUGAUACAUAGGGGCUGUUUGUUUCGUUUUUGCCUUUUCUUUUUUAUUGAAAUUUACUGUCCCAUCAUACGCAGUAAAUAUUGUUGGAGUUGGAAACUUAUAAGAAAAGCGUGAGAUCGCACGCUAAAAUUAUCCUUUGCAUAAAUAGAGAAAUUAGUUCAGAGUCUUUAUUGAGUUUUUUUUCCCUUAUCACAAAGUAUCGGUUGGUGUGAUUUUUUCUCCAAUUAUUAGUGAGAGUAAAUUUUUAAAUUAUAUUUAAUACGCAUCUGAAUUUUAUUACAAAUUAUUCUCAAUAGAUCUCAAAUUACAAAUAUAUCAUUAUAUUGUAAAAAUUAAUUUAAAAAAUUGACAAGCAUCCAACCGCACGUUUUUCAUACGUUCAUUUGUGAAAUAAAAAUACAUUAAUAUUUUACUCCGAAAUAACAUAUUUUUUUCGCGAAGAUGUCUUCUUUCGUUUUCGCCAUAAAUGAUCGCAACGUUAAAGGUGGGGCUGGUCACAAGCAUUAUUGUACUAUGUUUAAUUUGAGCCACCCAAAUUGCAAAACAAAUGGAGUUAUUUUUUAUGAGUCAGUUUGUCAUCACUCGUUCUGCGGUUUGAAAGUGGCGAAACGAGAGAUAAAGACAAAGUAAAAAAAAAAAUAUAUUAGCAGACAAAUGAUGCCGACAUUACACUCCUGGUCUGGUGCAAUGCAUGAUUUUUAAUCAUAAUUUUAAUUAUUUUUAUUUUUAUUUAUAUUGAAAUACGGUCUCGUUCCAAUAAUAAAUAGCAGUCACUUUAAGACUCCGAUCCAAAUUCGAUGAUGCGUGAAUUAAUGAAAAAAAAAAUGUUAGUGAAAGUGUUAGAGGCUCUCGGGUUGACUUGGUUACCACUAUAAAUGGAACACUAUGGGGGAGCAAAUGGUAAGUUUAAGUAACUCAGUCCCUUGAUGGCAACUAAAUUUUCUCAAGUUCUAUCAGUUACCCAGAAGGCACCGGAACUAAUUGCUCCGGCCAGGCCCAGACCAAGAGAAGUGAAGCAACUUUCAGAUAUUGAUGACUAAGAAAGCCUACGGUUCGGAUACCAAUAAUUUUCCUCGACAAGAAUGACCCUUCACCUUCGAUGCAAGGAAGAGACCCUGUUAAGGUAAUUAAAAUGGCAAUAAGUAAAGCACUUGUGUUUUAGUAUCCUUACGAUAUACAUACAUGCAAAAGCAGUUAUUUGUAGUUAUUUUAGGACUGCCACUUUUUUUUUUUUUUGCAGGUGUUUCCUAAAUCUUCCAUUCAAAAUAGAACUCUUCCUAGGUUGGUUCGGUUCUGAAUCGAACUGAAACGAUCUUUUUUUUUUUUUUUUUUUAUAAAAUAUAAUCCGAACCAAUUCUCAAUUUGGUUAAGUCUUUUUGAUUUAAAAUCAUAAAUUCCUUUGUAUUUUAUGAUUUUUUUAUAUAAACUGAAUUUUUUUUUUUUAAAAAACUGAACUGAAUCAAACUAAACUGUCAAUUCGGUUCGGAUUUUACGGGAGCAGCGAUUUUUUUACCCCGUAAGUGUAAUCAAAAGCAAGUAGUUGAGUGGGGCAAGUUUUUGCUUUCGCCUUAAGGAUUAAUAUAGUAAAUAUACUCAUUCGAGUAGUUAAGUCUACAGUAAAAAUAAAGAAUCAUUCAAGUUUUUGUUUUUGCUGUGUUUUGUGUCAAUAUAAAGAAUCAUUCUUGUGCUCAAAACGCAACACUCUCGGUUUUCUCUCUCUCUCUCUCUCUCUCUCUCUCUCUCUCUCUCUCUCUUGUCUCGCUCCCUCACACACUCUUUAUUACAUCUCGCUCCCUCUCUCUCUCGGCUAUCUCUCUCUCUUGUCUCGCUCAAUUUUCCUCGAUUUGUCCUCAUCAAUUUUCUCAAGUCUUCAACUUCAAUGGCUUUUUCCAUAUACUUUAUUUCUACAAAAUGAAUAUAAUUCAUAUUAACAAACUGAAAACAACAAAAGAUUGCGAAAGUGAGCCACAUACAAGUUAGAUAUGCUAUAAAUUAUAAAAAUAAUCAUGUAUUGCAAAUUAUUAUAUGGAUUUAAAAAAAUGUCCAAUUCUUUGUUUCCUCUAUAAAUUUUAUAAUCCGAACUGAUUCUCAAUUUGGGUUAUUUUUUUCAGUUUUAAGUCGUAAAUUCUUUUGUAUUUUAUAUAUUUUUUUAUAUAAACUAUUUUUUUUUUAAUUGAACUAAAUCUCAAUAAACUGUCAGUUCGAUUCGAUUUUCCUGGGAGCAACUUUUUUUUAACCCACCCCUACGUGUAAUCAAAAGCAAGUAGUUGAGUGAGAGGCAAGUUUUUGCUUCGGCCUUAAGAACUGAUAUGGUAAAUGGGUGUGGAUAUUUCCACCCCAUUAUUUUUAUAAAUCCACCCCACCUUCAUAAAAUAAUUACAAUAAGUUCACAUUAUUUUAUAAAAUUAUAAAUUAAUAAUAAUUUUAAAUAAUUAAUUAAAUCAAUCUUAUAAUAUUUUUUUCUUACUUUGUCUUUCAACAAUCUUUAACAAUUUAAGGUUGUUUUAAGAUAAGUUUAAUUUAACUAAUUUACCCUUAUAAUAUAAAAUAACCAAAUUACCCUAAGAAAUAUAUAUAUUAUUGUAACUUAUUGUUUAGGCAUUUAGUUUUAUGUUUUAUAAUCUAAUAUGCCUUAUAUAAAAUUUAAUAAUUUUCAAUACUUCAGAUGUCCUAAUUACAUCUCGUUAGUUUAGUGGAAUAUUAAUAAUCAUACUAAACAACACUACUUAUACAUUAGUAAAAUAUAAAAAAAAAUUGUAUAAAAAUUUAUUAAAGUUAAAGUAAAUUUUUAGAUAUUUUUGGUACUUUUACCUUAUAAGGUUAGAAUAAUUAUAUUAAUUUAUGUUAAAACAACCUUAUUGAUCAAAUAUAAUAAAAAAAACAGUCUCAUAAAAAAAUAAUUAAUGAAUAUGGAUUUAAUUGGUUAAAUUGUUAAAUUUCUUCUUAAUUUGAAUUUUUAAAAAGUAAUGUGUACUUAUUGUAACAUUUUUUUAAAAUCGGGGUGGAUUAAUAAAAAUUUUGGGGUGGAAAUAUCACCACCUAUGGUAAAUAUAUUCAUUCAAGUAGUCAAGCCUACAGUUAAGAUAAAUAGAUAACAGAUUAAUGAUUGUAGUUUAAUUAUGCGAACGUGACAUACAUAUCUAUCAUAAAUUAUCAUGAAAUGUGGUAAAGCUUCAAUUCUUUUGAAACAUGAUAAAUAUAUAUAAUUAAAUUAUAACUGCUAAUCCGUUAUCUAUUUAUCUUCAUUGUCGGCUUGACUACCUUAGUUUUCUUAAAAAUUGGGAAAAAAAAGUUAUUGUUUGUGGGGAAAAGGACAUCCACACCCCCCAAACUUUGGUGAAACGGGGCACCAAUACUCACAUAUAUAUAUAUAUAUAUAUAUGUAUGACUGUAAUAAAUAAAUAAAAAUAUAACAUUAAAAUAAAUGUAAUAAUAUAUAUAUUUUAAAUUAAUUUCAAUUUAAAAAUAUUUUAAUAUUUUAAUAUUUUACAAUAUGUUAGAUAUAUUUUGUUAUAUUAAACUAAAUAUUCUAAUAAAUAGAAUCGUAAUAUUAAAAUAAAUAUUCAAAUUUAAAUUAUUUUGAAUAUUAUGUAAAAUAAUAAUUUUCACAUUAUUAGUAUGUGAUUUUUUUUAUUUGUAAAAUGUAUUUAAUGCAAGUAUUUAUUUACAAUCUCUACAAUAAAUAAUAAUAUAUUAUUAAAAUAAAUAUAAUAAUUUACAUAUUUAAAUUUAUUAAAAUAUUUUAAUAUUGUUAGUUGAUUGCAUAGAUUACAUUAUUUAUAUAAUAUUUUUGUUUAUUAAAAAUUUUGAAGAUAAUCUUUUGGGGAUAAUAGAGGCACUUCUUCUCAUGUUUGAAUAUUGCAAAAAUAUAUUUGUGGUAUCAAACAAGUUUCUAAGGCUAGAAGGUAAAUUCAUUUUGACUAUUCUCUAUUUUCACCAGCUACAAGGUAGAUUAUAUUUAUCAGAUAUGUUAGGAAUCUCAUUAUUGGAGUUCCAACUUAUAAGCAACUUAUUUGUAAUUGUCAUAUUGUUAUGUGGUAAUAACUAACCCGAUGUGAUAGUUAUAGAUAAAUUAUCGCACCAAUUAGCUCAUAAUUCACUCUCGAAUGAAAAAUGUUGCAUAGACAAUAAGUUAUCAUUUUGUUUGAGAUCGUGUUUCCAAAGGUCAACUAUGGGUGUCCCAUGCAUUUUUUUGUCAAGAAACAUCUUGAUAAUGCCUUAUGCUAUCUGGAACUUUUAGGUCUAUACCCGUUAUGUUAAGGUCGGCUAUUAGGUCUAAUUUUUCUUUUAUUUAUUAAAAAAUAUUGGGUGUGGGUGUAAUUAUUCAUACUGGCCCAUUGAUUGAAUGGGUAGGAUAUGGGUACUAAAUAGUAAAACCCAUACCCGCUCAUAAACCCAUUUGAUUAUUUUUUUAAGGGAAAAUAUCCACCGUUUACCCAUUUUUUUUAACUUUUUUAAAAAUACACAAUUCUUUCUUUUUUUGGCUGGAAUCCACCUAAAGUUACAUUUUGUUUCACUUUUCCACUUCUGUUUGGAAUCCGUUAAGAAAACUAACGGAAACUUAAAAAAAUGACAAUUUUACCCCCAAAACGAAAAUUACAAUUUCACCCUAAAAAAUACAAAAAAUAAUCAGAUUUAAUGAUGAAUAUCAUUAUUGGUAUGUUAAUGAAGUACAAAAAAAUCUUAAUUACUAGAUAUUAUAACUCAAUGAAUAAUAAAACUCUACUCAUCUUAAAUUCAAUUGAUGAUUUGCGAGAUUUGGCUAUUUUUAAUACUACUGUUAUAAUUUAGUAUUCUAAUUAUAGACAUAUUAAAAAAAAAUCCUGCAUUUGAUGGUUGUGGAAUUAAUUUCUUUAUUGACCGAUGGGGAAAAUAAUGAGAUUUAAUUUGAUUAUUUUUUAUAAUUUUUAAGGUGAAAUUGUAAUUUUCGUUUUGGGGGAUAAAAUGGUCAUUUUUAAAGUUUCCGUUAGUUUUCUUAACGGAUUCCAAACGGAAGUGGAAAAGUGAAACACAUGUAACUUUAGGUGGAUUCCAGUCAAAAAAAGAAGGAAUUGUGUAUUUUUAAAAAAGUUGGAAAAAACGGGUGGACGGUGGAUAUUUUUUUUUAUUUUUUUAAUUAAUUUUUAAAAGCUAAAAUUGUUAAUUAAUAACUAAAUCUAAAUAUUAAAACCCUAAAAAAUUAAAACGUGAAUAAAUAAAGUUAGUGGCUUUAAGUUUGAAUAUUUUGAAACCCCAAUAAUGCCAAAAGUCGAUAUUUUAAAGCCUAGAAAUAAUUAAAUAAAGCAAAAUGUCUGCCGCUAGCAUAGAAAUAUGGAAUAAGAAAAAUUAAAAAUAUCGAGAAAAGAGGAAAACGUGGGAGUGGUACUAAUUUGAGGUAGACAAUCAGACAUACAUGCCGUUUGAAACUCAAAGAAUAAGGAUGAUGUGUCCACUCAAAUUUCAAUUUUGAUUGUUGCAGUAUUGACUAAAAAACGACGGAAUUUCUUUUCAAAAUCCUCCAUCUUGAAUUCAUAGGGACAAAAAAUAAAUUUAUGGAUGGAAAUAAAUAUGCAGUAUUUACGGACAAAAAUAUUCGGUUAUUGAAAAAAAAAAAUAUACUUCUAAUAAAAAAAAUCAAUUAAAAUUCUUAACAUCAUUCAUCAGUAGUCAAUCAUCAAUCACCAAUAUUUCAUCUGGUAUUUCUUCAUAUAAAUAUUGAAAAUUUCCUUCUUGUGAUUUGUUUGUGGUUUUUUAUUUUUCCAGUGGUAAUUCCCCUCAUCAAUUCAUUGUUCUCAUGCUAACCUAUUGUUGUGAUUUGUUCUUUUUUUUAAUAAAUAUAAUCUUGUAGGUUUAAUAUGGAGAUACAUUUUUUAAUUUAAAUGGAUUUAUAAUUUCUAUUUAAUAAUAUAUUAAUUAAAAUUGAACUUAAUAAUCAUUAAAUUAAAAUUUAAGGGGAAUAAGGGAUAGGAGAAGGGGACGGGUAUAUAUAUUUGUUAACGAGAAAUCUUGAUUCAUACUCAUUCAAAUUCAUAAUAAAUAAGAGUUGAUGAUGGAAAUAUUUACUAUUAAAUAGGUACGGGUACAGUCGUACAGAUAUUAACAUCACCGCAUAAUACCCGUCUCGUUGCCAUUCAUGGGAACGAUGAAGAGGGGAAAUGGUAUACUUCAAAUUCUCUCUUUUUCUAAUUUUUAUUAUUAUUAUAAAAAAAAUUAGUGGGCGCCAGUAGUAAUUAAUAGCUUCGGCGCCCACUUACUCAACAAUAAACAAAUGGCAUGCCACCGUAAUCUUAAUCUUUUGAGUUUUAUUUAAUUCAUUAAUUGACAUUUUAGUGAGUCAAUAGCUAGAGAAAAAGUGAAAGAAAGAUAAAAAUGGGAGAUAAAAAGAUUAAUGAUGGCCCCUUACACUUGUGGUCUCUCCAUUUCAUACGCGGCUGGAACUGAUCAUUGUCUCAGAAUUAUCAGAAAUAAUAAGGUGGAGAACGGAUCAUUAUUUAAUCUUGUCCGUCCAUUUCCAUAAAAUUAAUCCUAGCCUUACGCUCAUGUCAUCUGUCUACUUCGGUUGGACUGUGAGAACGUGAUCUCCAAAGCUAAACUCAUCGCAUGUUGUUUUUAAUAGAGUGCAUGAUGCACCGUGCACGGUUCACUCAGUCAAUCCAUUCUUUCCUUCAUUAUUUUAAUAAGUAGUACCAUGCAUUUUAAAUUUUUUAUCUUAAAAAAUUAUUUUAAAUAAUAUAGUAUUUAUUAAUUAAUUAAUUAAUUAAUUAAUACAAUUAAUUCGUUCAAAUUUUAUAAAAAAUCAUUAAUUACUUAAUAAAUUAGAUAAAAUUUAAAAUAAAAAAUUUAAAUAAUUUAUAAUUACUCUUAUCCCAAUUUAAUAGAGCCGUGUAGACCCUUGGAAAAUUAAAAUUACUUGUUUAUCAUAUUUAGCACCAGGAUUUGAUCGAGGCUCUCUCGUGUUGAUGUGCGUCUUCUAUUCUAUGGACUUGUUAUUACUAACGACUAUAAAUUAGGGACGAAAGAUGCACCUUUGGGGCAACCAAUUACAGAUCUACUUCAAGAAACUCACAAUCCCUAAUCAAUGGUAUUCACAUUUUCUCAAGGUCUCUUGGUUACCCGGAAGGCGCCAGAACUAAUAGUUCCGGAGAGGCCAACACCACGAGAAGUGAAGCAAAUUUCAGAUAUAGAUGACCAAGAAAGCCUAAGGUUCCAGAUACCACUACUAUUCUUUUACAAGAAUGACCCUUCACCUUCAAUGCAAGGAAGAGACCCUGUUAAGGUCAUUAGAGAAGCAAUAAGUAAAGCACUUGUGUUUUACUACCCUUUAGCUGGCAGGCUUAAAGAAGGUUACAACCGCAAGCUUAUGGUGGAAUGCAAUGCUGAAGGAGUCUUGUUUAUUGAGGCUGAUGCCAACUUCACACUUGAGCAGCUUGGAGAUGAUAUUCAGCCACCGUGCCCGUAUUUGAACCGACUGAUUUAUGAUGUUCCAGGCUCUGAAGGCAUUCUUGGUUGCCCUUUGUUGUUAAUUCAAGUGAGUCUCUCUUUACUUUAAUUAGUAUGUAACUUUAUUUUCUGAUUUUAGAAUUGAAAGAAAAUAGUAGUACAGUAUAUGCUGAAGAUUUGUUAGGUGCUCAGCUGAGUGGCUUGAAGUAAUUUAUUUAACUAACUACUCGGGUUUGAAUAAUCUUGAGGGAAGAAAGGGGUUAAAAAUAUCAAUUUCGACUUUGUUUACUAAAGAAGAAAUUAAUAUUAAGUUUAGAUUAAAAAAGUAUCAAUUCCUACAAAUACAUAGAUUUUUCUUGAAAAUUCUAAACUUAAACUCGAUAUGAUUGUUGAACAAAUGAUACAAAUUCAUCCAUUUAAUAAUCAUAUAAAAUGUAAUUAAUUUUAAUAUAUUAUUUUGUAUCGGUUUUAUUGAGUUCGCACGUUUUUUAAAAAAUUACUAGUCUUACUAAUAUUGAUAAUAAAGAUGUGAAAAAAAAAUAAAGAGAUCUUUAGUAACUUUUACAUUACAUAAUGACUUUUUGAGGUAUAUAUAUCCUGUUUUGCUAUCGGAGGAUUCAUUUUUGUGUUUAUAGGUGACGCGUUUGACAUGCAGAGGAUUCAUUUACGUUUUAACCACACAAUGUGUGAUGCUUUUGGUUUGGUACAAUUCUUAAAAGCCAUAGAGGACAUGGCACGUGGGGAACGUUCACCAACUUUAUUUCCAAUUUGGCAACGGCAAAUCUUAAAUGCCAGAAAUCCCCCACAAGUAACAUGUAUCCACCAUGAGUACGAUGAAGUAAACACCAAUGAGGUUCCAAGUGACAACAUGGCUCACAAAUCGUUCUACUUUAGCCUAAAAGGGAUCAAAGCUCUGAGAAAUCAGCUUCCUUUUCACCUUAAAGAUUGUUCAACAUUUGAGCUAUUAUUAGCGUUUCUAUGGAAAUGUCGAACAAUUGCACUCAAGCUACAACCUGAAGAGAUUGCUAAAGUUUGUUGUAUCGUUAACGUUCGAGGAAAACGUUAUAAAAUGGAUAUUCCUCCAGGCUAUUAUGGCAAUGGUUUUACAUUUUCGGCUGUAUGUUCAAAAGCUGAACAAUUGUGUAAGAAUCCAAUAGGAUACGCCGUUGAAUUGGUGAAAAAGUAGGGAUGGCAAAAUUCUCCACGGAUUUGGCAUCCCAUGGAGCCCCACCCCAAAUGGGAAAAAUUUUGAAUAAUUUUUGGAGAAUGGGGUGGGGAGUGGGGGGAAAAUAAUCCCCAAAUUCUUAAUGGGGUAGGGUUUGGUUUUGUACUCCCCACCCCACCCCUACCCCAAUCCCCAUUAAAUAUAAAUAUGUUUUUAAUUCUUAUUUAAUAAUUUUUAUUUUAUCAAUUAUAAUGUCAAUUAAUGUUUUUUUAAUUUUUAUGCAAUAUAAACAAGAUAUGAAUGAAAGAAAAUCCUAUAAUAUUUUUCAACUCUGAAACAUUGUUAUAUUUUCUUUUCUCUUUUAAGGUGCUACGCUCUUUAAAUAUUUUUCAAUUUUAAUAUCAUUUUAAGAUAUUGUUUCAAACUUUUAGAUAUUUUUUUAAAAGAAUUUAAAUACUUUAUAAUAUGAUGAUGAUUUUAUUUUAAGUCUCUAAUUUUUAACUUACUAAAAUAAUAUAUUUAUACAUAUUAUAAAAUAGAUAAAUGGGGAAUGGGGUGGGGAUGGGGAAAUCAUUCCCCACAUGGGGAUUCUCCAUCCCCACCCCACUAAAUUUAUUGGGGAAUGAGGUGGGGAAUGGAGGCAAAAAUUUCUAACGGGGUGGGGAAUGGGGUAGGCCUCCCCACCCCCACCCCACCCCAUUGCCAUCCCUAUGAAAAAGGCGAAGGCUCAAAUGAACGAAGAAUAUAUAAGGUCUGUGGCGGAUCUUAUGGUGAUCAAAGGGCGACGAAUCAAGUUCUCGACUAGGGGAAAUUUCAUUGUUUCGGAUCUAAGGAAUGUUGGACUCGGAGAUGUUGAUUUUGGGUGGGGGAAACCAAUUUAUGCUGGAACUGCUGGCGCUGUAGCAGUGAUCAGCUUCUUUACAAAGUACCAAAACAAGAAUGGAGAGCCUGGAAUUCUUGUACCAAUAUGCUUGCCGCAGUCAGCUAUGGAAAGGCUUCAAGAAGAGCUAAAGGGGUUUAUGAUUCAAGGAUCUAUGGAGGAUUUAUGCAACAUUAACCAGACUCAGAUUUUCAGCAAGCUUUAAGGGAUAUAUCUCCUCAGUUUACGUAGUAGCUUUUUUUGAUUAUAAACCAAUAAUGCAAGUUAUGCGUCCUCUCAAGUUAUGUCUAAAACUAAAUAAUGUACCCAUUACCUUAACUUUUUAAUAUGCCACGUAUACGUUAUUAGUCAUUUAUGAUUCAAAUAUUUAUUUUCAUAAUAAUGAUAUACUUGAAGUUUGUAUAUUAAAUAACGUGUUACCAACAAUUGACCAUCAUGUAUUUGGUAUUUGCAGCACUAAUGAGUAAAUGACAUGUUAAGUUUUACAUCAUCUAGAAUGCAAACUUUGUAUUCCAACUUUAUAAGCAUAUUAUUAUUCUGAAAGCUAAGAUGAGUAGAAAAUCUUAGUUUAAAAUGAAAGUAGAAAUUCCAUGUGUCUAAACAGACCUUAGUAAACAUCAAUAUAAUAACCUAAUGAAAUUUGGUAGUUAAAGUAUACAAGCAAAAACUAAAAAAGGAACAUAAAUAUAAAUAUGCAUUUCACUAUUAUGGUGCAUUUACUAAUUGCUAACUAGAAUAGGCUGGAAUCUAAAUGGGGAAUGAGAAUUAGAAUAAACCGGUAGGAAUCAAAAUCGAAAUGACUUAUAUUGUCAUCAAUGUACUUAUUUUUGUCUGGAAAUUGGAAUAUUGUUAAUAAUAAUAAUAAUAAUAAUAAUAAUAAUAAUAAUAAUAAUAAUAAUAAUAAUAAUAAUAAUAAUAAUAAUAAUAAUAAUAAUUAGGGGUGUUUAGAAUCUAAUCUGAUCCGUUCAAUCUGUCUGAUCCGUAGAAAUGCGAUUCAUAAAAAUCCGAUCCGUGAAUUGGAUUGGAUUGAAAAUUUAAAAAUCUGCAGUCGGGUGGAUUGGAUAUGGAUUUACUAGGGGUGGCAAUAUGGGUCAUGAUUCGUUUAUUCGAUUCGAUUCGAUGCGAAUUAAAUGGGUUUGAGUUUGAGAAAAUUGAUUCGUUUAAUAAAUGGGUGAAUUCAAUUCGAUUCGCUAAUUAAACGAAUCGAAUGCGGGUUUGAAGAUUUUGAUUCGUUUAUUCGUUUAAGAUUCGUUUAAUAAACGGGUCAUAAACUAAUCAAAUACAGGUCGAUUCGUUUAAAAUUUGUUUAAUUAAAUUACUUUUUUGUCUUUAAAUUUAUUUGGAAACUUUUUAAAAUAUGAAAGUUAAUAUUGUAAUUUUAAGCAUAACACAUAAACCCAAAAGACCAACCCUAAUUUUACACUUCACACGCACUUUUCCCUCAUCUCCUAGCAACUCGGCCGCCACUGCUACAUUUUGCCAUCUUUUUAUCUUCAUUUCCUUCUCCAAAUCCUUUUCUUUUUCUUUUUAAUUUUUGCAUCCAGCAAGUGCUACAUUUUGCCACUGCUCCAAAUCCUUGGAUUUGUGUGAGUGUGAUAGGUAAAGUUUUGUCUUGUUUAAUUAUUAUUUCCUUAAAAAUACUACAAAUUUGCUAUAUAUUUGAUAUUUUAAAAUUUUACAAUGAUUAUUAUCAAUAUUGCAGUAUGUUUAAUUGUUAUUAACAUUUUAUUUAUUUUUUGGUGUCGGAUUUGUGUUUUCAAGGUGAAAAAGACAAAUGAAGAGAAUUAAAGAAAUUACCUUACUUUAUAAUUUGAAUUUGAAUUAUUGUUAUUUGUAUUAUCAGGGAUUUGUAAUUUGGUAUUUGGAUGACUGCAUAAUAUGGUUUGAGUUACUUGUAUUUUGUUGUGGGAUGUUAAACUCGUGAUUUUUUAUAUUUUAUUUUGCUUAAUUUUGUUUAUUAAUUAUAUUUUUCUAAACGAAUUGUAAACGAAUCCUGAUUCGGUUUGAUUCGUUAAGGAUAAAUGAAUAAUAAAUGAAUUCGGAUUCGAUUCAAUUCGUUUAUCAAUUCUAUUAAACGAAUUAAACGAAUCGAACCGAAUAUUCGUUUAAUAAACGAAUCGAAUCUGAAUCCUGAAAUUUCAAUUCGUUUAAUAAACGAAUCGAAUCCGAAUCCGUAGAAUUUUGACCCAAUUCGUUUACGAUUCGAUUCGAAUUCGAUUCGUUUAUUCAUUUUGCCACCCCUAGGAUUUACUUCCGUGAAUUCGCAAAAAUUUACGAAUCCGAAAAAAAUAAAAAUAUUUAUUUUAUAAAAAAAUGAACUUGUAAAUAUGACAUUAUACUUACUAAUAAAUAAAUAAGUUAAAAUAUAGUUACAUUAAUACCAUAUUAUGUUUUAUUUGAUAAUAUAUAAAAAAAUAAUUAAAUAAAAAUAUAGCUUCCUAAGCAGUUAAUUUUCAUGUACUAAUCUAAACAAAUGAGUUUUUUUUUUUUGGUAUGUUAUAUUUUGAAACUUUGAAUGUAUUUUCUACCUUUAUUUAAAUAAUUAACUUAUUUAAAUCUUAUUUAAUUUUGAAUUUGAUCGGUAGUAAAAUUAUUUUUAUAUUAAUUUUUUUUAUUUAGUUAGUUCGUGGAUAGGACAUGAUUAAAAAUUUUUAGCCCACAAACCAAUUUGUAAAAUGGUCGAUCAGAUGUGGAUUGAGUCAAAUCCGCAUCCGAUCUGCAGACGUAUGGAUUGGAUUUGGAUUAAAAUUUAUCAAUCAAUGAAUUAGAUUGGAUUAAAAUUUUAUAAUCUGUAAAAUUAUGGAUAAGAUAUGGAUGGAUGCCCAAUCCGCUAAAUCAGAUUCGCGAACACCCCUAAUAAUAAUAAUAAUAAUAACAAUAAUAAUAAUCAUCAUCAUCACCAUCACCAUCACCAUCAUGAUCACGAUCACGAUCACCAUCAUCAUAGAAUUUAUUUUAAACUCAUUGUCGAUAAAUUAAGUUGUUAUUCAACAUUUAUGCUGUACUAGUUUUCAUAAUUGAGAGCCCAUUAUUUUAAGGUUAAAAAUAAAAGGAAAAGGCACAAAAGUUACUAAAUGGGACCUAAGCCAUUUCUUGUCGCUGGUUGUGUUAGGUUCAGAAUCUGAUCUACAUAUACAAAGGCUUAUAGAGGAACAAUAACAGAACUGGACGUCAGACAUCAUACUUGAAGCGAACUCUUUUAAGAUCCCUGAGACCUCCUGGUGGUGAGGUAAAUGUUGUAUAUACACCAGGCUCGUCUUGGUCAACCUAUUCAUUGUCAUUCGUGAUUCACAUUCUUUCGUUCUGCUCCCAUUUCUAGUUGUUGCUUCCAACUGGCCUUGUUUGGAAGCUACGAUUACUGGCAGUGCUGGACCUAUCAGCAAGCAAAAGGUUGUUUGAUCCAUCUGUGUCCCGUUCUUGAGUUGCUGUUUGACCACCUAGCCGGUCAAUUGAAGCAUUCGACACACCUAUGGAAGCAGGACUGGAACUGAAGGAAGUAAAUAUCGGUGAUUUAAUGUUCCGUGCUGUUCCAACUGGCAGUCUCUCAGCCAUAUCCUCCAACUAUUCAACAAAAAGUUGCCUUGAGUAAGAAUUCAAUGAUGUUUGGAAGCAGAGAAAACUUAAAUGAAAAUAAGAGAAUUCAGAAACUCUUUCUUCGUUUUAUUAUCUCAAAUCAUUAAUCAACUGAAUCUAUACAUACUUCUAUUUAUAUACUUCAGUAGUAAUUAGAACUAAUUCUCUACUAAUUGCAAGUGCUAAUCAGCUGGUUAUAACUAACUAAAACUGAAUUACAAGCACAAGCAAUACUAUAACAAACUCUACUAAUCUUCACGUGUGCAAGAGACUAUAUAACCACCAGGCUCUAGCUGGUAAGCCAUGUCAUCAACCUGUAACAGCAAGCUGCAGGUGUUGCAAUCCUCUGCUGCACUGACUACUCUGCUCAUGUGAGCUUCCUUAACAUCCCCUCUCAAGCUCAAGGGUCUGCUGAACACAUUGAGCUUGGAACGAAAAUAACUAAACUUAGGAAAUGACAGGGGCUUAGUAAGGACAUCUGCAACUUGCUCUUCAGUGGGAAUGUACCUCACUUCCAAUUCUUUGUUAAGAACCUUGUCUCUAAUAUAAUGAACAUCUAGCUCUAUGUGUUUUGAUUUUGAAUGAAAAACUGGAUUUCUAGCUAGAUCUCCAGCACUCUGGUUAUCACACCAUAGGACAGAAGUUGGUAAUUUAGUGAUGUUGAGCUCAGAGAAUAAUGAUUGCAGCCAAGAAAGUUCAGAGCUGGCUACUGACAAGGCUCUGUAUUCACUCUCAAUACUAGAUUUUGCUACAAUGGCUUGCUUUUUCGAAGACCAGGAAACCAAAUUAUUACCAAGGAAAAUGCAAUAUGCUCCAAUGGAUUUUCUGUCAUCAAUAUCACAUGCCCAAUCAGCAUCUGAAUAUCCUGUUAGUCCUAUAGUUUCCAGAGUUCCCUCCUGCUGAAUAUAGAGACCAUAUGUGACAGUAGCUUGAAUGUAUCUAAGCACCUUUUUACAAGUUAACCAGUGUUGAAGUGUAGGAGCACUGAGGUACUGACUAAGCUUAUGCACUGAAUAUGCAAUAUCUGGUCUAGUUAGGAUUAAGUAUUGCAAACCUCCAACAAUGCUUCUAUAGAGGGUUGGAUUCUCAAAUUCUGCACCCAAAAAACCUUUUGCUGACCUUUCCAACUUGUAGCCUGUGCUGAAAAGAGUGUCAGCUCCUUUGCAGUCUUGCAUGGAGGCUUUAGACAGCAGAUCCUUGAUAUACUUGGUCUGGGAGAGAUGCAUUCCAUGAUCUGUAUAAUUGACUUCUACACCAAGGAAAUAUGUUACUAGACCCAAGUCUUUUAAUGCAAAAGCUUUGCUGAGCUUAGCAAUAAAAGAUUCCAACAAGUCUAAAUCUGGUCCAGUGAUCAGAAUGUCAUCCACAUAUAUUAAGACAAGAAUUAUGCCUUUGACAUCAUGCCUGAUAAACAGAGAAGUAUCAGCCUUAGAAUUAGUGAAUUUCCAGCUUGUAAGACAUCCCUUAAGCUUAUCAUACCAGGCUCUUGGAGCUUGUUUUAAGCCAUAAAGAGCUUUGUUUAGUUUACAGAUGUAUCCUCCAUCUGAAACAAAACCUUCUGACUGUUGCAUGUAUACAUCCUCAGUGAGAUCCCCAUUAAGAAAUGCGUUAUUGACAUCAAUUUGUCUAACAUUCCAGCCUUGCAUGACUGCCAAGCUAAGAAUAACUCUGACAGUAGAAGAUUUCACUACAGGACUAAAAGUUUCUAAGUAAUCUAUCCCAGCAGUUUGGUGAAACCCUUUUGCAACUAAGCGAGCUUUGUACUUAGAGACUGAACCAUCAGUAUUGUAUUUAGUUCUAAAGACCCACUUGCAGCCUACUAACUUAUAUUCUGGAUUCAUUGGUACUAAGCUCCAGGUUUUGUUUCUAAUGAGAGCAUUAUAUUCAUCUUGCAUUGAUGUCUUCCACUUAGUAUCAGAUAAGGCUUCUCCAACAUUGGAAGGUUCUAGGCUGUUAUGAUCUGUCAAGAAGGCCUUUGGUUUGAAUAUGCCAGCUUUAGCUCUGGUAAUCAUAAAAUGAGUGUUUAUGGUUGCAGCUGAGGGAAGUGAUCUGGAAGGUGAAGUUUGUAGUAUUGCAGGUGAAGUUGUAGUGUUUGGUGAAGUAGAGUUUGGUGUAGUGUUUAUGGUAGCAGCUGGUGAUGUUGCAUGGCCAAUGGGUGAAGAUAUAGUAUUAUUUUGUGAAAUCAGUGAGGCGGAAUUAACUUGUGAUGUAGGAAGAGGAAAUGAGAUGAUGUUGUGAGUAGAACUUGAGGCAUGAGAAUCUGUAUCUGCAGGAGCAGCUGCUAAAGGAUUCUGAUUGCUAUUAGGAACUGAGAUGUGAUAGACUUGUAAGGAAUUAUAAAGGAAGUCAGAAGAUUUAGAUGGCAUAGACUGUAAGAAGGUAGGAUCAGUAGAAUAAGGAAAGGAAGUUUCAUAAAAAAGAACAUGACUAGCUAUGUAAAUUCUUCCUGAUGAAUAAAGACACUUAUAGCCUUUGUGUAAAGGGCAUUUAGAAGUAUGGAAAUGAAACUUGUGAUGAUUGUAAUCUCUUAAGAAAGGAAAACAAGCACAACCAAAAGUUUUGAGAAAUGAAUAAUCUGGUUUUUUAUGGAAUAGAUAUUCAUAAGGAGUUUUCAAGGAAAGAACAAGAGUUGGAAGUUUGUUUAUAAUGUGGGUAGCUAUAUGAAAAGAAUCCCACCAAAAUUUUAUAGGUAACUUAGCUUGUGCAAGCAAGGUUAAACCCAACUCAGUGAUGUGUCUAUGUUUUCUUUCCACAAGGCCAUUUUGAUUGUGAGUAUAGGGACAUGAGUGUCUAAAUUGAAUCCCCUCUGUUUGAAGAAAAUGAACAAAUGAUCUGUACUCACCACCCCAAUCAGAUUGAAGACACUUGAUAGGUUUAUCUAAUUGUUUCUCUACUUGAGCUUUGAAAACUUUGAAUACUGGAAAUGCUUCAGCUUUGGUUUUUAAAGGAAAAAUCCAGGUGAAUCUUGUGUAAUCAUCUACAAAGCUGAUAUAAUAUUUAUAUCCUUGUAUAGACAGUGUAGGAGCAGGCCCCCAUAGAUCUGUAUGUAAGAUUUCAAGUGCAUUUUUGGUUUUGGUUUCAGUUACUGGAAAAUGAAGUUUAUGCAUUUUUCCCAACUUACAAGCAUCACAAGAAUCAAAACCUUUAUUACCAUCGAUGGUUUUAAAAGAUAAACACGAAUUGAUAACAUGAUUCAACACUCUAGCAUUGAGAUGACCUAAUCUUUGGUGUAAAACCAUAGUACUCAACAUAUAAUCUGAGUUUUGACUACAUUGUAUUUCAGUAUGUAACUGAGAAGCAAUUUUAUUCUGACAUUUGGAAUCAACAACAGAAAACAUGGAAAUAGGUUGAGUUGAGACUACUGACUGAACAUGAGCAAAAAAACCUUGGUUUGACAGAUAAGGAGAGGUUUUAUUUGAGGAGACUAAUAGCAAUCUGUACAAUCCUUUUUCAGCUUUGCCCUGUAGCAUGAUCAAAUUCCUCACCUUGUCCUUAACAAAACAGAAAUCAUUAGUAAAUUCUACCACAACAUCAUUAUCUCUGGUUAGUUUUGAUAUACUUAUAAGGUUUUUGGUUAUUUUAGGCACAAGAAGAAUAUUAUUUAGCUUAAGACCAACAUGAUUUAUAGAGCUUUGCAUUCUCAAAACAGCAGAACAUGUAUGUGUUAUGAAUAAACCAACACCAUUACCAAUGACAAGUUUAGAAGUACCUGCAAAAGGUUCAGCCAUAUUCAUAUUGCUCAUAUCAUUAGUGAGGUGGUGUGUAGCACCACUGUCAAGAUACCAAUUAGUAUCAGCUGGAGCAUCCAUGUUGGCUAAAUAGGCAGCCUUUGGUCCUCUAUUUGGAGGUGAUCUGUAAGAGCCUGAAGCCAUGAAUUCUUCUAGCUUCCAACAAAUGUUUGCAUUAUGUCCAGGCUUGAGGCAGAUUUGGCAGGUAGGUUUGGAAGUAUUCCACUGAGGUUUAGAGUUCAUAGGUGGUUUGCCAUUGUUAAAAUUGUUAACUCCAGUGUUAUUGUUCCAGUUUCCUCCUCAUCCUCCUAUUUGAUUACCAGAUUGAUAACCUUUGAACUGAGUAUUAAAACCAGUACCAGCACCAGCAGAGUUAGUGCCAAAAUUUCCUUUGUAAUAACCACCAUUUCCAAACCCAGAGUUAUAGCCAUAACCACCAAAACCUCUUCCACCUGACAUGUUUCCCUUCUUAACUCCUCUAUUUUGAGCAUAAUUUGCCUCAAAAAUUUUUUUCAUAUCCACACCAGCAAGCAUUUGUGAUUGUUGUUCAAUCCUAGCCUCUUGAGUUAAUAGCAUAGCAUAGGCUUCAUUUACAUUCAUUUUACCAACUCCUACUUGACCAGUAAUGUAAGUAGCUACUGAAUUAUAAUCUGGUCCUAGGCCAAAUAAUACAUGCAAAAUCAUAUCAUCACUACUUAAAGCACGUCCUGCUGCAGCCAUAUUAUCAGCUAUGUUUUUCAUCUUAAUGAAAUAAUAUGUGAUUUUCAUAUCAUCUUUCCUUGUUGAAUUCAUCAUGUAUCUAAGAUGUAAAAGUCUGGAUUUAGAUUGCGAGCCAAAUUGUACCUUAAUAGCUUUCCACACUUUAAGUGACGUUUCCAGGUUGAACACUACACUGAUGAUUCCUUCACUCAUUGAAGAGAGCAACCAUCCAAGCAGCACCUGAUCUUGAGAUCUCCAUGUUGUGAAUUCUGGAUUCUCCACAGAUCUGAGUUCAUCAUCAACUCUCUGAGCUGUAUGAGAUGGAGGUGGAGUGACUACAUCAUCAAUAAACUUUUCGAGCAUGUUUCCACGAAUAGAGGCUAGAACUUGAGAUCACCAUAUAAGAUAAUUGGACUGAUCAAGCUUAACUGGUGUGUUAAAGGUAAAGGAAACAGUUGUUGAAUUUGUAGCAUGAUUAAGAGUUGGAAUUGAGGAAGAAUAAGCAAGAUUAACAGACGCCAUUAUUGGCUGGCUCUGAUACCAAGUAAGAAUUCAAUGAUGUUUGGAAGCAAAGAAAACUUAAAAGAAAAUAAGAGAAUUCAGAAACUCUUUCUUCGUUUUAUUAUCUCAAAUCAUUAAUCAACUGAAUCUAUACAUACUUCUAUUUAUAUACUUCAGUAGUAAUUAGAACUAAUUCUCUACUAAUUGCAAGUGCUAAUCAGCUGGUUAUAACUAACUAAAACUGAAUUACAAGCACAAGAAAUACUAUAACAAACUCUACUAAUCUUCACGUGUGCAAGAGACUAUAUAACCACCAGGCUCCAGCUGGCAAGCCAUGUCAUCAACCUGUAACAGCAAGCUGCAGGUGUUGCAAUCCUCUGCUCCACUGACUACUCUGCUCAUGUGAGCUUCCUUAACACCUUGCUUGGGAAGUCAAUGACUUAUUCACUUCCUUUGCUGCUCUGCAUUUUGCAGUCUCUUCCCCUGCAAUUGCUAUUGCCUUCUUCAACUGUUUAGUUGUCCUUUCCAGCUCAACCUCUUGAAGUUGAGCUUUCCGAGUAAGAUUCUCCACCUGCGAGAGAUAGAGAGAAAUCAGCAUUCUGCCAAAACAGAGAAAGGAAAAGUUUAAUAUUCUAACGCUCAAUAACUAGCUGCAAAAUGCAAAUAACAAUAUUCUAAGGCAUUAAAUAAACAUGUUUGGAUCUUGAGGUCUGGAUUCCAUCUAUUCAUCAUUUUCUUGAGGUUGCAGCUUCUAAAACCCAGAAAGAUGCCUGAAGGGUGUAAAUUGGACUAAUAAAUUUGAAGGGGAAAAGAAGAUCUCUACACAAACUUCUAGCCCUUAAAUUUUCAUGAAGGUCAAACAGAUUGAAUUCCGAAACUAUUAAGUUUGCAACGCCAUAGGCAAUGAAUGGAAAGGAACGACUACAUGUGAGCUUUAUUUUCGUUUUGCUUAUUUCCAUUGGUCGUCAUGUGGAUUUUGGACAAAGUUUGCGUUGAGUUAUAUCUCAUUAAAUAUGGCUAUGAUCCUUGAAUUCUGAAUACUAAGGAGCAUUGCUACGUAUACGUAGCUAAUGAAAUUUGGCUCUGAAACUACUAUUAAAAUUGAAUUUAAAUAAUCAAGCAGAUAACCGUGUAAAGCAUCUAUUUGCUGAAGCUAUUAUUAAUGCAAAAUGCAAGUAUUUUAGAAAGUUCAUUCAAUUAAUCGCUAGCUAAAGAAUAGCAAAUACAUGUGCUCUUAAUUUAAUAACCUCUUGGCUAAGGCUAUCGUUAGUCCUUUUUGCAUCAUCCACGACGAUUUUAGGCGAGGCAAGCCCUCCAAGAGUUGGGGUCGGUGUUGUUAAACGAGGUGGGCUGGGCCGUCUUGAUAUUGACGAUGUUGCUCGUGAUACAACUCUCGACCCAGGAACAGAAGCUUAGCAGAACUUCUCGUAUGAUCGAAACACGAGACACUCAAUAAUACAGCCUUACUGAAGGAAAAAGAAAGAUUAGGUAAAUCAUUACGCCUUCUGCAAGCUAUCAUUGCUACCGAAUGGAGAAUUCAAAGGAGAGCUUCUCCGAGUGUAUGUUCUGGGACUAUUUGCUUCUGAUGGAAUUCCAUCACUCCUUGACUCUGUUCUCCACUUUCGAUGAUGAUUACGUGAAAUUAAUGCUUUUAAUCCACUAAACCAUACCUCAGCUUCAUCUUCAUCUUUGCAAAUCUAGUAAUAAAAUUCAGAUCACUAAUUUGUAAAACUUUAACAAUCAAAUUAUCUUUAAACCAUCAAUAUAAACACAAUGAGAACAGGUUACAGAGGAUCUUGUAAAAAAAUAAUAAUAAUAACUAGCAAAAAAAUAGUAAUGGAAAAUAAUGGAAGACCAUUUGGCCAGGUGGUUAUUUUAUUUUGAUGAGUAAUGAUGCAUUUUAUUAAAAAUGCAUAGUAAAUAGAGGAAGGAACAGUACUACGGAAUCUAAGACAAGUUGGAAAGAGUUAUUGCUAUAUUACAUCAAUAUUAAACUAUUGUUUGAUUAACCAGAUAACAAGACAAAAAUAAAUGUUAUAUGUAGGAUGAUAGAACCAGUGCAUAAUCGAAUUCCGUUAGGAAGUUUUCAAUUAAAUAUCUAAAUUUGUUGCAAGAUUGUUAAUGCACAGGUAUAAUCCCUUCUCAUGUAUUACCUGCAUUUAAAUUCAUUUCAGCGAUGCCGAAAGACUUAUAUCUGAACUUGCUGGACAUGCUUUUUCUCUUGUUGAUUUCUAUGUUGUUUUUAUAUUUGUUUUGUAGAUUAAGAGCUUAAGGCUGCCAAUGAAGUUUGGAAAUCAUAGGGGCUUUGCAUUCGUUGAGUAUGUAACAAAGCAAGAGGCGCAAAAUGCACUUGAAGCACUUUCAAACACCCAUCUCUAUGGUCGGCAUCUGGUAAGCUUUCUACCAGUUCUUAUAGAUAUUCUCUGUUGCACAUGAUCAGAUAAUAUCUAUAAUUGCCACCACAUUUCAGGUGAUGGAGAGAGCAAAGGAAGGGGGAAGAAUUGCGGGCUCGAACUGCUGCUCAGUUUACCAAAUGGGUUUCAAAAUUUUCUAAGAAGAGGAAGCACAUGACAAUCUUCGAUGAAGGUAGAAUGAAGUUUGAAAGGAUUGCUGGGUAGAGUGCUUUAUAUGAAAUUUUCUCGUGUAUUGAGAGACAUGAGGUUUGUUAUGUAGUUAGUUUUAAGGUUUAUUAAUUAUAUUAUCAGUUAUGUUGGCUCCAUUUUUGUCCGUUGGGAGUCGAUAUCUGUUUGUAAUUGUUUCUUGUAGGUGAGGGAACAAAGCAUAUUUUGUAGAAUUUCUUGAUGUAAAUCAUCUAGAUAUGUCAUAGAAGAGUUAAAAUUUUCAGAAAUGUCUUGUUCUUCUACUCCACUGUUUUUCAUUGUUUAAUGCAAAAGUGUUGAUUGCCUCUUCUAAUUCACUUGGGAUUUAGUUCCCUCCUAAGCAAAAUUUUAGUUGGAUGCAAAUGGGUUAUAUGAAUUUAAAAAAUUUCAGAUAGUAUCCUUCAUUGCUAGAAACCAAGAUUAGCAUCCGUUUCAUCGAUGCUGGUAUUGUCAUCACAAAUACUUCCAGGUCCUUGCUUAAACUAACUACAAUUCAAGAGGGCGUCGUUUAUGCUAACUUCUUCUCACGUUUGUAGAUUAUGAAAUUCAAUUUGUGGUAUCAUUCAAGUUUCAAGGGCUAGGUACAAAGAUGUAAAUUCCGAUUGGCUAUUCUCUACUUUUACCAGCUACAAGGUAGAUUAUAUUUAUCUAAGCAACAUGUUAGGAAUCUUAACAUUGGAAUCCCAACAGAUAUAAUCGCUUAUUUAUAAUUGUGACAUCCUAAUGUGGUAAUAACUAACCUAAUGUGACAGUUACAGAUAAAUCGUUGCACCAGUUAGCUCGUAAUUCUUUCUUUGAAAAAAAAAAUAUUUAUAUAUAUUGCCACAGAUAACAGGCUAUUAUUUCGUUUGGGAUCAUUCCAAAGGUCAACUUUGGGUGUAUUAAUUAUCAAGCAGCAGCUUGAUAAAGCCUCAACAAAUCCACUAUCUACACUCAAAUGUUUUGCAUAUCUUUAGUUGACGAUUGGUGUAAUUGAUCAGCAACUACAAUUUUUAGACAAGUAUGUAAGAUUGUAAAUAUACAUGGACCCUUAGGAAAUUUUAGUAAAACAAGACGUGCCAUCGUGAAAAUGAGAUCUCUUUAUUGAUUAAUUCGAAGUCUUCGUGUAGAUAUAGUAUGAUCGGUCACUUGCACAAUUCAUUGGAUUUCUAACGUACAUAACAGAUACUUUUGUUAUUUUUCUAGGUGACAUAAUUGGUAAAUCUACUAAAGCUUGCAAGCAAUCUUACGAGUCUCCGUGAUAUCAAAUAAAUCUUCUGUUGAUCCUUGAAUCAUUCUCUUUAGCUCUUCUUCAAAUCUCUUCAUACUCGGCCUCGGCAAACGUAUAGGUAUGAGAGUCCCAGUCUCCCCAUCUUUUUGGUACCUGUUUAAGAAACUAAAAAUAGACUUAGCACCAGCAAUCCCAGCGAAAACUGGUUUCCCCCACCCAAAUCAAUUCUAUCAAAUCCAACCUUGCUUAAAUCGGACACAAUGUAGUUCCCCUUAAUCGCGUGCCUCGGCCGUCGCCCUUUGACCUCCAUAAGAUCCGCCGCAGAUCUUAUAUGCUCUUCACUCAUUUCAGCCUUUGCUUUUUUCACCAAUGCAACAGCAUACCCUAAUGGAUUGUUGCAUAAAGCACCAACUUUUGAAUGCACAGCUGGGAAUGCCACUGCGUUACCAUAAUACCCGGAAGGGAUAUCCAUUUUAUAAUCUUUUGCUCGAGCGGUAACUAGACAUGAAAAUUGAACAGUGUCUUUAGGGUCUAGUUGAAGAGCAAUUGUUCUACAUCUCCACAUACAAGCAGCCAACAACUCAAAUGUUGAACAAUUUCUAAGGUGUAAUGGAAGUUGAUUUUUGAGGACUCUCACUUCUUUGGGACCAAAGUAGAAUGAUUUGUGGUCCAUUUCAUUUGGAUUGGUAGUUAUGAAAGUAUCUGAAUUGUUAUUUAUUUCUUCGUAUUCUAAGUGAACACUUGUUACUUGUGGUGGAUUUCUAGCACAUAAGCGUUCCCGUUGCCAAACAGGGAAUAGCGAAAGUGUAUUUGCACCUCUUGCCAUCUCCUCUAUCGCUUUCACAAAUUGCACCAAACCAGAUGCAUCACACAUUGUGUGGUUGAAACGUAUCGCAAGAGUGAAUCCUCCACACAUCAAACGAGUCACCUAUAUAUAUAUAUAUAUGAGAAACAAAGAAAACAUUAAAAU
rnacentral:lncRNA from 1 species